CUCCACCUCCUCCCCCAGUUUACCUGUCUCCACCUCCACCCUAUCAUCACUACUACGGUUCUCCUUCUCCUCACCACUACUAAGCAAGUGCAUAAGUUUUGAGGUAAUAAUACCUAUCCAAAACUUUAUCAACACAAACUGCCAUGUAUAUCAUGCUAAGGACGUACACUUGAUCCAUGAAAAUGACUAGUAGAAGAUUUUUUUUAAGAACCAAAGAAAUACAUUAUUUUUUCGGUCUGUUUUCAAGAAUUUGAGCAGUAUACAGAUUAAAGAGUGUUUUUUUUUUUGUAAACUUGCUUGUCAACUUAAAAAUGCACAUAGCUGAAAGCCAACUGAAUAUUUGCAGGCAAAGGAGAAGGCAAUCGGUGUUUGAGACCUUCAAGAAGAUGUAGAAGAAUAAGAAUAAAAGCCCAAUGCGAGGAUGAUUCCAAGUUUCUACGUUACCAUUUCUACAUCUAAAUUGACUUUAGCUCCUGAGUUCCAUGUUUAUGGGGUUUGUACCGUUUUACGUACCAUGCAGUACAUGCUUGCAAGGUUUUCUGUCCUGUUGGCAAACUGCAGGUCCAUAUAAUAAAUGAAUACUAUUUACAUUACGACACUUUUCUCUUUUUCUCUUAUAUUUUGUCUUUAAUAUUGUUGAUCAUUUUUUUUUUAUCAAAAGCAUCAAAUGCUUAGGUAAUUUGGUCUAAUGCUAAUUGUUUUACUUUUAUUUUUCACCUACACCCCUUUUCAACUCAAAGGAUGCUAUAGUUUGUGAUAAUUGUUUAAGACCGAAGCAUGAUACUAAUAAAUAUCUCAUUGAAAGUCAAGGAAACUAACAUUAGGAAAAGUUUAAAUCUUGAUUUGAUGAAACUAUUUAUUCGUGGAAUUUAGAGAUACAAAACUCAAAUUGUGACGGUGUUGUUGCUAAAUUAUUAAGGACAUUAUCACCAUUAUUUUUCCCUGAUCACUAGUUUCAACUGCAAUGAUCUCAAUCUUUUUGUGACUAAUUCUUUCCUUAAUAAUUUAUAAAGACAAAACUCACAAAGAAUAUGUGACUAAUUCUUUCCUUUCGUCUUCUAAAGAAAAUGCCAACUGUUAGUUUAUCAAGGGGAAAAAGGAUCGACAUCAGUUAUUAUUGAAACUAGUAAGGAAUAAAUAAUGGUGAUAAUGUCCUUAAUAAUUUAACAACAGCACCAUCAGAAUUUGACUUUGAGCUUCGGUCUUAAACAAUGAUCACAAACUACAGCAUCCUUUGAGUUGAAAAAGGAAGUAGGUGAAAAGAAAAGUAAAAAAUACAAUUAGCAUUCCCUCAAAUUGUAGAAAGUUAGGUAGCAUUAUAGACAAGUUGAUAGCGGCAAUUUUACAUUUCAAACUUCACCUAUUCAAUAACUAAUUCGAUGGCUUGCUACAUGGUCAAUCUUUGGACCCCUUCCUGCCUCCAGAUAUCCCUUUCCUCAAUCAGGGGCUUCUACAAUUACCAGUUUCAAUUGUAUGGUAUAGUGUAAAUAUCAACAAAUUAGAUGUAGAUGCUAACAUAAUAAAUGUGAAUGCUAAGACAGCAACAUACAAUCGAACCUGCAAUUGUAUGAACCCCAAUCUCGCUUCCUAGUCCACCAUCUUUCUCUAGGUAAUAAUCUCCCUUCUAAUUUAUUCACAAAAUGCACCUUUCAUCACCUCCAAUAGCGUCGACAUGAUCUUUACCCUAGAAGACUAUUCACCGACUCUCAAUUGACGUCAGAAAAUCUAAGAGUAAUUCUACUUUACCCUAAGAUUGAUAUCAACAAGACAAGGACAAUUUAGAAUUAUUACACGCCUCUUCUUAAUAGGAAAAAGAAAUAGAGAAGAAAGUCAGGCCAGGUCUAAUUUCUUUUCAAAGGCAAUACAACAUUACGAAAUCAAGCAUUCAUUCAUACAAAUAUUUCAUAGUCACCGGUUUGCUGAGUAGAAAAAUUUAGACAAAAACUUAAUAUUAUAUUGUUUAAGAGUUAACAAUUUAGAGCUUAAUCUCCUUGUACUUUGGAGUUAACAAUUUAGAGCUUAAUCUCCUUGUACUUUGGACUAAACUUGAACGUGAAAGGAAAUCCCAAAACCAUAUUGGGCAUGAAUUCACACUUAAUAUACCCAAUAAAAGAUGGCGACUGGUGAAAGGCAGUGGAGACUGGUGGAGAGAUUUGAGGAAUAGAAGCAGACGGAAAAGCAACAAAUUUUUGCCGAAAAACGGUCACUUUCAUGGUUAAUUUUGCUACUCUCCAAUUGUACUUGACCAAUUACAACAAUUUCAUGGAGUUUGAUACGUGAAAAGAAUUUUUUAUAAAUUUUAUUUUGAUCCAUAAUGUUAUCUUUACAUAUAUAAAACAUUUUACAAUUUUGAUUUUGGCGCAGCUAACUUUUGGUUAACAAAAAUGCUCAUGUUUAAAAAACCAGAAAUAAAACAAAACAAGAAACAAAAGAAAUAAGAGGGUAGCAUAGACAUUUUGGAUUUUUCCGUUAAUUUGGAUGAUUUCCACCCACGUUCUAAUUUAAUCCAAAACACAAAGGAAUUACGUAGAGGUUUUAAAUAAUCAGGGAGCUUCAUGAUCGAACCCCAAACCACGUGAUAGCAUACAAGAGUUCUAUUUCACUAUCGGUAGACAAAGACUUUCUAUGGUUGAUGUACCGUAGGAAAAAAUCUGCCUAUACAACGUGAUAGCAUUUUUUCAAAAACACAAGAUGGAAAAUUGCCCCCUUAAACGUGGAAAUUCAUGAUCUUUCCUCGAACAAAGAAUACUCACGCCUAUUCAAGAUGGAAAAUUGCCCCCUUAAACGUCUAUUUGUCAAUUCUUGAAAAAAGAAUACUCACGCCUAAAACACGGCCUCUUCAUCUGCAGAAUUCUAAAAAGUUACGUAAACUCUAUAAACAAGUUGAUAGGUACAAUCGUACCCAAGAUCAAGUACAGAUAGUUGUACAUUCACUGCUGCAAUAACUAAUCUGAUGACUUACAAACAUAUCAUGGUCAAUCGUUGAAUGGUAAUGAGUCUUUUGUUAUGCAUUAGUAUUAGUGUGUACACUCUAAUAGAUUGAUACUUAUACUCUUUAAAUUAUCAUAAUAAUACCCUUAAUUAACUUUAACUCUUAAAAAGAAUACGUGUUAAUACACGAGAGUGUGUAACCUGAAUUGUUACUUAUACAUUAGUGUGUAAUAGAUAGGGAUGGCAGUGAGGGCGAGUGCCCGCGGGGGGCUCUCGGGGCGGGGGCGGGGGAGAAUUUUUUCCCCCCGUUUAGAAACGGGGCAGGGGACGGGGGAGUAUACCCCCGCCCCAUCCCCCGCCCCGCCACCCGCAAAAAAAAUUAUAUAUAUAUAAUUAUAUAUAAUAUGUAAUUUAAUUAGUUAUAAACUUAUGAUAAUGAUAUUAUUAGUUAGAUGUAUUAUAUAAUGUAUAUUAGUGUAUGUAAUAUAAUUAAUAUUAUCAAUUAUACGAAUAAUUAGACAUGUCCACUAAUAGAGUUUAUUAAUUAGUUAUACUAAAUUUACUAAUACAUUUGUACUAAAUUUCUAAUUACACUUAAUAGAAUAACACUUUUUUCUAAAAAAAAAAGCACAAACACAAUAAUGAAUUAGUGAUUGUAUUUGUACCAAAAGUGAAAACUUAACUAUUUUAGUUGUAUUUAUUUCAUCAUGUUGGAUUGUAUUCAAAUAAUUUUUGUUUGAUUGUUUUUAUGAGUUUCAAUUGUAAAAUUAAAAUGAAUAAUAACUUGAUGAUGUGUUGAUAUUUUAGUACUUGAUUAUUUAUUGAUUUAACUAUAAUAAAAUUUUAUUUUAUUAAAAUUUAACUAUAAUAAAAUUUUAUUAACCAAACGAGUUAUUAAUCCCGCGGGGGCACCCACGGGGGAAGCGGGGCGGGGCGGGGGAGUGGGAGGCGGGGGACGGGGCGGGGGUGGGGGGAGUUGUAGGUAGCGGGGCGGGGGAUGGGGGAGGGGUCCCCCGCCCCAACCCCGCCAUCCCCCGCCCCGUUGCCAUCCCUAGUAAUAGACUGGCAAGCAUUGUGGUGGUCAUUGAGAACUUACUGGAGAAAUAGUCCUAUAAGCUGUUCAAUGAGCAAUCACAACUUGCUAAUUGGAUGACUAAUAUAGCUCUAGCUGUAAUGUUUUAAUUAAAUUACAUCACUAACGUUGGGAUGACUUUUUAACCAAAAAAAAAUGCCUUAGUUCAAGCUUUUCCCUUUAUUGUGCAUUUUUUAAAGCAUUUGAUAGGCACUGCAAAUCUGUCAUUUUGGACAUUUUAUUAUUGACUAACAAUGAAAGCCGUGACGUCUACCCAUAACCAACACAAGAUUAAAUUAAUAUUAGAAAAAAUAAUUGAGUAAUUGGAAAAAAAAAAAGAGACUCAUUUUCAUUGAAACCCACCGACAAACUAAACGUGUCCAUGGCUUUUGAAUAGUGCAUUCAACGUUUAAUUGUAUAGUCCAGUUCAUUGCAGAUUACAUGGAGUAAAGAUUGUGCUCUUUCCUUUUUCACCCCUUUUGGAAUCGAUACUGUGGAGAAUUGGGUUUUUCCCUUCUUUUUUUCUUUUCUUUCCUUCUGUGCUUUGCAAAACAUAGGUAAAAAUAUGAAAUCCGAAGCAUUCUUUAAUUGGGAUUAAGUAUUGUUGUUGAAAUUAAAAAGAAAAAAGAAAGAACAACAAAAUUCCCAAUCUGGGUUGAUUGUUGAGCUCUAGAUUGGUUGCAUCGUGCUUCCAUAGAAGCUCUCUUAGUGUGAUACACUGCUUUCAAUCAGUUUAACACGGGAAAAAAAAAAAAAGAGAUGAAAAGCAAAUUUGGUGGGGAUAAUUUCAGAAACCUCCCCUGAAGAUUUUGACUAUUCUACUGGUCUCCCUUCAGAUUUUAAAAAUUACACUAAUCUUCCUUGAAGUUAAUUAUCUUGUAACAUUUAAAUUCAAUCAAUAAUUUAAAAAAUGAUAUUAUGAGAGAGAAAAUAAUGAUUUUAUCAUUGCCCCCCAUCUUACUACAUUAUUUAAUUAAUUUAAUAGCAACCCACACAUUAAAGAAAAAUAUUAAAAUUUGUUGUUUAUCAUUAAAGAUCAAAUCGCUUAUAACAUCAAAUAAUAGUAUAUUAUUUAUAUUUUUCACUCAAUAUAAUAUCCAAAUUACUCUUUUCAAUUACAUACCCAUUGUUAGACAAUCAACAACAAAUAACCAAAAAAUUUGCAACCAAAAUAUUACAAAAAAAUAAACUUUAACAUAUAAAUAUUCUUAUCAACAUAUUAAAGUUAGUUACUGAAAUUUUUAUGCUGUUAAACUUCACUCUUUUUGGUUACAGAUUUUUUUGAUUAUUUGUUAUUAAUUAUGUUUGAUGAUGGAUUUAUAAUUGAAAAGAACAAUUUGAAACUUACAUUAAGUAAAAUAUAUAGAGUGAUAUACUAUUUUUUAUAACAUAUGUGAUUCAAUCCUUCUUGAUAGGAUUGGUAAUAGAGGUAGAGGGGGGAGCCGGCUGCAUCCGGUCUACUUUUCAUAGAUAGUACAAUAUUGCGAAAUCGAUCGCAUUCACGCAAUAUUAUUUCCAAGUCAUUGCAUGGCUAAGCUGCAAAAAAAGUACGAACACAUGUUAUUAUAUAGCUUACGAUUCAAAACUUUAGAGCAUAACCCUCCACCUAACACAAUUGAAUAAUGAACAUUCACGUUUGUCAAAUCUGUCAAAGCACAGUUUGAGGACAACCCAUUCCAACCUGCAAAAGAUUUUUUACUUUUCUAAAGUUGUUGAGAGCUGUAAAAAGACUUACCAUGCUUGCAUCCUCCGAGCCUUGGGAGUUAAAAAUGAAGGCACUGAGUGCUAUAAAAAGGGGAAUAGAGGCUGCCUAGAAGCAUAUCAGCCUAAAACAAGAAUUUGUAGUUAAGAUGGGAAGCAAAGCAAAAGCAAUGGGGUCUGGGCUGACUCCUCUUCUUGCCACUGUUUUAGUGGUGUUUGUUGCUCUUGGCUUGCCCUCACAAACUGCAGCUGAUGAUCACUACAAGUAUUCAUCUCCUCCUCCUCCUUACCACUAUCCCUCACCACCACCACCAGUGCAUAUACCUCCACCUCAUCCUGUUUACAAGUACAAAUCUCCACCACACCCCCAGUACAAGUAUAAGUCACCACCACCACCUCCUCAUCCGGUAUACAGUCUCCUCCGCCACCACACACCCAGUUUACAAGUACAAGUCACCACCACCACCUCCUCAUCCGGUACCACACCCAGUUUACAAGUAUAAGUCUCCUCCGCCACCAGUUUACAAAUACAAGUCUCCUCCACCACCACCUCCAGUGUACAAAUACAAGUCUCCACCACCACCAGUUUACCACUACAAGUCUCCACCACAGUUUACAAAUACAAGUCUCCACCACCACCCCCAGUUUACAAAUACAAGUCUCCACCACCACCAGUUUACCACUACAAGUCACCACCACCUCCUCCCCCAGUUUACAAAUACAAGUCUCCACCACCUCCUCACCACUACUAAGCAAUUGCUUCUGAGGUAAUAACACUUGUUCAAUAUACCCACUUCUGCAUGAUAAAGCAUAUCUCUAUCAACACAAACUGUCAUGUCUAUCAUGCUAAGUGCCUUCACUUCAUCCACCAAAAUGACUGCUAGAAAAUUUUUUUUAUGUUACCAAAGAAAGGCAUCAUUUUUUCCCUCUGUUAUCAAGAACUUGUACAGUAUAUAGAUUAAAGAGUAUUUUUUUAACUAGCUUAUCAACUGAGAAAUGCAUAUAGCUGAUAGCCAGCUGAAUAUUUGCAGGCAAAGGAGAAGGAAACCAGUGUUUGAGACCUUCUUGAAGAUGUAGAAGCAUAAGAAUUAAAGCCCAAUGUGAAGAUGAUGAUUUCAAGUUUUUCUACGUUACCAUUUCUUUAUCUAAAUUGGUUGUAGCGCCUUAGUUCCUUUGUUUAUGGGAUUUGUAUCGUUUUACGUACCAUGCAGUACAUGUCAUGUUUGUAAGGUUUUCUAUCCUGCCGGCAAACCGCAGGUUCCAUGUAAUAAAUCAAUACUAUUUAUAUUACGACACUUUUCUCUGUUUCUCUUAUAUUUUGUCGUCUUUAAUAUUCUUAAUCAUAUUUUUAACAAAAAUAUUCAAACACUUAGGCAAUCUGGUCUAAUGCUAAUUGUAUGUUUUACUUUUCUUUUUCACCUGCUCCCCUUUUCAACUCAAAAGGAUGCAAUAGUUUGUGAUCACUGUUUAAGACGGAAGCAUGAUACUAAUGAAUAUCUCAUUGAAACUCAAGGAAACUAACAUUGCGAAAAGUGUAAAUCUUGAUUUGAUGCAACUAUUUAUUCGUGGAAUCUAUAGUUACAAAACUCAAAUUCUGACUGCGCCAUUGAUAAAUUAUUAAUGACGCUAUCAUCAUUAUUUAUCCCUAACUAGUUUCGACUACAACUGAACCCAAUAUUUUCCCCAUGAUAAAAGUUUUUGACUAUUUUACUGGCCUCUCUUCAAAUUUUAAAAAUUACACUAAUCUUCAUUGAGAUUAAUUAUCUUGUAACAUUUAAGUCCAAUUAAUAAUUAAAAAAUGAUAUUAUGAGAGAGAAAAUAAUAUAAUUUUAUCAUUGCCCCCCAUCUUGCUAUAUUAUUUAAUUAAUUUAAUAGCAACCCACACAUUAAAGAAAAAUACUAAAAUUUGCUGCUUUUCAUUAAAGAUCAAAUUGCAUAUGCCAUAAAACAUAGUAUAUCAUUCUAUAUGUUUCACUUAAUGUAAGAUCCCAAUUGUUCUUUUCAAUUACAAACCCAUUGUCAAUAACAAAUAACCAAAAAAUUUGCAACCAAAAUAUUACAAAAAAAAACUUCAACAUCAUAAAUAUUCUUACCACCUCUAGUGCAUUCACCCUCAUAAAAUAAUUCAAGACCCUACUGUCAUAAAAUGACUGAUCAACUCCCGUAAACCUAAUUUGACAACAUUUAAAUGGAGAACUUUAGCUAAAAGAAUUAUGGUCAAGCUAAAGAAAAAACCAGUUAUUUUCCAACAUAUGCAAUCAUUGAUCAGGGAAAAAAAAAAGAGCAAAAAGACAUCUUCAAUCAUUUAAUAGCUUACAGGGCAAAUUAACCCCUAAGCGAAAACUGGUUGCUCUAGAAUCAAAAUUUUACUUUAGUUACCCAGGCAACUUUUUUGUUGCUUUUUUUUUUUUUUUCCUUUAGUUUUGCCCCCUCUGUCAAGCUUAUAAAAUUAUUAAGAUAAUAAAAGUGCCUUGAAUAGUAUUAAUAUAUCCAUUGACUUGAGCUGUCGUCAGUUUGCGAUUCCAUGAGGCCUUUUCAAAGUACUCAGAAAAUGGGGAGUCAUGAAAUCCAUUUGUUCUAUUCAUUGCUAAGAUGCUUUUCUCUAUAAAGAGACUUCCUAACGAAAAUACUUUGUAGAUUUCUUUACUCCAAGUGGUGCAUGGAAAAUUAAUAUUUUCAAUUAUCAAAUAAAAUUCCCUUUUUUCGGCGUAGAUUUCAUCCAUCCAGCUGUUAACACAUUCUAUAAAUCCGAAUUGACUAAUCUUUUCGUUUCCAUUUUCCAACUUGCGAAUACGGCAUAUAGUGUCUGCUAAACACUAUAUAUUCUCUGCCAAAUAUGAAUACAUAUCACUUUUCUGAGCAAGUGCAGAGUCAUUAUCAUUUUUAUUCCCACCUAACAAAUUAGGGAUAAAAAAGUUAAUAAUCUUUACAUGCUAUCAGGUCACAAGUUAAUAAUCUUUUAAAGAACAUGUUAAAUUAAUUUAUUGGUAUGAAUAGUAGUCAAAGAAGUAUGUUAAAGUUAGUAAUCUUUAAAAUAAUAUGUUAAAAUCAUUCGUACAAAUUAGUCAGAGAAGUAGCAUAAACACCGCGAUGCAAUUAAUACUUUCAAUCUCAAGGUCUCUAUUAUGGAAAUUUGCAUCGGUCAAUAUACACUUGGCAUAAUAUAAUCUCCCAACUCAUUUCUUUACAAAUGCACCUUUAAUCACCACCAAAAGGUGUGGACAUGAUCUUUACCCUAGAAAACUAUUCACCGACAGGCAAAUUGACGUCAGAAAUACUGAGGAAUUCUAGUUUCCUUCGGGUUCAUGCCAUGUUGUAUCCUUCAACUGUAACUCGAUUUCUAAGCUGUAAUUUGUGACAUAAUAGUCCUUAAACUAUGAAACCCUUCUUACUUAAUUACAAUGGUUAAUACAAUGCCCGUGACUAGACAAGUAUGAAGCAACCAUAACAGAAAAAAAAUCCAAAAUUAGAGAAAAGAAAGAAGUUUCGCGACCACCACCAGUUUACAAGUCACCUCCACCACCUCCUCCAGUUUACAAGUCACCUCCACCACCUUACCAUUAUUCCUCACCACCACCUCCAGUGCAUUCACCCCCACCACCACCAGUUUACAAGUCUCCGCCACCACCUUACCAUUAUUCCUCACCACCACCUCCUGUGCAUGCACCUCCACCACCAAUUUACAAGUCACCUCCUCCAGUUUACAAGUCUCCACCACCACCUUACGAUUAUUCCUCACCACCACCUCCAGUGCAUUCACCCCCACCACCACCAAUUUAUAAGUCUCCCCCACCGCCUCCCCCAGUAUAUAAGUCACCACCACCACCUCCUCCAGUAUACAAAUCACCUCCACCACCUCCUCCAGUUGACAAAUCUCCACCACCACCAAUUUAUAAAUACAAGUCUCCUCCACUACCUCCUCCAGUGUACAAGUCAUCACCACCACCUGCUUACAAGUCUCCACCUCCUCCAGUUUACAGUUCCCCACCACCACCAAUCUACAAGUCUCCACCUCCACCCUACCAUUACUACUACAAUUCUCCUCCUCCUCCUCGUCACUACUAAGCAAUUGUAUCCAAGUUUUUGAGGUAAUAACGCUUAACCAAUAAAUUAACUUUCGCAUGAUAAACCUUAUCUCUAUCAAGACAAACUGCCAUGUGUAUCAUGCCAAAUACGUACACCUAGAUCCAUGAAAAUGAAUGGUGAGGAGGGCCAUUUAGGCUCGGAGCGCCCUAGGCCUAGUUCCCCACCAUUUCCUGAAGUGCCGCCUCGGGUAUUAUCCUGGAAGGCGAUCGCGGCCCAUUUACCACCUCGGCUACAAUGUCAGGUCGUAACACCGAGGUGGACAUUGAAUGACAACUACGAAAAGGGGAGAUGUGAUCUCUGACACCUGAGCAAAGGCUGCUCUGACCCGCCGCCUGAAUCUGACAGAAUGUCCCAUCACGUCUCUUCAUGGAGACCGGUCAAGUCCACCUGAUCCACUGACUAUCUCAGAUCUUUUGGGACCCGUGCAAACAUCUCCUCUCUCCUAUCAGUCCCCUAUAAAUACACGAUACUUCUACUGAAAAAGGAGAUGACCAAUUUCUGGUAAAACACACUCCACUCAUUAUUUACUUCUCUAUAUCCGAACUGACUUAAGCUUCGGAGUUAUACCGGGGGAUCCAGCCCCUUUCUUAUCCAAGCAGGUGACUUCGUCCAAGAGAGUUGCCCAAGGUAAAGAUAUUCUUCCAAUUGAGGUGACUCACUCCUGCGGGUCGAAAAUCACCUCUUCAAUUGGCGCCGUCUGUGGGAACCGCAAAGAUAUUAGAAGAUGAAGCCUGCGCGUUCUAGAAGCAGAAAAGCUCUCACUAUCGAGGCUGGGCAAAGCAAUGCAGCUCAACAAGAAAAUAUUUCUGAAGGGCAGGAGUCCCCAAGGACUCAGCCCGCAAACGAAAAAGCCAUAACCCGUAUGGCCGAGUUUGUGACCGAGAACCCCAACAUCUUUGAAGAGUUGGGAAGAUACCUGAAGAGGCAAGGCAAACAAAAGGCCGAGUCCUCUAAAAGGAUGUCAGAUGGGUCUCUUGAGGACUCAUCUGAGGAGGAGUCGGAUGGAAGGCACUUAAGCCGAAGUGCCUCAAAGCGAGCAUUUUCUAAGGCCACUUCUAAGGUAGCCUCCCUGACCAAGGCGUUUUCCCGAGGGCUCUUGGGCCGACGACCCGAGGAAGAACCUCGGCCCUUGGGAAUACCCGGGGUGGACUGCAUGAGGGCUCCACCGUUCACGGAUGAUAUAAACGAGGAAAGGCUUCCUCCCAAUUUUAAGCUCCCCGCAGUACAAUCUUACGAUGGCCGAGGUGAUCCCGAGAAUCACAUCCAUACCUUCAUCUCGGCCUUCCAAAUAUACUGCAUCCCAGACCCUGUCAUAUGUCGGGCCUUUCCAGUAUUCCUCAGAGGAACUGCUCGAAAAUGGUUCUGAGCUCUAGAACCUAGGAGCAUUUCGACCCUGGGUGAAUUAGUGGAGAAGUUUCUCCACCGAUUUGUCUCCUCCCGACCUACGACUAGGACCUCGGCUUACCUGCUCACCGUGCAGCAGAACCCGGGAGAGUCACUCCGGUCGUACGUCCGGAGGUUCCAUGAGGAAAGCGUUCAGAUACCUGACCCCAAUGAGCAGGUAACCCUCGCUGCCUUUACCCAUGGACUCGUUGCCGGGGAGUUCAAUACGGGGAUCCAUAAAAAAUACCCCCGCACACUGCAUGAAUUGUGGUUGAAGGUUGAAAAGGGCAUACAGGCCGAAGACCUCCAUCGCAUGAAGAAAGAGGUCCAAGCCACCCGUCCAAGGGCUGAGCCCAGAAAGGGAAAAGACGCUGGCCGAACUGAAGUAGGGUCGGGAAGUGGCUUCCGAAGUCCUGGCCGAGACCGCCGCAGCGUGUUCGACAGGAUAUCCAAGGGGAAGUCACCUAUUCCCGAGUCCGAGUUGACUCCUUUAAAUACUACCCGAUCUCACGUGUUGUCCGUGAUGGAACAAAACAACCUCGGCAAGGGCCCGCCGAGGAUGUUUGGAAGCAGAGACAAGAGGAACUCGAACCUCUACUGCUUGUAUCAUCGUGACAUUGGUCACGAAACUGAGGAUUGCAACGAUCUCAAGAAGGAGAUCGAGAACCUCAUUAGACGGGGACACUUGAAACAGUUCAUCCGCAGAGGUGGAGGUCACCAACGUGACGAAAACCGGCAUGACAAAUGAGGUGACCAACGCCGAGAUGAGCGGCGGAGCUCCAGAAGCAGUUGCCGACCUCCUGAGGAUCCCAGGGAGACGAAAAGGCCUCCCCCAGACGGAUCUUCGGGACAUGGGCCAACCAUUGCCCGGGUCAUUAACACCAUUGCCGGAGGUCCGACGGGAGGGGACAGUCAGAACUCCCGGAAGAGAACCUAUAAGCAGGCUAACCCGGAUCAGGCCGAGUCGAGUUCUCGCCUGUCCGAGGUGAUCACCUACGGGCUCAGUGAUCCCAUCCCAGCUGCAUCCAGCAGUCAUGAAACCUUGGUGAUUGAAGUCCUCACCAAUAACUACAUUGUGAAAAGGUCUACAUAGACCCGGGAAGUUCAGUUGACGUCAUGUACCUCCGUACCUUUGAGAGCCUUAAAAUGGCUAAGGGGUGCAUGACCCCGCUGAGAACCCCUCUUGUAGGGUUCGGGGGACACGUGGUGCACCCCGAAGGGAUGGUGACUCUGACAGUGACCAUAGGGCAUCACUCUCGCUGUAGAACCGUCCCUGUCAAUUUUGUGGUGGUUAAGGCUGACUCCCCAUACAACCUACUUUUAGGUCGGCCUACGCUCAAUGCCUUGCGGGCGGUCUACUCCACCUACCACCUGAGCUUCAAGUUUCCUACCCCAGCAGGGGUGGCCGAGGUCAGCAGCGACGUCUGUGCUGUCCGGGAGUGCUACCUCGCCACCCUACAAGCAGCCUCCCCGUCUACCUCCGGUGCGAGGUCCGAGAAGAGGUCAAAUAUCCUCUCAAUAGAUAGCAUCGAUCCUCAGUGAGCUGAGAAGGUCCCGAGGCUGGAGACUGGGGAUGAGGUGGAAGAGAUUCCCCUGGACCCCACGAAACCUGAUCAGACAGUUCGCGUUGGUACCCGAUUGCCCGGUCCUAUCCGAAGAGGUAUGAUGGACCUCCUCAGGGAAUACCGGGACGUCUUUGCUUGGGCCGCCGAAGAGGUCCAAGGAGUCCCGCACCAUCUCAUGAUGCAUGACUGAACGUCGACCCCCAAGUCCGUCCGGUCAAACAGAAGAGAAGGCACAUCGGCCCUGAGCGCAGCCAAGCUGUUGGUGAGGAAGUGGACAAGCUUUUACCCGCUAAAAUAAUCCGAAAAGUCCAAUACCCGAUCUGGUUGUCUAACUCGGUCAUGGUCAAGAAGGAUACGGGGGCUUGGAGAAUGUGCGUCGAUUUUACCGACCUCAACAAAGCCUGCUCCAAGGAUUGCUACCCCUUGCCCAAAGUCGAUACUUUGGUAGACUCAGCAAUGGGCUACGAGAUCCUCUGUUUCUGGGAUGCAUUCAAAGGCUAUCACCAAAUUGGGAUGAGUCAAGAAAACCAGGAGAAAACGGCCUUCUACACCGACCGCGGCACGUACUGUUAUACUACCAUGCCAUUCGGGUUGAAGAAUGCCGGAGCCACUUAUCAACGCUUGGUCAACCAAGCAUUCAAGUCUCAAAUCGGCCGGAAUGUUGAGGCCUAUGUAGAUGACAUCCUCCUCAAAAGCCAGACGAACUCCACCUUCCUGGCCGACUUGAAGGAGGUCCUUGACAUCCUGCGGAAGGUGAAAAUGAUGCUGAACCCCAAGAAAUGUGUUUUUGGGGUCACCUCGGGGAAAUUUCUAGGUUACCUCGUCUCAAGGCGAGGUAUCGAAGCAAAUCCGGAUAAGGUGCGAGCCAUCCAGGAGAUGUCUCCACCCCGGUGCGUCCGCGAUGUCCAAAGGCUGACAGGGCGAUUAGCCGCCCUGAAUCGGUUCUUAUCGCAGUCGGCAGCUAAAGCACUGCCCUUUUUCAAAGUGUUGAAGAAAGCUGACCAUUUCUCCUGGACGGAAGAGUGUCAACAGGCGUUUGAGCAGUUGAAGGAUUACCUUCACUACCUUCCAACGCUCACCUCACCUCGUCCGGGGGACAAAUUAAUCUUAUACCUUUCUGCUGCGGCCGAAGCGGUGAGUGCCGUGCUGAUAAGGAAGGAAGGGGUCCAAAUGCCCGUCUACUACGUUAGCCGAGUCCUCCGAGGUCCAGAGACCAGGUACACACAAGCAGAGAAACUUGUGCUAGCCCUGAUCCACGCCGCCCGCAGACUCAAGCCCUACUUCCUAGCUCACCACGUCUGCUUGAGGACUGAUCAACCACUUCGGCAGAUUUUGACACGACCAGAGGUUUCGGGACGUCUUACCAAAUGGGCCAUUGAGCUGGGGGAGUACGACCUAACUUAUGAGCCUCGCACAGCGAUCAAGGCCCAGGCUCUCGCAGACUUCGUAGCCGAGCUCACCUUUGACGAGGUGCAAGGAUCCGUCCCGGCUGCCACAUCGGCCACAGUUGAUGUGGCCACCACUGGGCUCCAGCGGUGGAUCCUACACGUGGACGGUUCGUCAACAGUGAGGGUAGUGGAGCAGGCUUGCUCCUCGAAGACCCCCAAGGAGAAAUAUGCUAAUAUGCCUUAAGAUUUGACUUCGCUGCUUCAAACAAUGAAGCUGAAUACGAAGCCGUCAUUGCUGGACUGCAGCUAGCUCGCAAGCUCGGGGCCGCACACAUCUUGGUUUAUAGUGAUUCCCAACUCGUCGUGUGCCAGAUAUUAGGUGAGUACGAAGCCAGGGACGAGGUGAUGCAUCGUUACCUCUCCAAGGUCCUCCAGUUGGCGACUCACUUCGAGUCUUUUGAAAUUCAAAGAAUACCGCUAUCGAAAAACAGAAGGGCUGACGCCCUCUCCCGGCUUGCCUCAACCUCUUUCUCUGACCUGAACAAGACGGUUCUCGUUGAAGUUCUAGCCGAACCAGGAUAUGUAGCCGAGGUAGUAUACCCCGUCUACCCUGGGGACACCUGGAUGGGUCCCCUGACUCGAUUUUUCAGCCAGGGUGAGCUCCCCGAAGACCGAGCUGAGUCACGGAAGCUCCAACGAAAAGCAGCACGGUACAUUCUCCGACAAGGCCUUUUAUACAAAAGGUCUUACCUCGGCCCUUAGUUGCGAUGUAUCACGCCCGAGGAAGGCCAGAGAAUCCUCCAAGACAUACAUGAGGGGCUCUGUGGUGCUCACGUCGGCUACAGAAUGCUGGUAAAAAAGGCUUUGUUACUUGGGUAUUUUUGGCCCACUAUGAGGAUAGAUGCCCAGGUCAUGGUCCUUUGCUGCCCCUCCUGCCAGCAUCACGCUCCUGAGCACCACCAGCCGACCAAUUUAAUGAUCCCUAUCACCUCGUCAUGGCCAUUUGAGCAAUGGGGAACGGACAUAAUUGGCCCCUUUCCCAGAGCUCCAGGCAAUUAUACCUACGUGGUGGUAGCAGUGGACUACUUCACCAAAUGGGUCGAAGCUGAACCCCUAAAAAAUAUCACUGGUGCGGCAGUCCAGAAAUUCUUCUGGAAGAAUGUGGUUUGCCGCUUCGGCCUACCCCGGGUGAUCAUCUCGGAUAAUGGCCGACAGUUCGCCGAUAAUCCUUUCAAGGCCUGGUGUGAGAACCUCGGGGUCAAACAGCAUUUCACUUCGGUGGGACACCCCCAAGCCAACGGACAAGCCGAAAACUUCAAUCGCACGCUCCUCCAUGGCCUCAAGACCAGGCUCCACCAGGCUGGAUCGUUUUGGAUGGAAGAGCUCCCCAGUGUGCUGUGGUCCUACCGAACUACGCCGAGAUCAGCAACCCAGGAAACCCCGUUUUCCUUAACCUACGGGUCAGAAGCUGUUGUUCCAGCCGAAUUCAUCACCCCGAGUCCACGAAUGGCCGCAUAUGCUGCCGAAGUCAAUGAAGAAGAACGGCGAGUUGACCUCGACCUCGUCGAAGAGAAGCGUGAUAUGGCCGCGGCCAAAGUUGCUGUUUACAAAAAUAUCGUAGCUGGCUACUACAACGCUCGGGUUAAACAUUUGCGGUUCAGUCCGGGAGACCUGGUGCUCAGGAAGAACUCAGUCAGCCGGGCUGAACCUCAGGGUAAACUAACCCCCAAGUGGGAGGGACCAUACCGUGUUGUUGAGUCCAGCCAAAAUGGAUAUUGUAAAUUGGCAUACCGAGAUGGGUCUCUGAGUGCCCCGAACUUGGCAUGCUGAAAAUCUUAAGUUGUACUACCCUUGAGGGUAUGUGCUUUUAAUCUUGAGUUAUUUCACACUUAUUUUCAUUUCAUUAUAAGUGAAAAAUAAGGGGACAAAGUAGCAGUAAAGAGGAAAACCGAAUUUAAUUAAAAAGAAAGCAAGAAUAUGAACUCAAUUCCAUUGAAUUACAUAAAAGUAGAAAGCCGAGGUCACCUUUAAUUAGGAAGAAAGCAAGAAUAUAAACUCAAUUCCAUUGAAUUACAUAAAAGUAGAAAGCCGAGGUCACCUUUGACCUCGGCCUACAAUGACAAAAAAAAAAACAAGUGCCUCUAGGCACUCCCUACCCUGACAUCCUGGCCCCCCGUGGUCGCGCCACCCGUUUCGGCACCCUGUCCACCCUCAGCUCCUCCACCGGCCUGGUCGUCUUCAGUACCAUCUAGUUCAAACUCCUGGAGCCAUUUGUUGAAUUCGGCUCGGACUUCGGUUAGGUCUUUCUCAGUCCGGAUGCCCUCAGCCAUGCUGUCGCAUAGCUCCUUGGCAUCCUCGUUAUAGUGCGAAGUGCUCUGAAGGGACUCCAGUUGUUCAGAGGGAAGAAAGGAUGCCGCGUCAUUAAUAGCCGACGUGUACCCGAACAUGAAGCUUGGCCGGGUGAGCUCGCCGAGGUCACGGAUGAAGGACUCUGACGUCCGGAAGGCUUCCACAGCAGUGACCCCGGCCUUGUCCAUGGCCUCCCUGUUUGACUGUUCUUCUUGGGCCCUCCUUUUUUUCUCCUCAUCAAGAGCAGUCACCAGGGAAUUGUUCGCGACCUCGGCCCUUUUGUUAGCCGCCUUGGCCUUGUCACGCUCCAACUCGGUUGCCUUCAGUUUUUCUUCCAACUCGGCAAUUCUCUUCUGGAGCUCGGCAGGAGGCUCAUAGUUUUCCAUGAACUUUCCAUACCGUUGAAUCAUCUCGACAAAAAAAGCCGUGGUAGAGGCCCAUGACACCGAGGCGCUCUGCAUCAACUCCCCUGCGGAGAGCUUCCUAGCAUAAGUGCUAUCUCGUGGCAGCACUGAAUGCACCAAGAGCUCCUGAGCGACCAAAGGGUUCUUGCAGCGAUCGUUGAAAUUAAUCUCCCACUCUGGACACCAGUGUGAUCCGGGGUGUCUCUUGUCCUCCUCAGCUGCCUUGAAAGGCACAUGAUGGAGUUUGAACAAAGAUGACCCCGUGACGGGGUUCUCCGGAAAUAUGGUCACACCCUGACCCCGGGGGGGAGUGGCAAUCGUGACCCAGCGAGAAGGGAUUCCCACCGGAAUUGCCGAGGCUCGGGAACCUCCCGGAGUGGCCGAGGUGUGCGAGCCCUCGCCCACGAUCACCACGGCAGGCUCGCGGUCGCCCGACGCCGCGGUGGUUUUCUUAGCCGGCCUGGAAGAGGACCCUGCAGUGUCCUUGCGCUUUUUGGGAGCUCUUUUGACCACCUCGACAUCUCCCGAGGUUAUCAGGUCGAAAAUCUUCGUCACUGCAAAGUAGGAGACGAAGUCAGUUAGAAUUCAAGAGGGAUAAACUAAAAGGGAAGAAAUGGAAAAAUACAAAGUCUGUGAAGCCUAGUCGAGAGUAAGACAGGCUGGUCAGAGCUCGUCAAGGCUCAACUGAUCCCGCCUUCCACGAGCACCACUUCGGGAAAAUCCCAGCAGUUUAUCCUGAGGCCCGACCCCGUUAACUUCUGGAAGUUACGCUCUUCUAACUUCCCUGGAGAUAUCUCCUUGAUCGAGGUGGGAGGCCUCCACCAGAAUCCGCGAGGGAAGUCAUCGGCCGAGACGAAGAAGAAGUUUUGCUUCCACUCCUUUAUUGAGUUCGGAGCAUCAACCACCAACUUCGGAACUUUGUUUCCGAAGUAGAACCAUCCUUUUUCACUUCUGCUGUUCUUGAGUGAGUAACAGCGGCGAAAGAGGUUGACCUAAGGUUGUAUCUCCUGAUGUCGGCAAAGUAGCUGGAAGCCAACGAGAAUGCGAAUAGCGUUAGGGGUGAGUUGAGUGAUUCUCACCCCCCAGUACCUCAGGCAGUCCCGAAGAAACCUCGUCGUGGGCACUCUGAGUCCGGCCUCCAGCUGUUCCUGAUAGAUAGUCACCUUGCCCUUUGGUGGCAGUGCGGCUGACUGAUGCGGUUGGGGUAUGUAAAUACUAUAAUCCCUUCUCCAGGGAUACCUGCGGACCACCUCGGCUAUUGAGGCUUGUCCCAUACCACUACUGAAGAACGGCAUCUGGCCGUAGUCGAGAGUUGCCACGUUUGGAGGAGUGGAAGGUUCUUGUACUCCCUCGUCUCUAGGGAUCUCAAUCCCGAGGUCAUCGUUGUAUAGGACCUCGGGCUGGACCUCGAUCUCCUCGGGCUGCACCUCAACCGCCUCAGCUCGGCGUGAUGCCUCGGCACCUCCACCCUCAGCUUGGUGAGAUGCCUCAGCACCUCCGCCCUCGGACGCGGUCCUUUCCUGGGAGGGGUCAGGCCUCUCUGCCUCAGUGAGGUCAGGUCUCACUGUCUCUUUGUGCGUACGAGCUGUUCUAGCCAUUGUAUCAGAAGGGGAAGAAGUGAACUUACUUAGAAUCUGCGACUGGAAGAAGAUGCCGAAGUAGACGUGGUUUAGAAAGGUUGCCGAAGUGAAAAGAGAAAGAAACAGAGUUCUGGGGUGAUUCUUGAUUUUUGGUGAAGAGUAAAACGGUGAAAAAAGACCACUAUUUAUAGGCCACCAGGGUGAAACCCAAGAGACGGCACCCUCUCUCUUCAUUAAUGGGAGGACUGUUCGUCUGCCAACACAGCUGACAGCCGUCCCUUCAGUUAUCACUCAGUCCCAUCUAUGCGGUCAUGACGUGUCCGUGUUCCGUGUUUUAUACGCUUCUCAGCUUCGGGAAGUAACGACCACGGCGGAUGCCCAUCUCGCCCUUCUCAAAGCUUGGGGGGCUUAGUGAGGAGGGCCAUUUAGGCUCGGAGCGCCCGAGGCCUAGUUCCCCAUCAUUUCCUGAAGUGCCGCCUCGGGUAUUAUCCUGGAAGGCGAUCGCGGCCCAUUUACCACCUCGGCUACAAUGUCAAGUCGUAACACCGAGGUGGACAUUGAAUGACAACUACGAAAAGGGGAGAUGUGAUCUCUGACACCUGAGCAAAGGCUGCUCUGACCCGCCGCCUGAAUCUGACAGAAUGUCCCAUCACGUCUCUUCAUGGAGACCGGUCAAGUCCACCUGAUCCACUGACUAUCUCAGAUCUUUUGGGACCCGUGCAAACAUCUCCUCUCUCCUAUCGGUCCCCUAUAAAUACACAAUAUUUCUACUGAAAAAGGGGAUGACCAAUUUCUGGUAAAACACACUCCACUCAUUACUUACUUCUCUAUAUCCGAACUGACUUAAGUUUCGGAGUUAUACCGGGGGAUCCAGCCCCUUUUCUUAUUCAAGCAGGUGACUUCGUCCAAGAGAGUUGCCCAAGGUAAAGAUAUUCUUCGAAUUGAGGUGACUCACUCCUGCGGGUCGAAAAUCACCUCUUCAAAUGGUAGAAAGUUUUCUUAAGAACCAAGAACAGCAUUAGUAUUCCCUCUGCUUCCAAAAACUUGUGUAUUAAAUAGAUUAAUGAAUUGUUUAACAUGCUCAUCUACUUGAAAAUGCACAAUACCCAUAACCCACUGAAAUUUUUGCAGGAAAAGGGAAAGAGAAUCUGUGUUUGAGAGCUUCAUGAAGAUGUUGAAGAAUAAGAAUAAAAGCCCAAUGCGAGGAUGUUUUCAAGUUUUUCUAUGUCCACUUUAAUUUGUAAAUUGAAUUUUACAACUCAAUUAAUUCCUUGUUUGUGAGGUACGUAUUGUUUUACGUACCAUGCCGUACAUGUUUGUAAGGAUUUCUAUCCUAUUGGCAAAAGUCGGUUCCAUACAAUUAAUCAAUUCAUUUCACUUCUAUUGGCUCUACUAUUUAUGCAUGUUACGACACUCUUUCCCUUAUAUUUUGCCUUUAAUAUUAUGAGUCAAUAGUAAUAAUGGGCCUUUUUCUUAAAAUUAUACUAUUAUACAUAGGUAGUUUGGUCUAACGCUAAAUUCAUGUUUGUCUUUCUUUUAUUCCCUUUACAUCUCAAAGUAUACUAUAGUUUGUAAUCAUUGUGGUGAUGAUAUUACCAGCUGGUACUUAUAGUUUAAGGCAGAGACAUGAUAUUAACAACUAUCUCAUUGAAACAUAAGUCAAAAUCAUGACAAGUGUGAGUCUUGGUUAAUGCACAAUUUGUUAGUGGAAUUUAUAUUUAUAAAACUCAAAAAAAAUUUUUGACAAUGCUAUUACUAAUUAAUUAAGGACUUCAUUGCUAUAAUUUAUCGCUUACUAGUUUAAACUAUAAAUGAUCUCAAUACUUUUCUCCAUGAUGUCGAUUUCUUUAGACUACGAAAGGGAAAAAUUAGUGACAUAUCCCUUACUGAUUACAACAUCAGCAAAAAUUAGUUAUAAACUUUUCCGGUGGUUUUAAAUCCCUCGGGCACUAAGGUUUUUUGCACAUCGAGUGAAUUAAGGAACAUAGGCAAUUCGUUCUGCAUACCAAGUCCUUGUUUAAGAUGCACGUACUAAAAUGCAUCCACUUCAUUAAUUUGGAAAAUUGCCAUAGUUUUUUUUAAGCAUUUUGAUUUUUUACAUGAUUCAAAAUUUUCUUAUUGGAUACAAUCACUUUGUGUCAAGAACACAUUUUCAAUCAUCUUUUUUAUCUUCUCAAUAAGAAAAUAAAAAUUUAUUCAUGCUUUUCUAACAUAUCCAAUCAUUGAUCUGAAAAAUAAAGAAUUAAAAAAAAAAGACAUUUUCAAUCAUUGCUUACAGGGCAACUUCCCCAUGUGAACCUCUUCAAACAAAGCCAAUAAUAUGAAGGAACAUCUAAAUACACUUUUGCCCUAAAGGCUGGUUGCCUUGGGGUCAAAAUUUAACCUUCGGGAGUAUAAUUACCCGCCAAAUUUAUUAUUUUUUAUGGGUAUAUAGUUCCAAUUUUGCCUCCUGUUAAGCUUAUAAAUAUAUUACGACCCAGAAAAUAAAGGAAUCUUGAAUAGUAACAUGUCCAUUGACUUGAGUUGUCAUCAAUUUGGCUACUUCGAUUCCAUGAGGCCAAUCCAAUUCACACUAGCUAGAGAAAAUGGUGAUAAAGGCACUUAGAAAUUUAUAUGUAAUAUUGAUUGGUAGUAACUGAUAAGUAUAUAUUUUACGUGUUUUAAAUAUGUUUUAUUAGUUAGUUUUGGUGUGUUUUAACUACUUUUAUAACUAAUUAACUAGGAAUCUAGUGAAAAUAUGCAUUUUGUGGUUUGAAGUGUGAAAAUUGUAUUUCUAUGGAUUUUAAUGGUGAAAACUUCAUGUUUUUGUAGGUUUAAUGAUUCAAUCAUCAAAUGACAUGAUUUGAGAAGAUAAUUAGAUGAUUGAUGAUGUUUUGAAGUGAUAAAAAGAGAAUACAAAGUGCAAGAGAGGAAAUGCAAUCAAGAAUAAAAGAAGAAAAUUUUUGUAGCUUUGACAUAUUGUGGUAUUUUGGCAAUAUAUUGAGCUACAAUGAUUGGAUUAAGGUGAUUCUUAAACCAUUUGAAGCUAAGAUAUAGAUCUACAUUUGGUAUGAAGGCAUCGAAACCCAUGUCAGUCAUUUUCCUUGUCAAAAUGUUGAAAUACAGAAGUGCAACUCUGUUCUCGAAAGCUAAAACAGAGCUCUGGCUAGUCGAGGGUAUUUUCAUCAUUUCUUAGUCCACAGAGCUCCAAAUGAGAUGAUUCUUAAGGCAUUAGAACCCUAACUCAAAGAGCUACAACUUUCAUAUUUUGUACAAGAGUUAGUUCGGCCUCCAUCAUUCAGAAAAUAGUAGUUGAAGUGGUGCCAAAUGCAUAGAAGUGAAAACGCGAGCUAUCAAUACUCGACCUGAAGUCGCGUAUUCCUGAGGUCAUGCAUUCUCUUCUAUUUUCUGCAACUUGCCCUGCUUUCACAUAAUUUUUUCAUCUCAAUUCCAACUAUCAAUUUCGGCUAUAUCUGAUCAAGAAAAGUGUGGAAAGUUUGAAAGACAACUCAUAGGAGUUUCAAGAGUCAAAAAUUACAAUUAGAAACAACUCAUUUGGCUCUUGAAUCCUCUAUAAAUAGAGGCCUUUGAAGAACAUUUUCACAACUUUGGAAGGUUAGAGAAACUCCACAAAAACAUAGUCUUCACUAGAAUUUCCUUAGUUCAUUAGUUAGGGUAGUAUAGUAUAGUUAGUGUAGCUUUUCCUUCUUGUAUUUAUAGUUAGGUUUGAAUGAAGAUUCAGGAGCAAAGAUAGAGAGGUUGAUCUCAUGUGACAAGGGUGAUAUCUCUUCUACUACUUUCUCUUUUGUAUUUGAUUUCAUAUUUAACUAUACUACAAAUUUGGCUUUGUUUUUUUUUUUUAUCAUGUUUAGUUAAAGUUUAUGCCUAGAGUAUGGAUGACCUUUCUAUAUCUUGUUUGUGAUAUUUAACUGGUUAUUUGAUGAUGUUAUUUUUGAGCAAGUUAUUUAUCACUUUUGCUUUUCUAAUCGUGAUUAACUGGCCAUUAGUUGUGAUUAUCUAAAAGUGUUAAGUUUGUAAUGAGAAUUGGAGUUUAACACUAGUUCAAGGAAGUGAUAAAUUUAGGGAGUUCACUCAUGAGAGUAGAGGAACACCUUUGUGACCUAAGUGACUUGUUUCAUAUAAUUUCAUAGAAAAAAUGAACUUGUAAUUAAUUUCAUAACCACGAGAGUAAGUAUGGUUUAGCUAUAUGUAUAGUUGAUUCACUACGAGAGUAGGUUUCACAUACAUUAGAAAAUUACAUCAUAACUAGUCAAGAUAAUAUCAUUCAUUUAAUCAGUAAUCUCAUUUGCAUGAGUAGUAAGGCAUUCCAUAUCUCUAGGAGGUUUUUAGUAUUAUUUUCAUUACUUUUAUGUUUAUGGUAGUCUAGAUAAUAAUGGAGUUCAAAAACUACUAGUAAUUGAAAAUUUUCCCUGUGGGAUCGACCUUUAAUACCCUAUACUCGCUCUCGACUCGUAUACUUGCGAAAAAUCACGUGUGCGGUAUUUAGAAUUUAUAAAUGUAAAACUUGACUGUAGAUGAACUAAUUGAUAUAUGUAUACCCCGCACUCGUCAGUAACCAGCUUGUAUUGAUCCCAUUAUUGUGGAUAAUUGUGCUCUUAUGAAAAAAAAUUAUAAAAAAAUUAGCAAAAUUUAUGAUAACAAAUUAAAUUUAUUCAUACAAAUCAGUGAAAGAAGUAGAAUUUUAAAGACCAUGAUGAAAUUAAUACUUUCAAGGGCUCUAUUAGGAAGACUUCACUUGUUGGUGAAACUACACUAGCACAGUUAUAUGCACAUUUACUGUUUUGGUAUCUAAUUUCCUUGCCUUAAGUUGGGUGCAGAUGUUUAUAUUACAAAUAGAUGGUAUCAUAAAAUUGUUGUAUUCACGUUUGUUCUUUUUUUUUCUUCCUUAAGUUUUUUUCUUUAUUCUCGUGACUUCAAAAAUACGAACUCAAGAAAUUGGCUGCUUAAUCAAUAUGUCAUACAGGCUUCGCUAGUGAGGUAUAACUUCACAACUAGAGUCAAUAGAAAUUAUCAAAUGAUUUUUUAACAUCCAAAUUAAGCAAUAAAUUUUGUUUUCAUUUUAUGACAUAUAAUAGUACUACUUCAUGAGAGAUUUUAUAGUUUCUUUUAGGUAUCAUACCUACAAGUGAUAUUUGUCAUUGGAUAGUGACAGAAGUGUUAAUGAUUGUAAGAUUAAAUAUUGUUAAAUAUUGAAAUUUAAACUAUUUAUCUUUAUUGAAAGAUACAAGUUAAAGAAUCGUUCAAGGGGGCAAUUUUCCAUCUUGUCUUUUUGAAAAAACGCUAUCACAUUGUAUAGGCAUGAUAGGUUCAAAUUUGUCAUUAAAUUUAUGAUUGAUUUCCCUUUUAUUCAAGCCAAAUAUUGUUUUAAUUAUCAAAUUCUACUUAUAUUUGGUUAAUUGUACUAAUUGUAGGGCGGUAGAGCAAAAGUUGCUAAAAAUAGGUGAUUUUCUGCAAAUUGGUUGUCAAGGCUGAAGGAUUUGGGAUUCGCAUGUUCAAGGCCUGUUUCCAAGUUUGAUUCAAACUCUGGACAGUUUUAGAGGAAGAUUUGGAAGAUUUGAAAUUUCAUUAUUAGUUUUAUGGUUGAAUUAGGAAUCUUGGAAUAAUUUCUUUUGUGAUUUAUUUUUCUAUUUAGGAGACUAGUUGUUAUUUAGUAGUAGACUUCAAUUAGAAAACAAAGAGAAAAAGAAGGCCGGAAUCCCGCUUGAUUAAUACCUUGGCCAGGGAACAAUCUCGGUGGGGAGGACGGCCACUUAGCCUCUCAAUUCAUCUUGCUUUUCGUUAGUUUGAGAGGAAAACCAAUUGCAACUAGAUUCAAUGGAGUCUGGCAGAAUUUCUUCUAGGAUGCGUAGCUAAAUCCUCAAUUUUUAGUCGAAGGUCAAUUUGAAAAUUCGGUUCCAAAUAUCUGUGAAAUCGAAUUAUUUUACUUAUUUCUUUUAUUUAUUGGUAUUCGCACGUUUUCUGAUUUAACUUUUUAUGAUUGUUUUGUUAUUUGAAUGUCAAGGGUCCGAUAUUCGAAUUAACUUAAUAAUCUACUGCCAAAUUAACCGGUUAAAUCCGUAAUUGUUUGAUUGAUUAAUAUCAGUGGCGACUAGCGUGAUUGGUCCCAUGUUAGGAAAACGUCUGAUCUAAUUUAAACAAACCGUCGUAGCGUGUUUGUUGAUUAGGGUUGGACUUUUCUAAUUCUUAAUUCAAUUGAGAAAUUAAAUCUCCCGGUCGUACCUAAGAUUAUUUUUUUGUUAGCGAAAUAGUUAAUGGUCGUACCUUGACUAUCGAAAAAGUAAGGAAGAGUUGAUUGUUUAUCGCGUGUACGACAACUAUAAUCAAUCUAUUAAUGAGUAAUUGAAUUAUCUUUGCAUCAGUAAUCAGUUGAAUGGACCGUGUCUGAAAAGUUGUACCUUUGGCUAGAGUCUUAUCUGUUGUUGAUUCAUUCAUAUCUAUCUUCAUGCGUUGUUUUAAUUUAGUUAAUUAGUUAUUUUUAUAAAAACCCCUCAUCUCUGGACUCUAAAAGAAAUAAAUUAUUUCUAGUUCCUGUGGAUUCGAUCCUACUCACCGCUAUAUACAAAAUUUGUAUUUUUUUGAAUAAAUAAUUAUUAUUACACAGGCUUGACACCUGUCAAGGCAAAAUUUCCUUAACUUCAUCAUCUGUAGACGUAAACUUUCUACGGGUGAUAUAAUAUAAGGAAAUUUUGCCUAUACGAUGUGAUAGCAUUUUUUCAAAAAAGACAAGAUGGAAAAUUGCUCCCUUGAACGGAAAAAAUCAUGAUCUUUCCUCAAACUAGUCUACUAGUCAAUUCUUUACAAAAGAAUACUCGCUCCUAAACAUAGCCUGUUCAUCUACACUGUCCCGCAGAAUUCUAGAAAGUUAGGCAAAACUAGACAAGUUGACAGGUAUAAUCAUACCCAAGAUCAGGAACAAGCAGUUGCACAUUUCAAAAUUCGCUGCUGCAACAGCUAAUUUGAUGACUUACAACACUACACGGUCAAACUUUGAAUGGCAAUGGAUCUUUUGUUGUACGUCAUGAUGUAAUUUUCAUGUUACAUACAUUAAUAGGUUGAUAUCUAUAUUCUUUAAAUUAUCAUGAUAAUACCCUUAAUUAGAUUUAACUGAUAAAAAGAACACGUGUUAAUAUACAAAAGUGUGUAACGUGAAUGUUACAUUACUGUAUUGCAGAAGACCUAUAGUCUCUUCAUAUCUCUUCCUGCACGUAUCAAUUCGUUUCCUCUAGAUAAUAAUCUCCCAACUCGUUUCUUUACAAAUGCACCUUUUAUGUUUUAUUACCUCCAAAAGCCUUUACAGGGUCUUUACCCUAAAAAUCAAUUCACCGACUCGCAUUUGAUGUCAGAAAUUCUUAAGACGAAUUCUACUUUACUCAAAGAUUGACUGUUAAUAAUGAGACAGCGACCAUUUUGUAUUAUUAGACCGUCCUUCUUGAUAGGUAAAAGAAAUAGAGAGGAAAGUGGGUCCGUAUAUGGUCUUUUAUUCAUAGAUAAUACAACAUUACGCCAUCGAGCAUUCACACAAUAUUUCAAAGUCAUAGCAUGCCUAAGGCCCUGUUUGAUAGCUCAAUUUCGUAAUUAAAUUUAAUAGAUUCAAAUUUUAACACAUUUAAAUCAUUUGAUAACAAAAAAUUGAAUAUUUAAAUUAAUUAAGUAACACUGAACUUUCUAAACAAAACUUGCUUUCAAAAUUAAGUGAUAAGUUAUUCACUUAUCUUUGAAUGUGAUAUGCACUCAAAUAUAUUAAAUUUAAUAAUUUAAUGGAUUCAGAUUUCAGAUUUCAGUUUUAUUACACACCCUAAGUUGCAAAAUAAUACCAAAACUUGUUAUUAUAUAGCUUGAGAUUCAAAAAUUUAGAGCAUAAUUCUCAACCUAACACAAUCGAAUAAUGAAUAUUCACGAUUGUUUCAAAGUACAAUUUGAGGACAACCCAUUCCAACGCGUACACGAUUUUUAACUUUUCUAAAGUUGUUGAGAGCUGUUAAAAGAGAUUUACCAUGUUUACAUCUUCCAAGUCUUGGAAGUGAAAAAUGAAGCCACUGAGUGCUAUAAAAAGGGGGCUAGAGGCUGCCUAGAAGCAUAUCAGCCUAAAACAAGAAUUUGUAGUAACAAUGGGGAGCAAAGCAAAAGCAACGGGGUCUAGGCUGACUCCUCUUCUUACCACUGUUUUAGUGGUAUUUGUCGCCCUUGGCUUGCCCUUGGAAACUGCAGCUGAUUAUUACAAGUAUUCAUCUCCUCCUCCUCCUCCUUACCACUAUUCUUCACCACCACCUCCAGUGUAUUCACCUCCACCAACCCCUGCUUAUAAGUUACCCCCACCAUCUCCUCCAGUUUACAAGUCCUCACCACCACCUUACCACUACUCACCACCUCCGGUGUAUUUACCUCCACCAUCUCCAGUUUACAAGUCACCACCACUACCCCCUCCGGUAUACAACUCCCCGCCUCCACCAGUGUACAAAUACAAGUCCCCACCACCACCUCCUCCAGUUUACAAAUCUCCAUCGCCACCAGUUUACAAAUACAAGUCACUCCCACCACCUCCUCCGGUAUACAAGUCUCCUCCGCCACCUGUUUACGAGUACAAGUCUCCUCCACCACCUCCUCCAGUGUACAAGUCCCCACCACCUCCAGUUUACAAGUACAACUCACCUCCACCUCCUCCCCCAGUUUACCUGUCUCCACCUCCACCCUAUCAUCACUACUACGGUUCUCCUUCUCCUCACCACUACUAAGCAAGUGCAUAAGUUUUGAGGUAAUAAUACCUAUCCAAAACUUUAUCAACACAAACUGCCAUGUAUAUUAUCAUGCUAAGGACGUACACUUGAUCCAUGAAAAUGACUAGUAGAAGAUUUUUUUUAAGAACCAAAGAAAUACAUUAUUUUUUCGGUCUGUUUUCAAGAAUUUGAGCAGUAUACAGAUUAAAGAGUGUUUUUUUUUUUGUAAACUUGCUUGUCAACUUAAAAAUGCACAUAGCUGAAAGCCAACUGAAUAUUUGCAGGCAAAGGAGAAGGCAAUCGGUGUUUGAGACCUUCAAGAAGAUGUAGAAGAAUAAGAAUAAAAGCCCAAUGCGAGGAUGAUUCCAAGUUUCUACGUUACCAUUUCUACAUCUAAAUUGACUUUAGCUCCUGAGUUCCAUGUUUAUGGGGUUUGUACCGUUUUACGUACCAUGCAGUACAUGCUUGCAAGGUUUUCUGUCCUGUUGGCAAACUGCAGGUCCAUAUAAUAAAUGAAUACUAUUUACAUUACGACACUUUUCUCUUUUUCUCUUAUAUUUUGUCUUUAAUAUUGUUGAUCAUUUUUUUUUUAUCAAAAGCAUCAAAUGCUUAGGUAAUUUGGUCUAAUGCUAAUUGUUUUACUUUUAUUUUUCACCUACACCCCUUUUCAACUCAAAGGAUGCUAUAGUUUGUGAUAAUUGUUUAAGACCGAAGCAUGAUACUAAUAAAUAUCUCAUUGAAAGUCAAGGAAACUAACAUUAGGAAAAGUUUAAAUCUUGAUUUGAUGAAACUAUUUAUUCGUGGAAUUUAGAGAUACAAAACUCAAAUUGUGACGGUGUUGUUGCUAAAUUAUUAAGGACAUUAUCACCAUUAUUUUUCCCUGAUCACUAGUUUCAACUGCAAUGAUCUCAAUCUUUUUGUGACUAAUUCUUUCCUUAAUAAUUUAUAAAGACAAAACUCACAAAGAAUAUGUGACUAAUUCUUUCCUUUCGUCUUCUAAAGAAAAUGCCAACUGUUAGUUUAUCAAGGGGAAAAAGGAUCGACAUCAGUUAUUAUUGAAACUAGUAAGGAAUAAAUAAUGGUGAUAAUGUCCUUAAUAAUUUAACAACAGCACCAUCAGAAUUUGACUUUGAGCUUCGGUCUUAAACAAUGAUCACAAACUACAGCAUCCUUUGAGUUGAAAAAGGAAGUAGGUGAAAAGAAAAGUAAAAAAUACAAUUAGCAUUCCCUCAAAUUGUAGAAAGUUAGGUAGCAUUAUAGACAAGUUGAUAGCGGCAAUUUUACAUUUCAAACUUCACCUAUUCAAUAACUAAUUCGAUGGCUUGCUACAUGGUCAAUCUUUGGACCCCUUCCUGCCUCCAGAUAUCCCUUUCCUCAAUCAGGGGCUUCUACAAUUACCAGUUUCAAUUGUAUGGUAUAGUGUAAAUAUCAACAAAUUAGAUGUAGAUGCUAACAUAAUAAAUGUGAAUGCUAAGACAGCAACAUACAAUCGAACCUGCAAUUGUAUGAACCCCAAUCUCGCUUCCUAGUCCACCAUCUUUCUCUAGGUAAUAAUCUCCCUUCUAAUUUAUUCACAAAAUGCACCUUUCAUCACCUCCAAUAGCGUCGACAUGAUCUUUACCCUAGAAGACUAUUCACCGACUCUCAAUUGACGUCAGAAAAUCUAAGAGUAAUUCUACUUUACCCUAAGAUUGAUAUCAACAAGACAAGGACAAUUUAGAAUUAUUACACGCCUCUUCUUAAUAGGAAAAAGAAAUAGAGAAGAAAGUCAGGCCAGGUCUAAUUUCUUUUCAAAGGCAAUACAACAUUACGAAAUCAAGCAUUCAUUCAUACAAAUAUUUCAUAGUCACCGGUUUGCUGAGUAGAAAAAUUUAGACAAAAACUUAAUAUUAUAUUGUUUAAGAGUUAACAAUUUAGAGCUUAAUCUCCUUGUACUUUGGAGUUAACAAUUUAGAGCUUAAUCUCCUUGUACUUUGGACUAAACUUGAACGUGAAAGGAAAUCCCAAAACCAUAUUGGGCAUGAAUUCACACUUAAUAUACCCAAUAAAAGAUGGCGACUGGUGAAAGGCAGUGGAGACUGGUGGAGAGAUUUGAGGAAUAGAAGCAGACGGAAAAGCAACAAAUUUUUGCCGAAAAACGGUCACUUUCAUGGUUAAUUUUGCUACUCUCCAAUUGUACUUGACCAAUUACAACAAUUUCAUGGAGUUUGAUACGUGAAAAGAAUUUUUUAUAAAUUUUAUUUUGAUCCAUAAUGUUAUCUUUACAUAUAUAAAACAUUUUACAAUUUUGAUUUUGGCGCAGCUAACUUUUGGUUAACAAAAAUGCUCAUGUUUAAAAAACCAGAAAUAAAACAAAACAAGAAACAAAAGAAAUAAGAGGGUAGCAUAGACAUUUUGGAUUUUUCCGUUAAUUUGGAUGAUUUCCACCCACGUUCUAAUUUAAUCCAAAACACAAAGGAAUUACGUAGAGGUUUUAAAUAAUGAGGGAGCUUCAUGAUCGAACCCCAAACCACAAGGCGAUUUACUAUAUUUUACUCUUAAAUUUUGGUUUCAUCUCAUAGCAUACAAGAGUUCUAUUUCACUAUCUGUAGACAAAGACUUUCUAUGGUUGAUGUACCAUAGGAAAAAAUCUGCCUAUACAACGUGAUAGCAUUUUUUCAAAAACACAAGAUGGAAAAUUGCCCCUUAAACGGGGAAAUUCAUGAUCUUUCGUCGAACAAAGAAUACUCACGCCUAUUCAAGAUGGAAAAUUGCCCCCUUAAACGUCUAUUUGUCAAUUCUUGAAAAAAGAAUACUCACGCCUAAAACACGGCCUCUUCAUCUGCAGAAUUCUAAAAAGUUAGGUAAACUCUAUAAACAAGUUGAUAGGUACAAUCGUACCCAAGAUCAAGUACAGAUAGUUGUACAUUAACUGCUGCAAUAACUAAUCUGAUGACUUAUAAACAUAUCAUGGUCAAUCGUUGAAUGGUAAUGAGUCUUUUGUUAUGCAUUAGUAUUAGUGUGUACACUCUAAUAGAUUGAUACUUAUACUCUUUAAAUUAUCAUAAUAAUACCCUUAAUUAACUUUAACUCUUAAAAAGAAUACAUGUUAAUACACGAGUGUGUGUAACCUGAAUUGUUACUUAUAAAUUAGUGUGUAAUAGAUAGGGAUGGCAAUGGGGGCGGGUGCCCGCGGGGGGCUCUCGGGGCGGGGGUUGGGGCGGGGGGGAAUUUUUUCCCCCCGUUUAGAAAUGGGGCAGGGGACGGGGGAGUAUACCCCCGCCCCAUCCCCCGCAAAAAAAAAAUUAUAUAUAAUAUGUAAUUUAAUUAGUUAUAAACUUAUGAUAAUGAUAUUAUUAGUUAGAUGUAUUAUAUAAUGUAUAUUAGUGUAUGUAAUAUAAUUAAUAUUAUCAAUUAUAUGAAUAAUUAGACAUGUCUACUAAUAGAAUUUAUGAAUUAGUUAUACUAAAUUUACUAAUACAUUUAUACUAAAUUUCUAAUUACACUUAAUAGAAUAACACUUUUUUCUAAAACAAAAAAGCACAAACACAAUAAUGAAUUAGUGAUUGUAUGAUAGGGUGUAAUUUUACUAUUUAUUUUAUUAUUAAUUUCCCCUAUCACCUGACCUGAUGUGGAUUAAUUGCUGGAUUCUGCUCACUUUUAGUACUUUGUAUUUAUUUCAGGGAGUAGAACGGAAAUUUGAUAACAGGUGCUAAUUUGGCAGAAAAAGAGUCCAGAUGAUAGAGCUUGCCCCAAGGGCAUUUUUGGAAAGGAGAACUUGUGCCCAUCUUGGUAAUUUGGGAGAAAAGGGAAACAGACAAAAUGGGUCUAACAUGGAUUGGAAGCGGCCGCACAGUAGCAGGGAAGAGGGCAGACGUAAAAGCAAUUGCAGGGGGGAAAAGGAGUUUUUUUAGUUUUUAGCUUAGCAUCUGAUUUUCCCUGGGAGACUUUUGUUAAAGAUUUCCUUUUGGCUGAUAUUACGCAUGGCAGAUGGCUUUUAACUUAUUCCUCCAUCUUUGACUUUUCUUCUUUAGCUUGUGGCAGUGGAUUGCUACUUACGAAUGUCAGCACUUAGCCAUUCGUGGCUUUUGAUCUUUUCUUCCUUAGAAAUUCUGAGUAACCUCUUUUCCUUUGUGCGCCAGACGAAGUGAAAACUAUAAACUUUUGUAGUUUUUCUAUUCAUUCAAUAUAUUGAGACGAGUUGGAUUCUACCAAAUUUCAACGGACAUGGCCGCUGGUUUCUCUUCAAUUUUAUAUGGGCUUUGUUCAUCCAACAUGAACUAAUUUCACCACUCUAGUCAAGGAGCAACGAAGGCUCUGAUUUGCCUAAAAAUUGUGAGAUCGUUUUAAUUUAAUCUUUUCCUUUUAUUUAUUGGUAUCCGCACAUUUCUUGAUUGCUAUGCUUAUGGUUAUUUAAUUAAUUGAUUGUCUUGGAUCCAGAUAAUUAAUUGAUCUGAUAGCCUAUUGUCAAUUAGGGCAUUUAAAUCCGUAAUUGUUUAAUUGUCCUGAAAUAGUGACAACUGGCACGAUUAGAUUCGUGCCAGGGGGGAUAUGCGGGCUAAUCUAAAAUAACCCUGGUAGUGUGUUAUUUGGUUAGAAUAGGGCUCCUCUAAUACUAAGGCAAUUGGGGAAUUAAAUUCUACGGGCGUACCUAGGAUUAUUUCUUAAUUAGAGCAGUGAUUAACGGGCGUACCUUGAUCACCGACACAGUAAGGAGGGGUUGACCGUCAUCGCUUGUUUGGCAGUUAUAACCUAUUUAUCAGUAAAUAAUUGGGAUUGCCUUGCAUCAAUGAUCAAUUAGGUGAACCAUUGUUGAAGUUACUUCUUGGUUAGAUCUUUAGUUAAUAUUACCUUGAUUUUGGUGAAUUGCCAUUUGAUUUUUAGUUGCCUACUUUAUUUUAUUUUUAAUUGUUUCCUUGCUUUAAUUGAGUUAGGCCUUUAAUUAUUGUUAUUCUAAGUUUAGUGAAUUGUGGUUUAAUUCCUAAUUAGUUAUUUAUUUUUACUUUCUUAUUUGAAUUUAUUUGCUUGUUAUCAUUCCUACGAAAUCACCCCCCUGUGUUACUUUGGAUUUCUUAAGAAACAAAUAUACCCAAUCCCUGUGGAUACGACCCUACUUGCUCUGUUCACGAAUUCAUAAUUAUUUGUGAAAAGAAAUAACCAUUCCACUCGGGUAUAUCGGAUCAAGCAAAUUCUUCGGGAACAGGGUGAAUCAAGUAACCCAAUGCACACCUAGAGUCCCUGCUCCAGUACUUGGAAUUGGGUUUUGGUCAUUUUAACUGGCAAUUAGGUUUAAUUUUAUUAUUGCACAGGCUGACGACCCUGUCAAUUUUUGGCGCCGUUGCCGGGGACUGGCGUUAUUAUUUGUUUCUUUUUAAAUUCAUUCUUUGUCCUAAUUUUCUGGUUUUCUUCUAGUGUAUGCCUCGAUCUUCUCGUACAGGUAAUUUGAUUUUUGACCCUGAGGUAGAGAAGACCGCAUGUAGAACGAGAAAGGAAACCAGACAGCUCAGAGAAGAGCACUCCAGUGCUACAUCUCAGAGACCCGAGUCAGAAGUUGAACUAACAGAUUCGUUUGGUAACACUUCGAGUGACUCUGACCAGGAGGAAGACACCAUGGCUAAUGCACGAACAUUAAGGGAGUUGGCUGCUCCUGAUUUAACUCAGCAGCCUUUAUGCAUUACUUUCCCCACUUUAAAUGAUAACAUUCCAUUUGAACUAAAAUCUGGUCUGAUUCAGCUUUUACCCUCUUUUCAUGGUUUACCAGGUGAAGAGCCGUAUAAGCAUCUGCAGGAGUUUGAUGUCGUGUGUAAUAGUAUGAAACCCUCGGGAAUCACAGAAGAGCAGAUAAAAAUGAGGGCAUUCCUCUUCUCCUUGAAAGAUUCUGCGAAGGACUGGCUGUACUACCUGUCACCAGGUAGCAUCACCACGUGGGACCAAUUGAAGAAAAAAUUUUUGGAUAAAUAUUUUCCUGCGUCCAGGGCUGCAAGUCUAAGGAAAGAAAUUUGUGGGAUCAAGCAGCAUCCAGGGAAGUCACUUUAUGAGUAUUGGGAACGGUAUAAGAACUUGUUGCGCAGGUGCCCCCAACACCAAAUAAGUGAGCAAUUGAUCAUACAGUAUUUUUAUGAGGGGCUCCUUUUUAGAGACAGGAGCAUCAUUGAUGCCAGGGGGGAGGGUUGGGAUGGGUGGUACGGGGGGAGGGAGUGUAAGCAAGAGGUCUCGGGUUCGAGUCCUCCCGCUUACACACAAAAAAAAAGAUGCUGCAAGUGGAGGGGCACUGGUAAACAAAACCCCUCAGGAAGCACGGGAGUUAAUAGAGGGGAUGGCAGAGAAUUCACAACAAUUCAGUACAAGAGAGGAUGUCCCAAUACGUAAGGUGAAUGAGGUAGAGACACCCUCUAUGCAGCAGCAGCUAACUGAGUUGACCGCGUUUGUUAGGCAACUGGCUGUGAGAAAUGCAUCACAAGCCAGGGUGUGCGGGAUUUGCACUGGUAUGGGUCAUUCUGCAGACAUGUGCCCAAUGAUUCAGGAAGAAACUGCAGAACAGGUGAACAUGGCUGACCACGCGCCCGCGCCAAGGAAGCAGUACGACCCUUACUCAAGCACCUACAACCCCGGGUGGAGAGAUCAUCCCAACCUCAGUUAUGGAGAAAAUAGGCAGCCCAACAUUACACCGAACAGGCAGUCUAACUUUGUGCCAAAUAGGCCACCAGGGUACCAGCAGCAAUAUCAACCCCGACCACCUCCGUCCCCAAGCUCUGGCCCAUCUUUGGAGGAGAUGAUGAAACAAAUGAUGACAACUAUGGCUCAAAAUCAGCAAAUGACGGAGGCAACCAUUAUGCAAAAUCAGCAAAGGACGGACUCCGAAAUGAAGGAUAUAAGGAAUCAGAUAAGUCAAAUGGUCACAACAAUCAACCGUUUGGAUUCCCAGAACCAAGGUAAAUUGCCAUUUCAGCCCGAAUUAAAUUCGAAGAACGUGAGCGCAAUGACCCUAAGGAGCGGGAAAGAAAUUCAGGGGUCUGAACCUGUGAUCCCUAAGGAUAAGGAUGAGGAAAAGAUCGAAAAUGAGCUUGAAAGGGAGGACAGCAAUGGUGCAGAUCUAAAGGUACUUCCUGACCCAAUAAUUACAGCUAAAACUAACCCGCCUCCUUUUCCUAGCAGGUUGGAAAAAUCGAAAAAAGAGGAUAAGGAGAAGGAGAUCUUGGAGGUUUUUCGCAAGGUUGAGAUAAAUAUCCCCCUCUUAGACGCAAUCAGACAAGUACCAAAAUAUGCCAAGUUCCUAAGGGACUUGUGUGUCAACCGAAGGCAGUUGAGGGAAGAUGAACGGGUUAUUGUUGGGGAGAAUGUGUCAGCAGUCCUGCAGAGAAAGCUCCCACCAAAGUGCGGGGACCCAGGUAUGUUUACUAUUCCCUGUAGGAUAGGUAAUACUGUGAUAGAAGGGCCAUGUUGGAUCUGGGAGCAUCAAUUAAUCUCAUACCUAAAUCUAUCUAUGCUUCUCUAAAAUUAGGUCCAUUAAAAGAAACUGGAAUAAUCAUUCAAUUAGUUGACCGAACUAAUGCAUAUCCUGAUGGGUUGGUUGAAGAUGUGUUGGUAAAAGUUAAUGAUUUGAUGUUUCCAGCUGAUUUUUAUGUACUUGAUAUGGAUGAUGAUCACUCCCCUGAUCCCUCACCUCUGUUAUUGGGUAGACCCUUUAUGAGCACAGCACAGACGAAAAUUGAUGUUAAUAAGGGUAUCUUGUUCAUGGAGUUUGAUGGGAAAAUUGUGCAUUUCAAUAUCUUUGAUACUAUGAAAUAUCCCUCAAACUCCAACUUUAGCACAGUUUUCUCUGUGAGUGCUAUUGACCCUGUAGUGCAGGAAGUGUUUGAAACUGAUGGCAGGGAUGAGUUGGAGGUGGCUUUGACCAAGCACCUCGAGUUGGAGACAACUCCUGAGGUGGAAUGGAGCGAGGACCUAAAAUGCACAAUAGGUGCAUUACACUCAUUGCAGUCCACCACGAAAAGGUAUGAAGUCUUACCUAUUUUUACUCCCGAACCUCACCAGAGGGUGUUGCCAUCUGUGGUGCAGGCACCUGUACUAGAAUUUAAACCUCUAUCAGAGCACCUGAAAUAUGCAUAUCUGGGUGAUAAUGAGACACUCCCGGUGAUUAUCUCAUCGACACUGUCAAAAAUCCAGGAGGAGAAACUGAUCCGGGUCCUUAGAGAGCAUAAAGAGGCGAUAGGUUGGACAAUCGCAGAUAUUAAGGGGAUCAGCUCGGCCAUCUGUAUGCACCGGAUUAGACUAGAAGAGGAUGCCAAACCUGUUAGGCAGGCUCAAAGGAGGCUCAACCCCCUAAUGAUGGAAGUUGUAAAGAAAGAAAUUUUAAAAUUGCUAGAUGUGGGGAUUAUUUUUGCAAUAUCAGAUAGCCCUUGGGUAAGCCCGAUCCAGGUAGUCCCAAAGAAGGCAGGGGUGACGGUGGAGGCAAACCAAACGGGUGAGCUCGUGCCAGUGCGCAAACCCACUGGAUGGAGGCAGUGUAUAGACUACCGUAGGCUAAACGCCGUCACCAAAAAGGACCAUUUCCCUCUCCCUUUCAUUGACCAAAUGGUUGAACGUUUAGCUUGUAGAGCUUAUUAUUGCUUUUUGGAUGGAUUUUCAGGAUACUUUCAGAUAGCAAUUGCUCCAGAGGAUCAAGAGAAGACAACCUUCACGUGCCCGUUCGGGACCUUUGCUUAUAGACGAAUGCCAUUUGCGUUGUGCAAUGCACCUGCAACAUUCCAGAGGUGUAUGGUAAGUAUUUUUUCUGAAUAUGUGGAGAAAAUUAUUGAAGUUUUCAUGGACGAUUUCAGUGUGUAUGGUGAUAGUUUUGAUACGUGUUUAGAUAAUCUGAAAUUGAUCCUGAUAAGGUGUAUAGAGACUAAUCUUGUGCUUAAUUGGGAAAAAUGUCAUUUUAUGGUUGAGCACGGGAUAGUCCUGGGUCAUAUUGUAUCGUCUAAGGGCAUAGAAGUUGACAAGGCUAAAAUAGAUAUUAUUUUUGCAUUACCUUACCUCGCGAGUGUGCGGAAGGUGCGUUCUUUUCUUGGACAUGCAGGUUUUUAUCGAAUGUUCAUCAAGGAUUUUUCAAAAAUUGGAGCCCCGUUAUUCCAACUCCUACAAAAGGAUGUGACCUUCGAAUUCGAUGAUAAGUGUGAGGAAGCCUUCAACAAGUUGAAAGAAUUGUUGACCUCACCCCCAAUUAUCCAGCCCCCUGAUUGGAGUCUACCAUUUGAGAUCAUGUGCGAUGCCAGUGAUCAUGCCGUAGGGGCUGUAUUGGGGCAAAGAGUAGGGAAGGCAGCUCACGUCAUCUACUAUGCAUCCCGAGCAUUGAAUGGAGCCCAAUUGAAUUACUCCACUACUGAAAAGAAGCUUCUUGCAGUUAUUUUUGCUUUAGAAAAAUUCAGGUCAUAUUUGCUAGGUGCUAAAGUAAUUGUAUUUUCUGACCAUGCAGCAUUAAGGUACCUAAUGACCAAGAAAGAUGCCAAACUGAGGCUCAUUAGGUGGAUAUUGCUACUGCAGGAAUUUGACCUGGAGAUACGGGAUAAAAGGGGCUCAGAGAAUUUAGUAGCUGACCAUCUGAGUCGUAUACCCGUUGGAGAGGAUAAUGAACCAUUGAGGGAUGCGUUCCCUGAAGAGCACUUAUUUUCUUUAAAUUCUCAGUUGCCUUUGUAUGCCGAUCUGGUCAAUUAUUUGGUAACUGGUAAUUUUCCUGCAGGUUGACCAAAAUCGAAGAGGGAUAAAUUGAAGAGCGACGCCAAGUAUUUUAUUUGGGACGACCCGUACCUAUGGAAGAGGUGUGCAGAUCAAGUGAUGCGGAGAUGUGUAAGUGAAAUGGAAUUUCAAUCGAUUUUAGCUUUUUGUCAUACUUUUGCCUGUGGAGGUCAUUUGGACCCAAGAGAACUGCUCAUAAGGUUUUAGAAAGUGGAUUUUAUUGGCCUUCAUUGUUUAAGGAUGCCUAUGUGUUUUGUAAGUCAUGUGAUCGCUGUCAAAGGGUAGGUAAUAUACCCCGUAGAGAUCAAAUGCCCCAAGUCCCGUUGAUUUUUAUUGAAAUUUUUGAUGUCUGGGGUAUAGAUUUCAUGGGGUCUUUUCCUACUUCAUUUGGUUUUUUAUAUAUUUUGCUGGCAGUUGAUUAUGUGUCUAAAUGGGUGGAGGCUAAGGCCACUCGAACUAAUGACUCGAAAGUAGUUGCAAAUUUUGUCAGGUCUAAUAUUUUUGUGCGAUUUGGAAUGCCUAGUGCUAUUGUCAGUGAUAGGGGAACGCACUUUUGCAACAAAAUCAUAGCUGCGUUGUUUCGCAAGUAUGGUGUACUCCAAUGGGUCUCAACGUCGUACCACCCUCAGACCAAUGGUCAAGCGGAGGUGUCGAAUCGAGAGAUCAAGUCUAUCUUGGAGAAAAUGGUGCGCCCCGAUAGGAAAGACUCGAGUCAAAGGCUGGAGGACGCACUUUGGGCCUAUCGGACGGCGUACAAGACUCCUAUAGGGAUGUCACCGUACAGGUUGGUAUUUGGGAAGCCGUGUCACCUUCCAGUGGAGUUUGAGCACAAAGCUUUUUGGGCGAUAAAGUAAUGCAACAUGAAUUUAGAGGAAGCCGGUGCCCAACGAAAGUUGGAUUUGCAAGAAUUAGAAGAGAUCCGGAACGAGGCUUACGAAAAUGCACUAAUUUAUAAGGAGAGAAGCCGGAUAUUUCAUGAUCAACAAAUUUCAAGAAAAUCCUUUGAAGUUGGUCAGAAGGUCCUACUAUACCAAUCCAGGCUCAAGCUAUUCCCAGGUAAACUACGUUCCCGUUGGAUUGGACCUUUUCUUGUUACUCAUGUUUUUCCAUAUGGUGCAGUUGAAAUCCGGAGCGCUAAAACAGACAACAAAUUUGUGGUGAAUGGACACCGUCUCAAGCAUUACUACGAAGGAUUUUCAGGUGAAAAGGUGGAGACAAUAAGUCUAGACGCGCCACCGUGUCCUAAUCAGUGACAUUUUACUAUGUCUAGCCAAAGACAUUAAAGACAGGCGCUCAUUGGGAGGCAACCCAAUUGUCCCUUUUAAUUAUUUGUUUGAUUUCGUGUGAUAGUUUAAAUAUGUUUUCCUUGAAUUCGACUGAUUUUGGGUUUCAGUUUUCGUUUUUGCUGAAUUGUAGGUGACCUUCAGUCUUGACGCGCCCGCGUGAUGACAUGCAGGAAGCUCACGAUCAGAAUCGUCUGAAAGCUCUCUUGCCCUUUUGACGCACCCGCGUGAUGACGUGCAGGAAGCUCACGAUCAGAAUCGUCUGAAAGCUCUCUUGCCCUCUUGACGUGCCCGCGUCACGUUCGCAGGAAAGGUACGGGUUUCAAAAAUUUAAAGAAAAAAUAAUAAUAAUAAUAAUUUAAAAUUUUGAAAUUAACUUCCGUAAAAAAAAAAAAGAAGAAAAAAAAUUUCACCGUGGCUUAAAUAGAGCCUAAAGAAGAGAAAAAAGAAACAAUUUCUUUCUUUUUUUUUUCUUUUUCUUCUUUCUUCCUUCUUUCUUUCUUUCUUCUUUCUCUUUUCCCUCUCUCUUCUCCCCUGUUUCUUCUCCCCUGUCCGUCGCCCGUGCGCCCCAUCGCUGCUCCACCUCCACACGCACGCCGACGCUGCGAGCCACCUGCGACCCCAGCGCCAGAUCUGGACCAUCGCCGAAACCCGCAGCCUCCGCCACCUCCACCUGAGCUCUGCCUCGCGCGCAACCCAGCUGCUCUGCGCCCGAAGCUCCACCGCCGCCACAGCCUCCCCACGCAGCUCCCUGCUCACGCGGCCACAAGCCCAUUGGAAACGGGACAGAGACUGCCGCCGAGCCACUUGCCCGCGUGACCGCCGCUGUUUUCCACCACCUCCCUCACGCGAGCUCUUUCCCUCUCAGCAGCAAUCCACUUCACAGCGCACCCGCUGCGCGCCGUCGCAGCCCUCGCAGCUCCAGCCCGUCUGGUCUAGUCCGCCGCGCGCACCAACCACCCACGGACGCUACCCCCAUCGCUAACCCACGCGGCCUCCACUCCAGUCUGUCCGCCGCCGCUGCUCGUGUCUCCCUUGCGCACCUCACGCCACCCGCUACUGUCCCCUUCCGUUUGGUUAGCAUCCACGGUGGAGGUAAUUGGAGGUUAUUUUCUCAAUUGUGUGACUUCCGCCUGUGAUACUGGUUGCAUUAUUUUUGCUGGGAAUUGCUACUUCUUUUGGGUUGGGUUCAACUGUGCAAUUAAUUGGCCAACUGGAGCCAUUUGUUGGGAUUUUGGGUGAGCUGAAAUACUGCAUUUGUGUGUUACAUUGGGAGGUUUAUUGGGUACAUUCUAACCGCUGUUUUCCAUUGUUACUCUCGCUGGGGUGUCUAUUAAAUUGCGAUUGAAGUAUUUUGGAUAUUGCAUGUUGAGAUUGAGGUUUCAUUGAAUUUGGCCUACGUUCUGCCCCCAGUGGUACUGGUGGGAAUAUUUUCAAUUGAAUUUGUUACCUCUAGUUGGUUGGCUACAUUAUUAUGGUCGAAUUCCUAAGUUGUCGUCAUUGCAUUUGUUGAUCUUGAUUUGGGGCAUUAACCGGCCAACUGGAGCCAUCUGUGCGUUUUUAGGCGCUAUUAUUGGUUUCUUCUCCCUUAACUUUGUCAACUAUAUUUGGUUGGGUAUUUGGUUGACUGCCACGGACUUGUAACUGUGUUUUGCUUCUAAUUGACCAGUUGCACAGCAGUUUUUUUUUAAUUGAUAGGGUGGUUAUACCUCUGGAUAUUUGUAUCCACUGGUUUGAGGACAUGGUGAGACCAAAAUCCUCCUCUAGGUCUAGGACCCCUAGAACCUCGCAAUCCCAACCCCAAGCCUCUACUCUAGUCAAUACCCCUAUAAAUCAACCUACUGCUCCCGGUGUCCGAACCUGGUUAGGUAGGGGUAGAGGUGCCCACGUGGCUUCCGCCACUCACUUGGGAGGGCAUUUGGAAUUCACUAGAGCCGCCGAUCAGCGACGCUAUGCUCAAGCUUGUGAGCGGCGUAUCAUUCCGUGCAAAUGCGCGGACCACAUUACUAUGGUUUUUCUGGGGAUCCAAGGGGAGGUUGAGCGCAUGUACACCGCCAUUGGAUGGCGCCCCUAUCUGGAUAUUUUCCAGCCAGCCUUUGUCGAGUUGACUAGAGAGUUUUACACCACUUUUAAGUUUGAAUUACCGACUAGGUAUACUGUUGCGACUCCCGAUAUCAUUCACUUCCGUCUCAUGGGCCAGGAAUUCAAUUUCUCUAUCACCCAGUUCAAUCUGGCUUUCGGUUUCAUCACUCGGGAGUAUGCAGAGACUAGGGAAUACGGUGAGAGUGCCUGCGAUUUUGUGGAACCUUUCCUUACCGCCUACCGUGAGGUGUGGGAGGACAUGUCUGUGGACAUGCAGCGUUACGAUCCCUCUCGGUCUCGGAGCUCCUUUCUAGAGGACCCGAGUGCUCGGUAUGUUCAGCGGCUUUUAGCAUAUAGCUACUCGGGCAGAAAGAACAGCUUCGGUAUUAUCUCUCGGCCGGAGCUCUUCUUCCUUUGGUGUAUGAAGAAUGGGUUCAAGGUCAAUUUGGGUUGUUGGUUGGCGGCACAGUUCAAGACCGUCAUGGCAAAGAAGAACAAGCCGUUGAUUCUUGGGUCGUAUAUCACGUACUUGGCGGUCCAGCUAGGCGUUCUGAAUCUACAGGAUCACGAUUUGCACUUGGCCUGCGACAUGGAGUAUCUCACUGCUGACCGGCUAGAGAAGAUGGGGGUUCUGGAGCUUGUCGAUGGCCACUACCGAUUUGUGCCCCCGGGACCGCCCCGCGCCCCGCCUCGCUCUUCCUCCACCCAUUCGGCCCCAGUUGGCGGUGAUCCUGGCCCGUCGACAUCCGCUCAGCUCCCUCCACCAGCAGGGGCUGAAGAUUGGCACCAAAUCAGGACGCAGAUUCAGAAUUUGGACGCCCGGAUGAUUAGCAUCGAGAGCAACGUGGCGGCUAUAUCACAGAAUCUGGCGGCAUUCCUGCAGCACUCGGGUUUCCCGCCCCCAAUCCCACCUCACCCUCCACUAUGACCCGGUUUCAGGGAAGUUUGGUUACUUUCUCCCUCACUUUUGUUGUUUUUUGACACAUUGAGGACAAUGUGUCCUAUAGGUGUGGGGGGGUCUAUAGUCUUUCUAGUUUUUAGUAGUUGUUAGUUUUUAGUUUUUUAGUAGUUUUAGUUUUAUUUCUAGUUGCGUAUUUUCUUUCUUUUCUUAGUGCUUAUUCCCCAUGUGAAAAGAAAAAGAAAACAAAAAAAAAGAGAAAAAAAUGUUGGUUUAUUGACUCUAACUCUACUUUUGCCAAGUUUUUUUUAAAUAAAAAUGUAUCGGGUUAAUGUGGUUGGAUCCAGAAUAUCUCCCUGGUGAAUAUCGGAUUGCUUGGCUCUUUUGAUUUCUGUGUUAAUUUCUCUAGGCAUAGGGAAUGACUGUUGGCAUUUUAAUGUGAACUGGUCCAAUAUUGACUCCAGUUCUCUAUGUUUGGCAAUAAUGAGGCGAGCUGUUCCUAUUUUUGGUUCUUAGUGUUGUUAUUAUGUGUUUUUGGCUUUGUUUGGCUGUGAAUAAUCUGGACUGUACUCCGCUAUGAGUUACUACUGAGUAACCGAGGAUCGGCACCUAAAAGUGUCGAUUCUCGCGUCAAAAGGUGGUACUUUAUAUGAGUACGUGGUCGUAUAGCAGUAGGAGCUGAGUAACCGGGCUCCUUCAUCUAAAAAUGUUGGAGUUCGCGUCAAAAGGCCCCGACGGCUAACGACUAAGUCUUUUUGUGUUAAUUAUUAUUGCUUUGAAAAACAAAAAAAAAAAAGAACGAAAAAAGAGAGAAUAAAUAAUAGGAAGGCUUGCCGGUUUAUGGACUUAAUAUGGAGACUUGUGUGAAUAUUUGGACCAUUAGCUAAUAAAUGUUGUGCGCCAUUCCCUUUUCUUAGAGUAGUUAACCUGGAAAUUGAAGGAAUUUGCAGUUUAGGGGCUAACCGGGGGGGAGGCUUCUUGGAUUUUAAUCACCAAUGCUCGAUAUAUGUUUUUCUCUUGAAGAUCUUGGCAAUAUAGGAGAUUGGACAAUGGCCAUCAUCGAAUUUUGGUGUUCGUUUACUAUUCUUAUGCUUGAGGACAAGCAUGGUUUAGGUGUAGGGGGAAUUGAUAGGGUGUAAUUUUACUAUUUAUUUUAUUAUUAAUUUCUCCUAUCACCUGACCUGAUGUGGAUUAAUUGCUGGAUUCUGCUCACUUUUAGUACUUUGUAUUUAUUUCAGGGAGUAGAACGGAAAUUUGAUAACAGGUGCUAAUUUGGCAGAAAAAAGUCCAGAUGAUAGAGCUUGCCCCAAGGGCAUUUUUGGAAAGGAGAACUUGUGCCCAUCUUGGUAAUUUGGGAGAAAAGGGAAACAGACAAAAUGGGUCUAACAUGGAUUGGAAGCGGCCGCACAGUAGCAGGGAAGAGGGCAGACGUAAAAGCAAUUGCAGGGGGGAAAAGGAGUUUUUUUAGUUUUUAGCUUAGCAUCUGAUUUUCCCUGGGAGACUUUUGUUAAAGAUUUCCUUUUGGCUGAUAUUACGCAUGGCAGAUGGCUUUUAACUUAUUCCUCCAUCUUUGACUUUUCUUCUUUAGCUUGUAGUAGUGGAUUGCUACUUACGAAUGUCAGCACUUAGCCAUUCGUGGCUUUUGAUCUUUUCUUCCUUAGAAAUUCUGAGUAGCCUCUUUUCCUUUGUGCGCCAGACGAAGUGAAAACUAUAAACUUUUGUAGUGUUUCUAUUCAUUCAAUAUAUUGAGACGAGUUGGAUUCUACCAAAUUUCAAUGGACAUGGCCGCUGGUUUCUCUUCAAUUUUAUAUGGGCUUUGUUCAUCGAACAUGAACUAAUUUCACCACUCUAGUCAAGGAACAACGAAGACUCUGGUUCGCCUAAAAAUUGUGAGAUCGUUUUAAUUUAAUCUUUUCCUUUUAUUUAUUGGUAUCCGCACAUUUCUUGAUUGCUAUGCUUAUGGUUAUUUAAUUAAUUGAUUGUCUUGGAUCCAGAUAAUUAAUUGAUCUGAUAGCCUAUUGUCAAUUAGGGCAUUUAAAUCCGUAAUUGUUUAAUUGUCCUGAAAUAGUGACAACUGGCACGAUUAGAUUCGUGCCAGGGGGGAUAUGCGGGCUAAUCUAAAAUAACCCUGGUAGUGUGUUAUUUGGUUAGAAUAGGGCUCCUCUAAUAUGUAAGGCAAUUGGGGAAUUAAAUUCUACGGGCGUACCUAGAAUUAUUUCUUAAUUAGAGUAGUGAUUAACGGGCGUACCUUGAUCACCGACACAGUAAGGAGGGGUUGACUGCCAUCGCUUGUUUGGCAGUUAUAACAUAUUUAUCAGUAAAUAAUUGGGAUUGCCUUGCAUCAAUGAUCAAUUAGAUGAACUAUUGCUGAAGUUACUUCUUGGCUAGAUCUUUAGUUAAUAUUACCUUGAUUUUGGUGAAUUGCCAUUUGAUUUUUAGUUGCCUACUUUAUUUUAUUUUUAAUUGUUUCCUUGCUUUAAUUGAGUUAGGCCUUUAAUUAUUGUUAUUCUAAGUUUAGUGAAUUGUGGUUUAAUUCCUAAUUAGUUAUUUAUUUUUACUUUCUUAUUUGAAUUUAUUUGCUUGUUAUCAUUCCUACGAAAUCACCCCCCUGUGUUACUUUGGAUUUCUUAAGAAACAAAUAUACCCAGUCCCUGUGGAUACGACCCUACUUGCCCUGUCCACGAAUUCAUAAUUAUUUGUGAAAAGAAAUAACCAUUCCACUCGGGUAUAUCGGAUCAAGCAAACUCUUCGGGAACAGGGUGAAUCAAGUAACCCAUUGCACACCUAAAAUCCCUGCUCCAGUACUUGGAAUUGGGUUUUGGUCAUUUUAACUGGCAAUUAAGUUUAAUUUUAUUAUUGCACAGGCUGACGACCCUGUCAUUGUAUUUGUACCAAAAGUGAAAACUUAACUAUUUUAGUUGUAUUUAUUUCAUCAUGUUGGAUUGUAUUCAAAUAAUUUUUGUUUGAUUGUUUUUAUAAGUUUCAAUUGUAAAAUUAAAAUGAAUAAUAACUUGAUGAUGUGUUGAUAUUUUAGUACUUGAUUAUUUAUUAAAAUUUAAUUAUAAUAAAAUUUUAUUAACUCAACGAGAAAAAUUUUAUUAAUCCCGUGGGGGCACCCGCGGGGAAAGCGGGGCGGGGCGAGGGGAGUGGGAGGCGGAGGACGGGGCGGGGGCGGGGGAUGGGGGAGGGGUCCCCCGCCCCAACCCCGCCAUCCCCCGUCCCGUUGUCAUCCCUAGUAAUAGACUGGCAAGCAUUGUGGUGGUCAUUGAGCAACUUAUAGGAGAAAUAGUCCUAUAAGCUGUUCAAUGACCAAUCACAACUUGCUAAUUGGAUGACUAAUAUAGCUCUAGCUGUAAUGUUUUAAUUAAAUUACAUCACUAACGUUGGGAUGACUUUUUAACCAAAAAAAAAAAGCCUUAGUUCAAGCUUUUCCCUUUAUUGUGCAUUUUUUAAAGCAUUUGAAAGGCACUGCAAAUCUGUCAUUUUGGACAUUUUAUUAUUGACUAACAAUGAAAGCCGUGGACGUCUACCCAUAACCAACACAAGAUUAAAUUAAUAUUAGAAAAAAUAAUUGAGUAAUUGGAAAAAAAAAAAAAAGAAGAGUCUAAUUUUCAUUGAAACCCACCGACAAACUAUACGUGUCCAUGGCUUUUGAAUAGUGCAUUCAACGUUUAAUUGUAUGGUCCAGUUCAUUGCAGAUUACAUGGAGUAAAGAUUGCGCUCUUUCCUUUUCACCCCUUUUGGAAUCGAUACUGUGGAGAAUUGGGUUUUUCCCUCCUUUUUUUCUUUUCUUUCCUUCUGUGGUUUGCAAAACAUACGUAAAAAUAUGAAAUCCGAAGCAUUCUUUAAUUGGUAUUAAGUAUUGUUGUUGAAAUUAAAAAGAAAAAAGAAAGAACAACAAAAUUCCCAAUCUGGGUUGAUUGUUGAGCUCUAGAUUGGUUGCAUCGUGCUUCCAUAGAAGCAAGAUUUGUAAAAUCGGAAUCCUACAUAGGAUCGAUUUUAGUUUCACAGGAUCGGAUUGUAAAAUCGUAAGAUCCUACCAAAAGCUCUCAAUUGCAAUUAAAGGUUGCAAUUCUUUAAUAAAUUACAAAUAUACCACAAAUAUUUUCAUUUACUUGCAAAAUGGAGCUUCGUAUUUCACAAAUUUACAAAAAAAUUGUAGGAUCGUACGAUCCUACCGAUCCUACGAUCCUACACGAUCCUACCGAUCCUGCUACGAUUCUAUGCGAUCCUACAAAGAUUAAUAUGAUUUGCGACUCUGCAUACGAUCCGGAUCGAUUUUGGUUAUCCGGAUCGUAGGAUCGUAUGAUCCUACGAUCCGGAUCGCGAUUUUGACAACUAUGCAUAGAAGCUCUCUUAGUGUGAUACACUGCUUUCAAUCAGUUUAACACGGGAAAAAAAAAAAGAGAUGAAAAGCAAAUUUGGUGGAGAUAAUUUCAGAAACCUCCCCUGAAGAUUUUGACUAUUCUACUGGUUUCCCUUCAGAUUUUAAAAAUUACACUAAUCUUCCUUGAAGUUAAUUAUCUUGUAACAUUUAAAUUCAAUCAAUAAUUUAAAAAAUGAUAUUAUGAGAGAGAAAAUAAUAUGAUUUUAUCAUUGCCCCCCAUCUUACUACAUUAUUUAAUUAAUUUAAUAGCAACCCACACAUUAAAGAAAAAUAUUAAAAUUUGUUGUUUAUCAUUAAAGAUCAAAUCGCUUAUAACAUCAAAUAAUAGUAUAUUAUUUAUAUUUUUCACUUAAUAUAAUAUCCAAAUUACUCUUUUCAAUUACAUACCCAUUGUUAGAGAAUCAACAACAAAUAACCAAAAAAUUUGCAACCAAAAUAUUACAAAAAAAAUAAACUUUAACAUCAUAAAUAUUCUUAUCAACAUAUUAAAGUUAGUUACUGAAAUUUUUAUGCUGUUAAACUUCACUCUUUUUGAAUACAGAUUUUUUUGAUUAUUUGUUAUUAAUUAUGUUUGAUGAUGGGUUUAUAAUUGAAAAGAACAAUUUGAAACUUACAUUAAGUAAAAUAUAUAGAGUGAUAUACUAUUUUUUAUAACAUAUGUGAUUCAAUCCUUCUUGAUAGGAUUGGUAAUAGAGGUAGAGGGGGGAGUCGGCUGCAUCCGGUCUUCUUUUCAUAGAUAGUACAAUAUUGCGAAAUCAAUCGCAUUCACACAAUAAUAUUUCGAAGUCAAUGCAUGGCUAAGUUGCAUAAAAGUACGAACACUUGUUAUUAUAUAGCUUAAGAUUCAAAACUUUCGAGCAUAACCCUCCACCCAACACAAUUGAAUAAUGAAUAUUCACGAUUGUCAAAUCUGUCAAAGCACAGUUUGAGGACAACCCAUUCCAACCUGCAAAAGAUUUUUUACUUUUCUAAAGUUGUUGAGAGCUGUAAAAAGACUUACCAUGCUUGCAUCCUCCGAGCCUUGGGAGUUAAAAAUGAAGGCACUGAGUGCUAUAAAAAGGGGAAUAGAGGCUGCCUAGAAGCAUAUCAGCCUAAAACAAGAAUUUGUAGUUAAGAUGGGAAGCAAAGCAAAAGCAAUGGGGUCUGGGCUGACUCCUCUUCUUGCCACUGUUUUAGUGGUGUUUGUUGCUCUUGGCUUGCCCUCACAAACUGCAGCUGAUGAUCACUACAAGUAUUCAUCUCCUCCUCCUCCUUACCACUAUCCCUCACCACCACCACCAGUGCAUAUACCUCCACCUCAUCCUGUUUACAAGUACAAAUCUCCACCACCCCCACCACCACACCCAGUUUACAAGUAUAAGUCACCACCACCACCUCCUCAUCCGGUAUACAAGUAUAAGUCUCCUCCGCCACCACCACACCCAGUUUACAAGUACAAGUCACCACCACCACCUCCUCAUCCGGUACCACACCCAGUUUACAAGUAUAAGUCACCUCCACCACCUCCUCAUCCGGUACCCACAGUUUACAAGUAUAAGUCACCACCACCACCUCCUCAUCCGGUAUACAAGUAUAAGUCUCCUCCGCCACCACCACACCCAGUUUACAAGUAUAAGUCACCACCACCACCUCCUCAUCCGGUGCCACACCCAGUUUACCACUACAAGUCACCACCACCACCUCCUCAUCCGGUACCACACCCAGUUUACCACUACAAGUCACCACCACCUCCUCACCCAGUUUACAAAUACGAGUCUCCACCACCACCAGUUUAUAAGUACAAGUCACCACCACCUCCUCCACCAGUUUACAAGUAUAAAUCUCCUCCACCACCACCACCAGUUUACCACUACAAGUCUCCACCACCUCCUCCCCCAGUUUACAAAUACAAGUCUCCACCACCUCCUCACCACUACUAAGCAAUUGCUUCUGAGGUAAUAACACUUGUUCAAUAUACCCACUUCUGCAUGAUAAAGCAUAUCUCUAUCAACACAAACUGUCAUGUCUAUCAUGCUAAGUGCCUUCACUUCAUCCACCAAAAUGACUGCUAGAAAAUUUUUUUUAUGUUACCAAAGAAAGGCAUCAUUUUUUCCCUCUGUUAUCAAGAACUUGUACAGUAUAUAGAUUAAAGAGUAUUUUUUUAACUAGCUUAUCAACUGAGAAAUGCAUAUAGCUGAUAGCCAGCUGAAUAUUUGCAGGCAAAGGAGAAGGAAACCAUGUUUGAGACCUUCUUGAAGAUGUAGAAGCAUAAGAAUAAAAGCCCAAUGUGAAGAUGAUGAUUUCAAGUUUUUCUACGUUACCAUUUCUUUAUCUAAAUUGGUUGUAGCGCCCAAGUUCCUUUGUUUAUGGGAUUUGUAUCGUUUUACGUACCAUGCAGUACAUGUCAUGUUUGUAAGGUUUUCUAUCCUGCCGGCAAACCGCAGGUUCCAUGUGAUAAAUGAAUACUAUUUAUGUUACGACACUUUUCUCUGUUUCUCUUAUAUUUUGUCUUUAAUAUUCUUAAUCAUAUUUUUAACAAAAAUAUUCAAACACUUAGGCAAUCUGGUCUAAUGCUAAUUGUAUGUUUUACUUUUCUUUUUCACCUGCUCCCCUUUUCAACUCAAAAGGAUGCAAUAGUUUGUGAUCACUGUUUAAGACGGAAGCAUGAUACUAAUGAAUAUCUCAUUGAAACUCAAGGAAACUAACAUUGCGAAAAGUGUAAAUCUUGAUUUGAUGCAACUAUUUAUUCGUGGAAUCUAUAGUUACAAAACUCAAAUUCUGACUGCGCCAUUGAUAAAUUAUUAAUGACGCUAUCAUCAUUAUUUAUCCCUAACUAGUUUCGACUACAACUGAACCCAAUAUUUUCCCCAUGAUAAAAGUUUUUGACUAUUUUACUGGCCUCUCUUCAAAUUUUAAAAAUUACACUAAUCUUCAUUGAGAUUAAUUAUCUUGUAACAUUUAAGUCCAAUUAAUAAUUAAAAAAUGAUAUUAUGAGAGAGAAAAUAAUAUAAUUUUAUCAUUGCCCCCCAUCUUGCUAUAUUAUUUAAUUAAUUUAAUAGCAACCCACACAUUAAAGAAAAAUACUAAAAUUUGCUGCUUUUCAUUAAAGAUCAAAUUGCAUAUGCCAUAAAACAUAGUAUAUCAUUCUAUAUGUUUCACUUAAUGUAAGAUCCCAAUUGUUCUUUUCAAUUACAAACCCAUUGUCAAACAUGAUCAAUAACAAAUAAUCAAAAAAUUUGCAACCAAAAUAUUACAAAAAAAAACUUUAACAUCAUAAAUAUUCUUACCACCUCUAGUGCAUUCACCCUCAUAAAAUAAUUCAAGACCCUACUGUCAUAAAAUGACUGAUCAACUCCUGUAAACCUAAUUUGACAACAUUUAAAUGGAGAACUUUAGCUAAAAGAAUUAUGGUCAAGCUAAAGAAAAAACCAGUUAUUUUCCAACAUAUGCAACCAUUGAUCAGGGGAAAAAAAAAAGCAAAAAGACAUCUUCAAUCAUUUAAUAGCUUACAGGGCAAAUUAACCCUUGAGUGAAAACUGGUUGCUCUAGAAUUAAAAUUUUACCUUAGUUACCCAGGCAACUUUUUUGUUGCCUUUUCUUUUUCUUUUUUGGGUAUAUAGCUCCAGUUUUGCCCCCUCUGUCAAGCUUAUAUAAUUAUUAAGAUAAUAAAAGUGCCUUUAAUAGUAUUAAUAUAUCCAUUGACUUGAGCUGUCAUCGAUCGGUUUGGGCUACUUCGAUUCCAUGAGAACAAAUGGUAAUAAAAGUACUCAGAAAAUGGGGAGUCAUGAAACCCUUUUGUUCUAUUCAUUGCUAAGAUGCUUUUCUCUAUAAAGAGACUUCCUAACGAAAAUACUUUGUAGAUUUCUUUACUCCAAGUGGUGCAUGGAAAAUUAAUAUUUUCAAUUAUCAAAUAAAAUUCCCUUUUUUCGGCGUAGAUUUCAUCCAUCCAGCUGUUAACACAUUCUAUAAAUCCGAAUUGACUAAUCUUUUCGUUUCCAUUUUCCAACUUGCGAAUACGGCAUAUAGUGUCUGCUAAACACUAUAUAUUCUCUGCCAAAUAUGAAUACAUAUCACUUUUCUGAGCAAGUGCAGAGUCAUUAUCAUUUUUAUUCCCACCUAACAAAUUAGGGAUAAAAAAGUUAAUAAUCUUUACAUGCUAUCAGGUCACAAGUUAAUAAUCUUUUAAAGAACAUGUUAAAUUAAUUUAUUGGUAUGAAUAGUAGUCAAAGAAGUAUGUUAAAGUUAGUAAUCUUUAAAAUAAUAUGUUAAAAUCAUUCGUACAAAUUAGUCAGAGAAGUAGCAUAAACACCGCGAUGCAAUUAAUACUUUCAAUCUCAAGGUCUCUAUUAUGGAAAUUUGCAUCGGUCAAUAUACACUUGGCAUAAUAUAAUCUCCCAACUCAUUUCUUUACAAAUGCACCUUUAAUCACCACCAAAAGGUGUGGACAUGAUCUUUACCCUAGAAAACUAUUCACCGACAGGCAAAUUGACGUCAGAAAUACUGAGGAAUUCUAGUUUCCUUCGGGUUCAUGCCAUGUUGUAUCCUUCAACUGUAACUCGAUUUCUAAGCUGUAAUUUGUGACAUAAUAGUCCUUAAACUAUGAAACCCUUCUUACUUAAUUACAAUGGUUAAUACAAUGCCCGUGACUAGACAAGUAUGAAGCAACCAUAACAGAAAAAAAAUCCAAAAUUAGAGAAAAGAAAGAAGUUUCGCGACCACCACCAGUUUACAAGUCACCUCCACCACCUCCUCCAGUUUACAAGUCACCUCCACCACCUUACCAUUAUUCCUCACCACCACCUCCAGUGCAUUCACCCCCACCACCACCAGUUUACAAGUCUCCGCCACCACCUUACCAUUAUUCCUCACCACCACCUCCUGUGCAUGCACCUCCACCACCAAUUUACAAGUCACCUCCUCCAGUUUACAAGUCUCCACCACCACCUUACGAUUAUUCCUCACCACCACCUCCAGUGCAUUCACCCCCACCACCACCAAUUUAUAAGUCUCCCCCACCGCCUCCCCCAGUAUAUAAGUCACCACCACCACCUCCUCCAGUAUACAAAUCACCUCCACCACCUCCUCCAGUUGACAAAUCUCCACCACCACCAAUUUAUAAAUACAAGUCUCCUCCACUACCUCCUCCAGUGUACAAGUCAUCACCACCACCUGCUUACAAGUCUCCACCUCCUCCAGUUUACAGUUCCCCACCACCACCAAUCUACAAGUCUCCACCUCCACCCUACCAUUACUACUACAAUUCUCCUCCUCCUCCUCGUCACUACUAAGCAAUUGUAUCCAAGUUUUUGAGGUAAUAACGCUUAACCAAUAAAUUAACUUUCGCAUGAUAAACCUUAUCUCUAUCAAGACAAACUGCCAUGUGUAUCAUGCCAAAUACGUACACCUAGAUCCAUGAAAAUGAAUGGUAGAAAGUUUUCUUAAGAACCAAGAACAGCAUUAGUAUUCCCUCUGCUUCCAAAAACUUGUGUAUUAAAUAGAUUAAUGAAUUGUUUAACAUGCUCAUCUACUUGAAAAUGCACAAUACCCAUAACCCACUGAAAUUUUUGCAGGAAAAGGGAAAGAGAAUCUGUGUUUGAGAGCUUCAUGAAGAUGUUGAAGAAUAAGAAUAAAAGCCCAAUGCAAGGAUGUUUUCAAGUUUUUCUAUGUUUCCACUUUAAUUUGUAAAUUGAAUUUUGCGACUCAAUUAAUUCCCUGUUUGUGAGGUACGUAUUGUUUUACGUACCAUGCCGUACAUUUUUUUUUUCCAACAAACGGUAUCAUGUUAUAGAUAUUAACACUUGACCUUACAAGGAUUAGUUACAAAAAGGGGAUACUACCCUCAACUCUGUCCUAGCUAAAUCAGUCAGCCAUAUUGGGAAAUUAGUUUCCCAUUCAAUAUCAUGUACAAGCUUCACAGCAUAUUGUGCUAAUUGAUGGCUGAUGUGAUUUUCAGUUCUAGGUAUAAACACAAAAGAACAUUUUUCAAAAGCUAGACUAAGUUCCUGCACAUCUUCUAAGAUAGUUGCAGUCGUGUAGUCAUACUCCUUGCGUUUAGUAAUCUGCUCUACCACUGAUUUGCAGUCUGUAUGGACUAUAAUUUGUGUCCAACCUGCUUGGGUAGCCAUCAGCAGAGCAUUUCUCACAGCCCGAGCUUCCACUUCACUUGCCGAUCCCUUUCCCUGUGUGACAAUUCCUUUUGCUUUCAAAAGCUGUCCUUUCCAAUUUCUUGCUAUAAUCCCUUGUCCGGUCCUGACUCGUUUAGCUGAUAUCGCUGCAUCGGUAUACAGCCUUAUCUCUUCCUUCCUUGGCCGCACUCUCCUGGUAGGUAAGGCAUCAUUCAGCUUCCCUGCGAUCUCCUUCUGGUCUGUACUCCCUACCUGUUCAAACUCAAGCCAUUCCUCCUGUGCUUUCCUUACUAUUUUUACUGGAUCCUGGUUGGCUUGUUCAAAAAAUUUUUUGUUCCUGGCUUUCCAAAUUUGCCAAAGGAUAUUGAUAGUAAGACUAACUCUCUCCUGACCUUGGUUCAGUGCCAGCGAUUGUGUGACUUGUUCCCACCAUAACCAAAAGUUAUAUUGCAUACCCAGUAAUCCAUCCCACCUGACCGGUGCUAGCUUCCACGUUUCCACAGCCUUUUCACAGAAGAAAAACAAAUGCUCAAUAGUUUCCAUAUCUUCACCACAGCAACCACAUCUGCCUUCCCCUCUAUGUAGCCUUUUCGACAUCUGUUCAUUGACUGGCAGACAAUUUUGUAAGCACUUCCACAUGAAGUGUUUUAGUUUGGCCUUCACCUUCAAAUGCCAUAGCUGCUUCCACACAUUUCGUUUUCGUAUCUCCCAACUUGUUUCUGCCUCUUGGCCUGUCCUUGUACCUGCUUUUCCUUCCCGUUGCCUUGCUAAAGCAUAACCAGAUUUCACGCUAUAAAUUCCAGCUUUGGAAUGCCCCCAUACCAACCUAUCCUUUCUUCUUCCUAUACUUGUUGGAAUUCCCUUUAUGUGCUCUGCAUCUUUUGCACAAAACCACUUGAGAAGCAAAUCAUUUUUCCAUUUCCCUUCCUCUAUCAGCUCACUUACCCAUUCCAACUUGCAUCCCACAGGUUGUGUGGUUGAUGCAAAGCCGGUAUCUGAACCAACUAUCCAUCUGUCCCGCCACAUGUUGACUGACUUGCCAUCUCCAAUUCUUUUCCAAAGACCAUCAUACAGAAAGGAGGCUGCACUAUGAAUACUCUUCCAACACCAUGAGGCUGAAGAGACUGGCUUCUUGUCCAUCCAUUUUUCAUCACUCAUAUACUUCGCCUUCAUUACCUUACUUACUAACAAAUUUGGAGCCAUUAAGAAUCUCCAAAUUUGUUUUGCCAGUAAUGCUGUGUUGAAGGCCUCCAAAUCUCUAAAGCCUAAACCUCCUCUUCCCUUAACUUCUAAGAGCUUCUUCCAGCUUGCCCAAUGUACACAGGUACCCUUUUCUCCCUUCCCCCACCAGAAACUCGCUAUUUUACCUGUGAUUUGUCUACACAAACCCCUUGGAAGUCUAAAGCAAGCCAUCACAUAUGUUGGCAUAGCCAUAAUCACUGAUUUGACCAGAAUUUCUUUCCCUCCUUGGCUCAACAGUUUUUGUUUCCAACCUUGCAACUUGUUACUAAUUUUGUUCUGGACAAAUGCAAAGACCUGUGUCUUUGAUCUUCCAAUUGCCAUUGGGAGUCCUAGGUAGGUUCCAUUCCUUGCCUCUUUAAUGUUAUCUAAUACCUCCCUCACUCCAUUCUUCCUUUGAUCAGUGGUAUUUUUGCUAUAGAAGAUAGCUGACUUUUCAAAAUUCACCACCUGUCCGGAUGCUUGACCAUAUCUUUCCAAUAUGCUUUUGACCUUCCUCGCCUCCUGCUUGGUUGCUUGGCAGCAUAGUAGAGAAUCAUCUGCAAAAAAUAGGUGAGAAACCAUCGGACUGUCCUUGCAUAUUUUGAUCCCUGUAAUUUCCUUGUUCAUCAUAGCUUUAUGGAUCAAACAUGAAAGACCUUCAGCGCAUAUAAUAAACAAGUACGGGGAUAGGGGGUCUCCUUGUCUAAGCCCUCUACUCGGUUGAACACAGCCUACCUUUUGCCCAUUUAAGUUGAAGGAGUAAGUCACAGUAGAUAGGCAAGACAUGAUCCAUUUAACAAAAAUUGGACAAAACCCCAUUUUCAUCAUAACUCUCCCCACAUAUUUCCAUUCGACUCUAUCGUAAGCUUUGGACAUGUCCAGUUUAAGAGCCAUAAAUCCUACCCUUCCCUUUCUCCUAUUUUUCAAAAAAUGCAGGAUUUCAUGUGCAACUACUACAUUAUCAAGAAUUUGACGGCCUGGGAUAAAAGCGGAUUGAGAGGGACUAAUACAAUGAUGCAAGACACCUUUCAAUCUAUUAGCUAUGAUUUUAGAAAUGAUUUUAUACAGGACAUUGCACAAGCUAAUAGGUCUAAAAUGCACCACAGAUUCAGGAGUAUCAACUUUAGGAAUCAACGAAAUAAUAGUAUCAUUCACAGCUUUGAGCAAAUGCCCAGUAUGAAAGAAACUCUUAAUAGCUGCUACCACAUCAUCCUUGAUAAUAUCCCAAUAGUGUUGAAAAAAUAGAGGAGACAUACCAUCCGUUCCUGGUGCUUUAUUAGGGUGCAUCGAGAACAAAGCUUUCCUGAUCUCACUUUCCUCCACUUGUCGUAUCAGUUGUCCAUUCAUAUGACUCGAAAUAGUGCUUGGAAUUUCAGCUAGAAUGUCCUCAAAGCAGUCCGGGUUAGUAGUGGUAAAAAGGUCUUUAUAGUACUCACAAAGUUCCUCCUCAAUCUCAUGUUCCUCCUUGCACCAUGUCCCAUCUUUUUUCUGCAAUAUAGUGAUCUUAUUUCUCCUCCUCUUUGCCAUGACCGAAGAAUGGAAAAAAGCUGUAUUCUUGUCCCCUUCUUUGAGCCACUUGUUCCUGGAUUUUUGACUCCAAAACAUCUCUUCCUCUGCAUAAGCUUUAUUCAAUUGUGCUUUUAGUUCAGCCACUUGUACUCUUUUCCCUUCAUCCUUUCUUGCUUUCACUUCAGCCAAUUUCUCCUUUAACACUUUAAUUCUAACCUUUGAGUUUCCCUGCACCUUUUUCCUCCAAUCCAGAAUAGCCAUGCGACAUUCCUUUAUUUUUGUAGCCACUCUAAACAUCCUGGACCCUGACUUCACCUUUGUCCAUGCUCCUUGAAUCACCCUUUUUGCUUCUGGAUUUAGCGUCCAUCGUUGAUCAAAGUAAAAUCUCCGUUUUCUCCUUGUGUUUUCCGGGUUUGUAUCCACAAGAAGCAUUAGAUGAUCAGAGGCUUCAGUAUCUAAAUGAGUACACUGUGCCUUUUCAAAUCUUUGCAGCCAUUCGGUGCUGCAUAAACAUCUAUCCAACCUCUCUUUCACUUCCCCAUCCCCCUCCCAACUAUUGCACCAAAUCCACGGGACCCCUUGAUAACCUAAGUCAACCAGGUUAUUGUCUUUGAUAAACCUGUUGAACUCCCUAAAACAUCUUUCAGCUCUAUCCCUUCCUCCCCACUUCUCCUCACUAGACCUCAAAUCAUUAAAAUCUCCUACAAUGAUCCAGCCAUCCCCCCAGUCCCUCAUCCUGUCCUCUAAAUAUUUCCAUUGUGCUUUUCUAAUGUUACUAUCUGUGCUUGCAUAAACACACACUAGCCCCCAGUAUCCUUUAGUAUCCUUGUCCUCAACUCUAGCACUAAUACACCAAUCAGUACUUACAAUCUGGUCUAAAAUCACCUCAUUGUUCCAGAAUAAUGCUAGACCGCCUGCUUUACCUAUUGAAUUCACAAAAAAGCUAUUGUCAUACUGAAUCUUCCUUUGAACCUUGCCCAUAAACCCUUCCUGAUUCUUAGUUUCACAAAGGAACACCACCUUAGGAGAGUGGAAGUUAGUCACUUCCUUUAGUUGGGGACUUGUCAAGGGGCCUCCUACACCUCGACAAUUCCACACCACAACCUUCAUUUACACUUUGGAGGCUUUCCGGGGCUAGCCUCCAUUUCCCCUAUUGUACUAACAUUUAUUAGAUCCAGUUUCAUAACCUUUACCUUCGGUACAUUAUCAUCAUCCUCCUCUAUCGGUUGUGUUCCCUGAAACAUACCAUCAGCCUUCCUUUUAGCACACGAAACCUGCGUUACUUGUCCAUUUGUAUCUGCCUUUAAGGAUGUUUUAGCCGGCCUCCCUCUUCUUUUAAAACUGCUUCUUUUUUCAGCUUUGUUAUCUUCUUCCCCUGGAGUAGCCUCCUUUCUUGGCAUUCUUGCAUUUGUCUCCUCCUGCUUUAUUGACCCUACCCGCAAACUUUCACAUUCCUGUUUUGAGCUGUCCGUUUCCAUAUCCUCAUAAUCUACUGGUGGGAUUACGCUGCUCCCUCCUUUACUCCCUUCCUGUACCCUACCCUCCUUUUCACCAUUUCCCUCCAUUAAGACCACAGCCAAACUUUCCACCCGUUGGUUUGCCUUUCCAUACUGCCUGCUGUCUUUUAGAAUCUCAUCCCACCUCUCUUCAUAUUGUCUCGUCAUCAUUUUCUCCUUAUCCCCCCUUUCCUUUCCCCCCAAGACUCUACCAUUUUUUCCCCCAAGAGUUAAUGUAUCUCCAGCCAUUUGUACUCCAGUUUGAACUUCACUACUAGGAGACCCUGCCCCCACCCUCCUUGCAUCAAUUUCACUUACUCCUUCCAGCCGUCCCUUUAAGGGAGAUACCAUUAUAUUUCCAGCUCUCAUCCAGGCACCAUAUUGUUCCUCUCGCUUCUCCCCCCCACCCUUCCUACCACAGUACAAGUCCUAUCACUAUGCCCAAUGAUACCACACCUAUAACAGAAAUCAGGGCAGCGUUCAUACCUGAACUCAACCCACACUGCCUGGUUCUUACAGUUGAUCUUUGUCCCUCUAACCAGUGGUUUCGUUAUAUCUACCUCAGCCAUAAUCUUCAUGUGGCGACCCUCUUUCCCACCACUUCCUGGGAGAAUCACUCCCCUCACUGAUUUAAAGAUCCCUCCUAUUUUCAAACCCACUGCUCUGCUCAACCAGUGCACCGGUAGGUUCCAUAGUUGAAUCCAAAGAAAGGAAUGCUGGAAAAAGCUGCUGUUUGUAUCAUACCCCUCUACCCACUCCUUCACUAUCAGCAACUGGUUGUCCAUGACCCAAGGCCCUCCAGAUAAGAUCUUUUUCUUUUCCCCUUCAUCUCCCAGAUGGAAAUGGAAUAAGUUAGGACCUAACUCAGUCACUUUCAUCUUUGAGGGGUAUCCCCAUGCAUGAUUUGUAAAGUUCUUUAACCCCGUAAAGUUGGCAAUUUUUUCACCAAUCAGCUUUCCUACCAGGCUUCCUUGACACUCAGAGACGCCUUCUUCCAGGUCCUCACCACUCAGAUCGACACCUCCUAACUCUGUUUCAGACAAGUCAAAAUUUUGAAAGGCUCUUUCUAAAGCAUCCGCCAUUGCUGUGACGAGAGCUCCUUGAGAAACCAAGCACUAUUUCUGAGCUAUGAGUGACCCACUGACAGACCUGUGAAGAAUUGCAAAGACAGACAAAGCUGUGUUAUCCGUACACACUAAAAACCAACCAGAAAAACAGAGAGGAACUCGACAGAAAAAGCACAGGCACAAGAAGAAACGAAAGAAAAAAGAAAAACCAACAAACCACUAUCCCACUCCCGACCACAUAACAGCAUUAAAGAAAGGGACACAAAUACGACACUCCAACUUCCGAUCACAUGCUCUGACUCAAUGGAUCAUAUCUUGCCCAAAGCGUUUACUCCUCCAACCGAUUCCAAACCACUACAGACAUUGUCUCCCAUUUUGAAGCCGGAAGAAAGGUGGCUUCUGGACAGGGAACAUGAAAGCAAAGGUUGAACUAAAGAUUUGAUUUUAGAUCUGAAAAUUACGCUGUAGGAAAAAGUGCUAUGUGUUUGUACCUCACCCACUCUCCCACACCGAGGAGGGGAACCUCUAAAGUUAGAGAGAGAAGCUCUCAAGUUAGAGAGAAGCUUUGGAAGUUAAUUACCAACGUACCAUGCCGUACAUGUUUGUAAGGAUUUCUAUCCUAUUGGCAAAAGUCGGUUCCAUACAAUUAAUCAAUUCAUUUCACUUCUAUUGGCUCUACUAUUUAUGCAUGUUACGACACUCUUUCCCUUAUAUUUUGCCUUUAAUAUUAUGAGUCAAUAGUAAUAAUGGGCCUUUUUCUUAAAAUUAUACUAUUAUACAUAGGUAGUUUGGUCUAACGCUAAAUUCAUGUUUGUCUUUCUUUUAUUCCCUUUACAUCUCAAAGUAUACUAUAGUUUGUAAUCAUUGUGGUGAUGAUAUUACCAGCUGGUACUUAUAGUUUAAGGCAGAGACAUGAUAUUAACAACUAUCUCAUUGAAACAUAAGUCAAAAUCAUGACAAGUGUGAGUCUUGGUUAAUGCACAAUUUGUUAGUGGAAUUUAUAUUUAUAAAACUCAAAAAAAAUUUUUGACAAUGCUAUUACUAAUUAAUUAAGGACUUCAUUGCUAUAAUUUAUCGCUUACUAAUUUAAACUAUAAAUGAUCUCAAUACUUUUCUCCAUGAUGUCGAUUUCUUUAGACUACGAAAGGGAAAAAUUAGUGACAUAUCCCUUACUGAUUACAACAUCAGCAAAAAUUAGUUAUAAACUUUUCCGGUGGUUUUAAAUCCCUCGGGCACUAAGGUUUUUUGCACAUCGAGUGAAUUAAGGAACAUAGGCAAUUCGUUCUGCAUACCAAGUCCUUGUUUAAGAUGCACGUACUAAAAUGCAUCCACUUCAUUAAUUUGGAAAAUUGCCAUAGUUUUUUUUAAGCAUUUUGAUUUUUUACAUGAUUCAAAAUUUUCUUAUUGGAUACAAUCACUUUGUGUCAAGAACACAUUUUCAAUCAUCUUUUUUAUCUUCUCAAUAAGAAAAUAAAAAUUUAUUCAUGCUUUUCUAACAUAUCCAAUCAUUGAUCUGAAAAAUAAAGAAUUAAAAAAAAAAGACAUUUUCAAUCAUUGCUUACGGGGCAACUUCCCCAUGUGAACCUCAUCAAACAAAGCCAAUAAUAUGAAGGAACAUCUAAAUACACUUUUGCCCUAAAGGCUGGUUGCCUUGGGGUCAAAAUUUAACCUUCGGGAGUAUAAUUACCCGCCAAAUUUAUUAUUUUUUUUAUGGGUAUAUAGUUCCAAUUUUGCCUCCUGUUAAGCUUAUAAAUAUAUUACGACCCAGAAAAUAAAGGAAUCUUGAAUAGUAACAUGUCCAUUGACUUGAGUUGUUAUCAAUUUGGCUACUUCGAUUCCAUGAGGCCAAUCCAAUUCACACUAGCUAGAGAAAAUGGUGAUAAAGGCACUUAGAAAUUUAUAUGUAAUAUUGAUUGGUAGUAACUGAUAAGUAUAUAUUUUACGUGUUUUAAAUAUGUUUUAUUAGUUAGUUUUGGUGUGUUUUAACUACUUUUAUAACUAAUUAACUAGGAAUCUAGUGAAAAUAUGCAUUUUGUGGUUUGAAGUGUAAAAAUUGUAUUUCUAUGGAUUUUAAUGGUGAAAACUUCAUGUUUUUGUAGGUUUAAUGAUUCAAUCAUCAAAUGACAUGAUUUGAGAAGAUAAUUAGAUGAUUGAUGAUGUUUUGAAGUGAUAAAAAGAGAAUACAAAGUGCAAGAGAGGAAAUGCAAUCAAGAAUAAAAGAAGAAAAUUUUUGUAGCUUUGACAUAUUGUCGUAUUUCGGCAAUAUAUUGAGCUACAAUGAUCGGAUUAAGGUGAUUCUUAAACCAUUUGAAGCUAAAAUAUAGAUCUACAUUUGGCAUGAAGGCAUCGAAACCCAUGUCAGUCAUUUUCCUUGUCAAAAUGUUGAAAUACAGAAGUGCAACUCUGUUCUCGAAAGCUAAAACAGAGCUCUGGCUAGUCGAGGGUAUUUUCAUCAUUUCUUAGUCCACAGAGCUCCAAAUGAGAUGAUUCUUAAGGCAUUAGAACCCUAACUCAAAGAGCUACAACUUUCAUAUUUUGUACAAGAGUUAGUUCGGCCUCUAUCAUUAAGAAAAUAGUAGUUGAAGUGGUGCCAAAUGCAUAGAAGUGAAAACGCGAGCUAUCAAUACUCGACCUGAAGUCGCGUAUUCCUGAGGUCAUGCAUUCUCUUCUAUUUUCUGCAACUUGCCCUGCUUUCACAUAACUUUUUCAUCUCAAUUCCAACUAUCAAUUUCGGCUAUAUCUGAUCAAGAAAAGUGUGGAAAGUUUGAAAGACAACUCAUAGGAGUUUCAAGAGUCAAAAAUUACAAUUAGAAACAACUCAUUUGGCUCUUGAAUCCUCUAUAAAUAGAGGCCUUUGAAGAACAUUUUCACAACUUUGGAAGGUUAGAGAAACUCCACAAAAACAUAGUCUUCACUAGAAUUUCCUUAGUUCAUUAGUUAGGGUAGUAUAGUAUAGUUAGUGUAGCUUUUCCUUCUUGUAUUUAUAGUUAGGUUUGAAUGAAGAUUCAGGAGCAAAGAUAGAGAGGUUGAUCUCAUGUGACAAGGGUGAUAUCUCUUCUACUACUUUCUCUUUUGUAUUUGAUUUCAUAUUUAACUAUACUACAAAUUUGGCUUUGUUUUUUUUUUUUUAUCAUGUUUAGUUAAAGUUUAUGCCUAGAGUAUGGAUGACCUUUUUAUAUCUUGUUUGUGAUAUUUAACUGGUUAUUUGAUGAUGUUAUUUUUGAGCAAGUUAUUUAUCACUUUUGCUUUUCUAAUCAUGAUUAACUGGCCAUUAGUUGUGAUUAUCUAAAAGUGUUAAGUUUGUAAUGAGAAUUGGAGUUUAACACUAGUUCAAGGAAGUGAUAAAUUUAGGGAGUUCACUCAUGAGAGUAGAGGAACACCUUUGUGACCUAAGUGACUUGUUUCAUAUAAUUUCAUAGAAAAAAUGAACUUGUAAUUAAUUUCAUAACCACGAGAGUAAGUAUGGUUUAGCUAUAUGUAUAGUUGAUUCACUACGAGAGUAGGUUUCACAUACAUUAGAAAAUUACAUCAUAACUAGUCAAGAUAAUAUCAUUCAUUUAAUCAGUAAUCUCAUUUGCAUGAGUAGUAAGGCAUUCCAUAUCUCUAGGAGGUUUUUAGUAUUAUUUUCAUUACUUUUAUGUUUAUGGUAGUCUAGAUAAUAAUGGAGUUCGAAAACUACUAGUAAUUGAAAAUUUUCCCUGUGGGAUCGACCUUUAAUACCCUAUACUCGCUCUCGACUCGUAUACUUGAGAAAAAUCACGUGUGCGGUAUUUAGAAUUUAUAAAUGUAAAACUUGACUGUAGAUGAACUAAUUGAUAUAUGUAUACCCCGCACUCGUCAGUAACCAGCUUGUAUUGAUCCCACUAUUGUGGAUAAUUGUGCUCUUAUGAAAAAAAAUUAUAAAAAAAUUAGCAAAAUUUAUGAUAACAAAUUAAAUUUAUUCAUACAAAUCAGUGAAAGAAGUAGAAUUUUAAAGUCCAUGAUGAAAUUAAUACUUUCAAGGGCUCUAUUAGGAAGACUUCACUUGUUGGUGAAACUACACUAGCACAGUUAUAUGCACAUUUACUGUUUUGGUAUCUAAUUUCCUUGCCUUAAGUUGGGUGCAGAUGUUUAUAUUACAAAUAGAUGGUAUCAUAAAAUUGUUGUAUUCACGUUUGUUCUUUUUUUUCUUCCUUAAGUUUUUUUCUUUAUUCUCGUGACUUCAAAAAUACGAACUCAAGAAAUUGGCUGCUUAAUCAAUAUGUCAUACAGGCUUCGCUAGUGAGGUAUAACUUCACAACUAGAGUCAAUAGAAAUUAUCAAAUGAUUUUUUAACAUCCAAAUUAAGCAAUAAAUUUUGUUUUCAUUUUAUGACAUAUAAUAGUACUACUUCAUGAGAGAUUUUAUAGUUUCUUUUAGGUAUCAUACCUACAAGUGAUAUUUGUCAUUGGAUAGUGACAGAAGUGUUAAUGAUUGUAAGAUUAAAUAUUGUUAAAUAUUGAAAUUUAAACUAUUUAUCUUUAUUGAAAGAUACAAGUUAAAGAAUCGUUCAAGGGGGCAAUUUUCCAUCUUGUCUUUUUGAAAAAACGCUAUCACAUUGUAUAGGCAUGAUAGGUUCAAAUUUGUCAUUAAAUUUAUGAUUGAUUUUCCUUUUAUUCAAGCCAAAUAUUGUUUUAAUUAUCAAAUUCUACUUAUAUUUGGUUAAUUGUACUAAUUGUAGGGCGGUAGAGCAAAAGUUGCUAAAAAUAGGCGAUUUUCUGCAAAUUGGUUGUCAAGGCUGAAGGAUUUGGGAUUCGCAUGUUCAAGGCCUGUUUCCAAGUUUGAUUCAAACUCUGGACAGUUUUAGAGGAAGAUUUGGAAGAUUUGAAAUUUCAUUAUUAGUUUUAUGGUUGAAUUAGGAAUCUUGGAAUAAUUUCUUUUGUGAUUUAUUUUUCUAUUUAGGAGACUAGUUGUUAUUUAGUAGUAGACUUCAAUUAGAAAACAAAGAGAAAAAGAAGGCCGGAAUCCCGCUUGAUUAAUACCUUGGCCAGGGAACAAUCUCGGUGGGGAGGACGGCCACUUAGCCUCUCAAUUCAUCUUGCUUUUCGUUAGUUUGAGAGGAAAACCAAUUGCAACUAGAUUCAAUGGAGUCUGGCAGAAUUUCUUCUAGGAUGCGUAGCUAAAUCCUCAAUUUUUAGUCGAAGGUCAAUUUGAAAAUUCGGUUCCAAAUAUCUGUGAAAUCGAAUUAUUUUACUUAUUUCUUUUAUUUAUUGGUAUUCGCACGUUUUCUGAUUUAACUUUUUAUGAUUGUUUUGUUAUUUGAAUGUCAAGGGUCCGAUAUUCGAAUUAACUUAAUAAUCUACUGCCAAAUUAACCGGUUAAAUCCGUAAUUGUUUGAUUGAUUAAUAUCAGUGGCGACUAGCGUGAUUGGUCCCAUGUUAGGAAAACGUCUGAUCUAAUUUAAACAAACCGUCGUAGCGUGUUUGUUGAUUAGGGUUGGGCUUUUCUAAUUCUUAAUUCAAUUGAGAAAUUAAAUCCCCCGGUCGUACCUAGGAUUAUUUUUUUGUUAGCGAAAUAGUUAAUGGUCGUACCUUGACUAUCGAAAAAGUAAGGAAGAGUUGAUUGUUUAUCGCGUGUACGACAACUAUAAUCAAUCUAUUAAUGAGUAAUUGAAUUAUCUUUGCAUCAGUAAUCAGUUGAAUGGACCGUGUCUGAAAAGUUGUACCUUUGGCUAGAGUCUUAUCUGUUGUUGAUUCAUUCAUAUCUAUCUUCAUGCGUUGUUUUAAUUUAGUUAAUUAGUUAUUUUUAUAAAAACCCCUCAUCUCUGGACUCUAAAAGAAAUAAAUUAUUUCUAGUUCCUGUGGAUUCGAUCCUACUCACCAUACAAUCCAACCUGCAAUUGUAUGAACCCCAAUCUCGCUUCCUAGUCCACCAUUUUUCUCUAGGUAAUAAUCUCCCUUCUAAUUUCUUCACAAAAUGCACCUUUCAUCACCUCCAAUAGCGUCGACAUGAUCUUUACCCCAGAAGACUAUUCACCGACUCUCAAUUGACGUUAGAAAAUCUAAGAGUAAUUCUACUUUACCCUAAGAUUGAUAUCAACAAGACAAGGACAAUUUAGAAUUAUUACACGCCUCUUCUUAAUAGGAAAAAGAAAUAGAGAAGAAAGUCAGGCCAGGUCUAAUUUCUUUUCAAAGGCAAUACAACAUUACGAAAUCAAGCAUUCAUUCAUACAAAUAUUUCAUAGUCACCGGUUUGCUGAGUAGAAAAAUUUAGACAAAAACUUAAUAUUAUAUUGUUUAAGAGUUAACAAUUUAGAGCUUAAUCUCCUUGUACUUUGGAGUUAACAAUUUAGAGCUUAAUCUCCUUGUACUUUGGACUAAACUUGAACGUGAAAGGAAAUCCCAAAACCAUAUUGGGCAUGAAUUCACACUUAAUAUACCCAAUAAAAGAUGGCGACUGGUGAAAGGCAGUGGAGACUGGUGGAGAGAUUUGAGGAAUAGAAGCAGACGGAAAAGCAACAAAUUUUUGCCGAAAAACGGUCACUUUCAUGGUUAAUUUUGCUACUCUCCAAUUGUACUUGACCAAUUACAACAAUUUCAUGGAGUUUGAUACGUGAAAAGAAUUUUUUAUAAAUUUUAUUUUGAUCCAUAAUGUUAUCUUUACAUAUAUAAAACAUUUUACAAUUUUGAUUUUGGCGCAGUUAACUUUUGGUAAACAAAAAUGCUCAUGUUUAAAAAACCGGAAAUAAAACAAAACAAGAAACAAAAGAAAUAAGAGGGUAGCAUAGACAUUUUGGAUUUUUCCGUUAAUUUGGAUGAUUUCCACCCACGUUCUAAUUUAAUCCAAAACACAAAGGAAUUACGUAGAGGUUUUAAAUAAUGAGGGAGCUUCAUGAUCGAACCCCAAACCACAAGGCGAUUUACUAUAUUUUACUCUUAAAUUUUGGUUUCAUCUCAUAGCAUACAAGAGUUCUAUUUCACUAUCUGUAGACAAAGACUUUCUAUGGUUGAUGUACCAUAGGAAAAAAUCUGCCUAUACAACGUGAUAGCAUUUUUUCAAAAACACAAGAUGGAAAAUUGCCCCCUUAAACGGGGAAAUUCAUGAUCUUUCCUCGAACAAAGAAUACUCACGCCUAUUCAAGAUGGAAAAUUGCCCCCUUAAACGUCUAUUUGUCAAUUCUUGAAAAAAGAAUACUCACGCCUAAAACACGGCCUCUUCAUCUGCAGAAUUCUAAAAAGUUAGGUAAACUCUAUAAACAAGUUGAUAGGUACAAUCGUACCCAAGAUCAAGUACAGAUAGUUGUACAUUCACUGCUGCAAUAACUAAUCUGAUGACUUACAAACAUAUCAUGGUCAAUCGUUGAAUGGUAAUGAGUCUUUUGUUAUGCAUUAGUAUUAGUGUGUACACUCUAAUAGAUUGAUACUUAUACUCUUUAAAUUAUCAUAAUAAUACCCUUAAUUAACUUUAACUCUUAAAAAGAAUACGUGUUAAUACACGAGAGUGUGUAACCUGAAUUGUUACUUAUACAUUAGUGUGUAAUAGAUAGGGAUGGCAAUGGGGGCGGGUGCCCGCAGGCAACCGCCCCGCGGGGGGCUCUCGGGGCGGGGAGGGGGGAAUUUUUUCCCCCCGUUUAGAAACGGGGCAGGGGACGGGGGAGUAUACCCCCGCCCCAUCCCCCGCAAAAAAAAUUAUAUAUAUAUAAUUAUAUAUAAUAUGUAAUUUAAUUAGUUAUAAACUUAUGAUAAUGAUAUUAUUAGUUAGAUGUAUUAUAUAAUGUAUAUUAGUGUAUGUAAUAUAAUUAAUAUUAUCAAUUAUACGAAUAAUUAGACAUGUCUACUAAUAGAAUUUAUUAAUUAGUUAUACUAAAUUUACUAAUACAUUUAUACUAAAUUUCUAAUUACAUUUAAUAGAAUAACACUUUUUUCUAAAAAAAAAAGCACAAACACAAUAAUGAAUUAGUGAUUGUAUUUUUACCAAAAAUGAAAACUUAACUAUUUUAGUUGCAUUUAUUUCAUCAUGUUGGAUUGUAUUCAAAUAAUUUUUGUUUGAUUGUUUUUAUGAGUUUCAAUUGUAAAAUUAAAAUGAAUAAUAACUUGAUGAAUAAUAAUGUCAAUCGUUGAAUGGUGUGUACACUCUAAUAUUAUGCAUUAGUAUUAGUGUGUACACUCUAAUAGAUUGAUACUUAUACUCUUUAAAUUAUCAUAAUAAUACCCUUAAUUAACUUUAACUCUUAAAAAGAAUACGUGUUAAUAACUCUUAACCUGAAUUGUUACUUAUACAUUAGUGUGAAAUAGAACGGCAAGCAUUGAGCAACUUAUAGGAGAAAUAGUCCUAUAAGCUGUUGGAUGACUAAUAUAGCUCUAGCUGUAAUGUUUUAAUUAAAUUACAUCACUAACGUUGGGAUGACUAAUGGUUUAAAAAUAAUUGAGUAAUUGGAAAAAAAAAAAGAGACUAAUUUUCAUUGAAACCCACCGACAAACUAAACGUGUCCAUGGCUUUUGAAUAGUGCAUUCAACGUUUAAUUGUAUAGUCCAGUUCAUUGCAGAUUACAUGGAGUAAAGAUUGUGCUCUUUCCUUUUUCACCCCUUUUGGAAUCGAUACUGUGGAGAAUUGGGUUUUUCCCUUCUUUUUUUCUUUUCUUUCUUUCUGUGCUUUGCAAAACAUAGGUAAAAUUAUGAAAUCCGAAGCAUUCUUUAAUUGGGAUUAAGUAUUGUUCUUGAAAUUAAAAAGAAGAAAGAAAGAACAACAAAAUUCCCUGAUUGGUUGCAUCGUGCUUCCAUAGAAGCUCUCUUAGUGUGAUACACUGCUUUCAAUCAGUUUAACAUGGAAAAAAGAAAGAGAUGAAAAGCAAAUUUGGUGGGGAUAAUUUCAGAAACCUCCCCUGAAGAUUUUGACUAUUCUACUGGUCUCCCUUCAGAUUUUAAAAAUUACACUAAUCUUCCUUGAAGUUAUAACAUUUAAAUUCAAUCAAUAAUUUAAAAAAUGAUAUUAUGAAAGAGAAAAUAAUAUGAUUUUAUCAUUGCCCCCCAUCUUACUACAUUAUUUAAUUAAUUUAAUAGCAACCCACACAUUAAAGAAAAAUAUAAAAUUUGUUAUUUAUCAUUAAAGAUCAAAUCGCUUAUAACAUCAAAUAAUAGUAUAUUAUUUAUAUUUUUCACUUAACAUAAUAUCCAAAUUACUCUUUUCAAUUACAUACUCAUUGUUAGACAAUCAACAACAAAUAACCAAAAAAUUUGCAACCAAAAUAUUACAAAAAAAAAUAAACUUUAACAUCAUAAAUAUUCUUAUCAACAUAUUAAAGUUAGUUACUGAAAUUUUUAUGGUGUUAAACUUCACUCUUUGUAAUAUUUUGGUUACAGAUUUUUUUUGAUUAUUUUUUAUUAAUUAUGUUUGAUGAUGGGUUUGUAAUUGAAAAGAAUAAUUUAAAACUUACAUUAAGUGAAAUAUAUAGAGUGAUAUACUAUUUUUUAUAACAUAUGUGAUUCAAUCCUUCUUGAUAGGAUUGGUAAUAGAGGUAGAGGGGGGAGUCGGCUGCAUCCGGUCUUCUUUUCAUAGAUAGUACAAUAUUGCGAAAUCAAUCGCAUUCACACAAUAAUAUUUCGAAGUCAAUGCAUGGCUAAGUUGCAUAAAAGUACGAACACUUGUUAUUAUAUAGCUUAAGAUUCAAAACUUUAGAGCAUAACCCUCCACCUAACACAAUUGAAUAAUGAAUAUUCACGUUUGUCAAAUCUGUCAAAGCACAGUUUGAGGACAACCCAUUCCAACCUGCAAAAGAUUUUUUACUUUUCUAAAGUUGUUGAGAGCUGUAAAAAGACCUACCAUGCUUACAUCCUCCGAGCCUUGGGAGUUAAAAAUGAAGGCACUGAGUGCUAUAAAAAGGGGGCUAGAGGCUGCCUAGAAGCAUAUCAGCCUAAAACAAGAAUUUGUUGUUAUGAUGGGAAGCAAAGCAAAAGCAAUGGGGUCUGGGCUGACUCCUCUUCUUGCCACUGUUUUAGUGGUAUUUGUUGCUCUUGGCUUGCCCUCAGAAACAGCAGCUGAUGAUCACUACAAGUAUUCAUCUCCUCCUCCUCCUUACCACUAUCCCUCACCACCGCCUCCAGUGCAUUUACCUCCACCAGUGUACAAAUACAAGUCCCCACCACCACCUCAUCAUGUUUACAAGUACAAAUCUCCACCACCCCCACCACCACACCCAGUUUACAAGUAUAAGUCACCACCACCACCUCCUCAUCCGGUACCACACCCAGUUUACAAGUAUAAGUCACCACCACCACCUCCUCAUCCGGUAUACAAGUAUAAGUCUCCUCCGCCACCACCACACCCAGUUUACAAGUAUAAGUCACCACCACCACCUCCUCAUCCGGUACCACACCCAGUUUACAAGUAUAAGUCUCCUCCGCCACCAGUUUACAAAUAUAAGUCUCCUCCACCACCACCUCCAGUGUACAAGUACAAGUCUCCACCACCACCAGUUUACAAGUACAAAUCACCACCACCUCCUCCCCCAGUUUACAAAUACAAGUCUCCACCACCACCAGUUUACCACUACAAGUCACCACCACCUCCUCACCCAGUUUACAAGUACAAAUCUCCUCCACCACCAAUUUACCACUACAAGUCACCACCACCUCCUCCCCCAGUUUACAAAUACAAGUCUCCACCUCCUCCUCACCACUACUAAGCAAUUGCUUCUGAGGUAAUAACACUUGUUCAAUAACACUUGAUAGCCAGCUGAAUAUUUGCAGGCAAAGGAGAAGGAAACCAGUGUUUGAGACCUUCUUGAAGAUGUAGAAGCAUAAGAAUUAAAGCCCAAUGUGAAGAUGAUGAUUUCAAGUUUUUCUACGUUACCAUUUCAAUAUCUAAAUUGGUUGUAGCGCCUUAGUUCCUUUGUUUAUGGGAUUUGUAUCGUUUUACGUACCAUGCAGUACAUGUCAUGUUUGUAAGGUUUUCUAUCCUGCCGGCAAACCGCAGGUUCCAUGUAAUAAAUCAAUACUAUUUAUAUUACGACACUUUUCUCUGUUUCUCUUAUAUUUUGUCUUUAAUAUUCUUAAUCAUAUUUUUAACAAAAAUAUUCAAACACUUCAGCAAUGGUUCACCUAGUUGAUCAUCGAAGCAGAGGCAAUUCCAAUUAUUUAUCAAUAAAUAGGAUAUAACUACCAAACAAGCGAUGGCAGUUAACCCCUCCUUACUGUGUCGGUGAUCAAGGUACGCCCGUUAAUCACUGCUCUAAUUGAGAAAUAAUCCUAAGUACGCCCGUAGAAUUUAAUUCCCCAAUUGCCUUACAUAUUAGAGGAGCCCUAUUCUAACCAAAUAACGCACUAUCAGGGUUAUUUUAGAUUAGCCCGCGUAUUCCCCUGACAUAAAUCUAAUCAUGCCAGUUGUCAUUAUUUUGAGGUAAUUAAACAAUUACGGAUUUAACACCUCAAUUGACAAUAGAUUAUUAAAUUAAUUAAUUAUUCGGAUCCAAGACAAUCAAUUAAUUAAACAACCAUAAGCACUACAAUCAGAGAAUAUGCAAAUACCAAUAAAUAAAUAAAAAAUAAAAUUAAAUCGAUCUCACAAUUUUUAGGCGAAUCAGAGCAUCCGUUGUCCCUUGACUAGAGCAAGGAAAUUAGUUCAUAUUUGAUGAACUAAACCCAUACAAAAGGGAAGCGAGAAAUGCAGCCAUUAUCCUUUGAAAUCUGGAAAAUUCAACUUGUCCGAAUAUCGAAUAGAUAGUAAUACUACAAAAGGUAAUUCAUAGCUUCCCUUUCGUCUGACACACAAGAAGAAAAAAAAGGGCUGCUAAUAACUAAAGGAGGAAAAGUCAAAGUCCUAAGCUAUGCUACAAGACGAAAAACUAAAGAAGACAAAAAGGCAGUGCUCAUUCCCUGCAAUCUCAAUUCCUAUUCUAUCUAAGUGCUCUCCAAUGUGCGGCGGCUCCCCUUCCGGAGAGGACGAAGUGGCACCCUUUUUUCCUGCGCAAUUUUCCUAUAUAAAGUAGUGCUCCUUGCAGCGGCUCCUGUGCGAAAAAAUGAAGACUUCGGCCCAAUUUGCCUAACAAGGGCUCACGUUUUGUUGUUCUAAAAAUGUCCCUAGGACAAACUCUAUCAUCUGAACUCUUUUCUUGCCAAAUUAGUACCUGUUAUUAUAUUUUCGUUCUACUCCCUGAAAUAAAUGCAAAAUAUCAAAAGUGAGUAGAAUCUAGCAAUUAAUCCACAUUAGGUCAGGUAAUAGGGAAAAUUAAUAAUAAAAUAAAUGAUAAAAUUGCAAUCUAUCACGGGACCACUGUGGUAAGGUGUGUUUCGCCUAUUAUAAGGAGUUCGGAGAGUUAGACGUGUUGGAGGCGGAGGCGCGGUCACUCCUGCACGCCCUCCAGCUGUGUGCAGAUCGCGAGGUACGGGCGUUGACUGUAGAAUCUGAUUCAAAGGUGCUUGUUCAACUAGUUUGCUCGGAUAUGAGGUCGAAGUGGCCGGUGUGUAUCGUAUUGCGGGAAAUAAGACAUUUGAUCCGGCGGAUGGGUGCAUCCCUUCAUCAUAUAUUCCGUGAGGCCAAUUCGGUGGCGGACGCAUUGGCUUCUCUGCAAUUGGGAGGGCAGCAGUACUACACCUCAGGCGUGGCGCUGCCUUUCAGGCCCAGAGGAGAGGCUCUGCUGGAUCGUCAAGGAGUACCUCGCAUCCGUGAGGCGCUCACUAAGGUUUGAUAGGCUAUGUCCUCCUUUCAAAAAACUUAUUUCAUCUACUCCUUGUAAUCAUUUUUCUUAUCAAUAAAUUGAGGCUUUUUAUUUAAAAAAAAACAUAUAAUUUAAGGCAAAAAUAUGAUCCUAGCGAGUAUCGCACUGAGACAUUAGGAAACAUCAUUAAAAGAGUAUUUCUUGAGUUAGUGCAACUAUUUCUUAGGGGAAUUUAUAGUUACAAAAUUCAAAAAUUUGAGAUUCUAUUACUGAUUAAUUAAGGGCGUUAUCACUAUUUUUCUUAUUAUCACCAUUAUUUACCCCACAUACUAUAAGUUUUUUUAGGGCACAGGAAAAGAGGUGGGCCGAUGUUUAGUUAUGUACAAAAGUUCAAAAUUUGUAGAUAACUUAUCAUGUGCCCUUAGAGCGUAGAAUACAGAAAAAAUAUCUUAAACUAUAACUAAUCCUAAUAUUUUUCUCUAUGAUAAACUAGCUCUUAUCCAUUUCUUUAGAUGAUGAAAGGAAAUAGUUAGUCACCUGUCCUCUAGUGAUUACAACAGCAUCAAAACAAAUUAGCACUCUUUUCCCGUAGUUUAAAAAUCCCUCAGCCACUAAGAUUUUGCAUGUCGAACGAAUUAAGGAACAUAGAAGGUUCGUGCUGCACCACAGUGUCCUUGUUGACGAUGCAAAGACAGAAAUGCAUCCGCGUAUACUUCCUUAAGCAUUUUGAUUACUUUAUGAUUCGAACUUUUCUUGUCUGACAGCUGGACUUAAUUGAAAAACACAAGUAACAAUAUUUCAAAGUUGAUUCGUCAAAGUUUACCCAAUUGGUGAAACUUUCUUCAUAGAGCUGACUUUGUAUUAGGUGACAAUGAUAUGGAAUUGAUGUCCUUCCCUUUUUCCUUUUUUUGUGUUGAAGACGCACAACGUUUUCAAUGGCAAAUUUAUAUGGGCUUUUCACGACAAAAUGUGUUCUGAAAAGUUCAUUCCAGAGGUUAAAAUUUUGUGUGUUAAAAAUUUGCUUCUCAGGACUUUGAUGGGAAAGUCUUGGUGUUUCCAAAAAGUUUAAGCAGGAUGCUUCUGGCUUUCUCUCCAUGUAUUUGUGAGUUAGAUCUAAAAUUAUCAGGGCUCCAGAGAUCUCUUGAAAUCGCAGCAUAUAUUGAAGUCUUUCCAGAAGGAGUCUUUUUUUUUUUUUUUAUGAAUUAUGAUAGAUAAUUAAUCUGACGGUGCAUAUAUAUAUAUAUGUGAUUUGCAGUAGGGUGUUUGACGAAAUGGUUAGGCUUCCUAAGUAAUGAUAGGAAUGCCAUUUGCAAAGAAGGACAGGGGGCUGGUGCUGUCAUAUUUUAUGCGAUUUGAUCCGUUGUUGUAUAAGUUUAAACUUUUGACGUGCAAUUGUGCUAUAAUAUUAUACUAAAUAUAUGUGUGAAAUAUUUUGUCUAUAUACAUCACUUUUAUCAUGAAUACAACAGCUGAGUAUAAUAAUAUAGUAUAAUGUAAUUGUACACCAAAUAAUGUAGCAAAUAUAACAAUUGAUCCGAAUUACACGGAACCAUAACAACAAGAUCACCGCCUCCCAAAUUUUACAAAAUUAGGUUUUUUUUUUUUCUCUUAGAUUAUUGAAAAUUUUCAAAAAUAAUCUACAUAAUUUAAGCUUUUGUCCUACAAAAAUUUGAAGAGAUUUUACAUUACAAGCUUAAGCUUAGAUAUAUUAAACUUUGCCCCCAAGAUUAAUUUUCCGUUUUUAUCUAUGAACCGAUCCAUAUAGCUAGUUAGACUGUAGUCCUCACAUUUGUGGGAUUUAACACCCAAGAUUCUCCUUCUUGGAAUGUAAAAUGUAGAUCUUCUAUGUUAAUAAUUCAAGACCCUACUGUCAUAAACGAAAUGACUGAUCAACUCCUGUAAACCUAAUUUGACAACAUUUAAAUGGAGAACUUUAGCUAAAAGAAUUAUGGUCAAGCUAAAGAAAAAGCCAGUUAUUUUCCAACAUAUGCAAUCAUUGAUCAGGAAAAAAAAAAAAAAGCAAAAAGACAUCUUCAAUCAUUUAAUAGCUCACAGUGCAAAUUAACCCCUAAGCGAAAACUGGUUGCUCUAGAAUCAAAAUUUUACCUUAGUUACCCAGGCAACUUUUUUGUUGCUUUUUUUUUUUUCUUUUCCUUUUUGGGUAUAUAUAUAGCUCCAGUUUUGCCCCCUCUGUCAAGCUUAUAUAAUUAUUAAGAUAAUAAAAGUGCCUUGAAUAGUAUUAAUAUAUCCAUUGACUUGAGCUGUCAUCGAUCGGUUUGGGCUACUUCGAUUCCAUGAGAACAAAUGGUAAUAAAAGUACUCAGAAAAUAGGGAGCCAUGAAACCCUUUUGUUCUAUUCAUUGCUAAGAUGCUUUUCUCUAUAAAGAGACUUCCUAACGAAAGUACUUUGUAGAUUUCUUUACUCCAAGUGGUGCAUGGAAAAUUAAAAUAUUCAAUUAUCAAAUAAAAUUCCCUUUUUUCGGUGUAGAUUUCAUCCAUCCAGCUGUUAACACAUUUUAUGUAUCCGAAUUAUAUAUUCUCUACCAAAUAUUGUAACUUUUCUGAGCAUCUUUACAUUUUUAUUCCCACCUAACAAAUUAGUUGUUGAGCAUCUUUACAUGCUAUCGGAUCACAAGUUAAUAAUCUUUUAAAGAACAUGUUAAAUUAAUUUAUUGGUAUGAAUAGUCAAAGAAGUAUAUUAAAGUUAGUAAUCUUUAAACACCACGAUGCAAUUAAUACUUUCAAGCUCAAGGUCUUUUUUUUUUUUUUUUUUGGUACUGUACUUCCUUGCUUUAUAGUAUGCACGUUUAUUUCUGUGGAUUGCUUAAGCUUAUAUUGUUAAUAAUUGGGCAUUUAACCAUAAAUUAUAAUGAUUAUGAAGUCAUAUAUAUAUAUAUAUAUAUAAGAAAAUUACCACAAUUAUUCAAUUUUUUUUGCAAAUUCAAAUUUUAUUAAUAAGAAAUAGGCAGUAAGCUUUUACAAACGGAAAAAAAAAAUCCUACAACAACUCUAGGACCUUUGAAAGAAAGAAAAAAAAAAGAAAAGAAAAGCUUAAGGACUCUACCUCAUAGAAGCUAAACAAUCCUACAAAUAAACUGCAAAAUAAAUCACAAUAACGCAAAAUUUUUGUCUUUCUUCCGUAUGAAAUGAAACUACGAAGUCAAGAAUUGACUCCUUUAACCGCUAUUGCCAGCGGGCUCCGUCAGCAAGAUACAACUUUGCAAUUUGAUUCAAUAGAAAUCCUCAAAUAGCUAUUUUGACAGGCAAAUUAAGCAUUAAUUUUGGUAUCCCUUCAUAAAAUACAAGAGUACUUUUGAUUAUAUCUAUAGAUCAACUUUCUAGGCUAUUUUGAUGUAUUAUAAGAAAAUCUGCCUCAACAAUUUUGAUAGCAUUUUUCCAAAAGCAGAAGAUGGAAAAUUGCCCAUUUGUACUGGGGAGUUCGUGAUCUUUUCCUCCUUCUAGUCUACUUACAAUUCUUGGAAAAAGGAAUACUCACAUCUCAAACAACUGCCUGUUCAUCUGCAAUGUCCUGCCGAAUUCUAGAAAGUUAGGUGGCAAUGCUAAUUACAUUUCAAAAUUGACUGCUGCGAUGACUAAUUCGAUGGCUUACUACAUGGUCAACGUUUGGAUCCCUUCCUGUCCUUUUUGGAUGCACAUUUUUUUUCUCUAGGCAAUAUAUAAUCUCCCAACUCAUUUCUUUACAAAUGCACCUUUAAUCACCACCAAAAGGUGUGGACAUGAUCUUUACCCUAGAAAACUAAUCACCGACAGGCAAAUUGACGUCAGAAAUACUAAGAGGAAUUCUAGUUUCCUUCGGGUUAAUGCCAUUUUGUACCCUUCAACUGUAACUCGAUUUCUAAACUAUAAUUUGUGACAUUAUAGUCCUUAAACUAUGAAACCCCUCUUACUUAAGUACAAUGGUUAAUACAAUACCCGUGACUAGACAAGCAACCAUAACAAAAAAAAAUCCAAAAUUAGAGAAAAGAAAGAAGUUUCGCGACCAAAGUAUGUAUCAAGGCAUAGUAUAGAAAUAAAAGUGUCCAAAUUAAGAGUUUAGGGAUAAAAGAGAUCAAGAUAUAGUUUAGGGAUUGAUUUGUCUCAAUUAGAGUUUUGAUGUCAACUAAGAAGAGAGAUAUAGUUGAAGGGUAGAAUAUAGAUAUAACAGUUCAAUGAUUGAUAUCAACGAGACAAUGACAACUUUGGAUUAUUACCAACCUCUUCUUGAUGGGAAAAGGAAAUAGAGAAGAAAGUCGGGCCUGGUCUAAGCCUGCUUCGGAGGCAAAACAACAUUAUGAAAUCACCGGCAUUCACACAAAUAUGUCAAAGUCACCGGCAUGCUAAGUUGCAUAAUUUAUACAAACACUGAAUAAUAUAUUGUUCUUAAAAUUUUUGUUUAAGAUUUAACAAUUAGAGCACGGUACACGAAUUAGCAAUAUUAAAUAAUGAAUGUUCACGAUUGAUAAAGUUAUCAAAGUACAGUUUGAGGACAACCCAUUCCAACGUGUACAAGAUGUUUAGCCUUUGAAAAGUUAAUUAGAGAAGGUGACGAGAUUUUACUAGGCUUAAAUCUUCUAGGCCUCGGAAGUAAAAAAUGAAGGCCUUUGAGUGCUAUAAAAAGGGGGCUAGAUGUUGCCUAGAAGCAUAUCAGCCUCAGACCACAUUUUGUAGCAAUGGGGAGCAAAGCAAAAGCAAUGGGGUCUAGGCUGACUCCUCUUCUUACCACCGUUUUAGUGGUAUUUGUUGCUCUUGGCUUGCCUUCAGAAACUGUGGCUGAUUACUACAAGUAUUCAUCUCCUCCUCCUCCUUACCAUUAUUCCUCACCACCACCUCCUGUGCAUUCACCUCCACCACCGCCAAUUUAUAAGUCACCCCCACCACCUUACCACUACUCCUCACCGCCACCUCCAGUGUAUUCAUCUCCACCACCACCUUCGCCAGUUUACAAGUCUCCGCCACCACCUUACCAUUAUUCGUCACCACCGCCUCCGGUGCAUUCACCUCCACCACCACCUGUUUACAAGUCACCUCCACCACCUUCGCCAGUUUACAAGUCUCCGCCACCACCUUACUAUUAUUCGUCACCACCGCCUCCGGUGCAUUCACCUCCACCACCACCGAUUUACGAGUCACCUCCACCACCUCCUCCAGUUUACAAGUCUCCGCCACCACCUUACCAUUAUUCCUCACCACCACCUCCAACGCAUUCACUCCCACCACCAGUUUACAAAUCACCGCCACCACCUCCUCCUAUGUAUAAGUCCCCUCCACCACCUUAUCAUUAUUCCUCACCACCACCUCCAGUGCAUUCACCCCCACUGCCACCAAUUUACAAGUCUCCGCCACCUCCAAUCUACAAGUAUAAGUCACCACCACCUCCUCCCCCAAUUUACAAGUCACCACCACCACCUCCUCCAGUAUAUAAGUCCCUACCCCCACCAGUGUAUAAGUACAAGUCUCCACCACCACCUCCUCCAGUAUACAAAUCACCUCCACCACCUCCUCCAGUUUACAAAUCUCUACCACCACCAAUUUAUAAAUACAAGUCUCCUCCACCACCUCCUCCGGUUUACAAUUCCCCACCACCACCAAUCUACAAGUCUCCACCUCCACCCUCCCAUUACUACUACAAUUCUCCUCCUCCUCCUCCUCAUCACUACUAAGCAAUUGUAUCCAAGUUUUUGAGGUAAUAAUGCUAAACCAAUAUAUUAACUUUCGCAUGAUAAACUUUAUCUCUAUCAAGACAAACUGCCAUGUGCAUCAAGCCAAAUACGUACACUUCGAUCCAUGAAAAUGACAAGUAGAAGGUUUUCUUAAGAACCAAGGAACAGCAUUAGUAUUCCCUCUGUUUCCAAAACUUGUGUAUUAAAUAGAUUAAUGAAUUGUUUAACAUGCUUAUCUACUUGAAAAUGCACAAUACCCAUAACCCACUGAAAUUUUUGCAGGUAAAGGGGAAGAGAAUCUGUGUUUGAGAGCUUCAUGAAGAUGUUGAAGAAUAAGAAUAAAAGCCCAAUGCGAGGAUGUUUUCAAGUUUUUCUAUGUUUCCACUUUAAUUUGUAAAUUGAAUUUUUCGACUUAAUUAAUUCCCUGUUUGUGGGGUACGUAUUGUUUUACGUACCAUGCCGUACAUGUUUGUAAGGAUUUCUAUCCUAUUGGCAAAAGUCGGUUCCAUACAAUUAAUCAAUUCAUUUCACUUCUAUUGGCUCUACUAUUUAUGCACGUUACGACAUUUUUUCUCUCUUUCCCUUAUAUUUUGUCUUUAAUAUUAUUGAGUCAAUAGUAAUACUGGGCCAUUUUUUUUAAAACUUAUACUAGUAUACAUAGGUAGUUUGGUCUAACGCCAAAUUCAUGUUUGUCUUUCUUUUAUUCCCUUUACAUUUCAAAGUAUACUAUAGUUUGUGAUCAUUGUGGUGAUGAUAUUACCAGCUGGUACUUAUAGUUUAAGGCAGAGACAUGAUAUUAACAACUAUCUCAUUGAAACAUAAGGAAAAAUCAUGACAAGUGUGAGUCUUGGUUAAUGCACAAUUUGUUAGUGGAAUUUAUAUUUAUAAAACUCAAAAAAAAAAUUUUGACAAUGCUAUUACUAAUUAAUUAAGGACUUUAUUGCUAUAAUUUAUCGCUUGCUAGUUUAAACUAUAAAUGAUCUCAAUACUUUUCUCCAUGAUGUCGAUUUCUUUAGAUACGAAAGGGAAAAAUUAGUGACAUAUCCCUUACUGAUUACAACAUCAGCAAAAAUUAGUUAUAAACUUUUCCGGUGGUUUUAAAUCCCCGGGCCCUAAGAUUUUUUGCUCAUCGAGUGAAUUAAGGAACAUAGGCAAUUCAUUUUGCAUACCAAGUCCUUGUUUAAGAUGCAAGUACUAAAAUGCAUCCACUUCAUUAAUUUGGGAAAUUGCCAUAGUUUUUUUAAGCAUUUUGAUUUUUUACAUGAUUUAAAAUUUUCUUAUUGGAUACAAUCACUUUGUAUCAAGAACACAUUUUCAAUCACCUUUUUUUAUCUUCUCAAUGAGAAAAUAAAAAUUUAUUCAUGCUUUUCUAACAUAUUCAAUCAUUGAUCUGAAAAUUAAAACAUUAAGAAAAGGACAUUUUCAAACAUUAAGAAGUAGUAUUUUAAAGACCAUGAUGAAAUUAAUACUUUCAAGGUCUCUAUUAGGAAGACUUCCUUUAUUAAUACUCUACUAGGCAGAGUUAUAUGCACGUUUACUGUUUUGGCCUUAAGUUGGGUGCAGAUGCUUAUAUUACAAAUAGAUGGUAUCAAAAAAUUGUUGUAUUCACGUCUGUUCUUUUUUUCUUCCUUAAGUUUUUUUCUUUAUUCUCGUGACUUCGCUAGUGAGGUAUAACUUCACAACUAGAGUCAAUAGAAAUCGUCAAAUGAUUUUUUGACAUCCAAAUUAAGCAAUAAAUUUUGUUUUCAUUUCAUAACAUAUAAUAGUACUACUUCAUGGGAGAUUUUAUAGUUUCUUUAGGGUAUCAUACCUACAAUUGAUAUUUAUCAUUGGAUAGUGAAAGAAGUGUUAAUGUCUCUAAGAUUAAAUAUUGUUAAAUAUUGAAAAUUUGAACUAUUUAUCUCUAUUGAGAGAUACAACUUAAAGAAUCCUACCCAAAAGAGACUAGAAUUUUCUCUGUUUUUCAUCAUCUGUAGACAUAAACUUUCCACGGUUGAUAGCAUUUUUCAUCAUCUAUAAGGAAAUUUUGCCUAUACAAUGUGAUAGCAUUUUUCAAAAAGACAAGAUGGAAAAUUGCCCCCCUUGAACGGAAAAUUGCCCCCUUGUCAAUUCUUUAAAAAAGAAUACCGUCCCGCAGAAUUCUAGAAAGUUAGGCAAAACUAGACAAGUUGACAGGUAUAAUCAGACCCAAGAUCAGGAACAAGCAGUUGCACAUUUCAAAAUUCGCUGCUGCAACAACUAAUUUGAUGACUUACAACACUAAAUGGUCAAACUUUGAAUGGCAAUGAAUCUUUUGUUGUACAUCAUGAUGUAAUUUUCAUGUUACAUAAUAGAUUGAUAUCUAUGUUCUUUAAAUUAUCAUAAUAAUUAAAUUUAACUGAAAAAAAGAACACAUAUCAAUACACAAAAGUGUGCAACGUGAAUGUUAUUUUAGUGUAUUGCAGAAGACCUAUAGUCUCUUCAUAUCUCUUCCUGCACGUAUCAAUUCGUUUCCUCUAGAUAAUAAUCUCCCAACUCAUUUAUUUACAAAUGCACCUUUUAUGUUUUAUUACCUCCAAAAGCCUAAAAAUCAAUUCACCGACUCGCAUUUGGUAUCAGAAAUUCUUAUUACGAAUUCUACUUUACUCAAAGAUUGACUGUUAAUAAUGAGACAACGACCAUUUUGUAUUAUUACACCGUCCUUCUUGAUAGGCAAAAGAAAUAGAGAGGAAAGCGGGUCCGUAUAUGGUCUUUUAUUCAUAGAUAAUACAACAUUACGCCAUCGAGCAUUCACACAAUAUUUCAAAGUCAUUGCAUGCCUAAGGCCUGCUUGAUAAUCUAAUUCCGUACUUAAAUUUAAUAAAUUCAAAUCUUAACACAUUCAAAUCGUUUGAUAACAAAAAAUUGAACAUCUAAAUUAAUUAAGUAACACUGAAUUUUCUAGGCAAAACUUGCUCCCAAAAUUAAGUGAUAAGUUAUUCACUUAUCACUGAAUAUGAUAUGUAUUCAAAUGUAUUAGAUUUAAUACUUAAUAAUUUAAUGAAUUCAAAUUUCAUAUUUCAUAUUUCAGUUUUAUCAAACACACCUUAAGUUGCAAAAUAAUACCAAAACUUGUUAUUACAUAGCUUGAGAUUCAAAAAUUUAGAGCAUAAUUCUCAACCAAACACAAUUGAAUAAUGAAUAUUCACGAGUGUCAAAUCUAUCAAAGUACAAUUUGAGGACAACCCAUUCAAACGCGUACACGAUUUUUAACUUUUCUAAAGUUGUUGAGAGCUGUUGAAAGAGAUUUACCAUGUUUACAUCUUCCAAGUCUUGGGAGUAAAAAAUGAAGCCACUGAGUGCUAUAAAAAGGGGGGUAGAGGCCACUUGAGAUCCUCGGUGACAUGUUUUCUAUGCCAAUCCAAUGCCACCAAUAGUGUUGCGCCAAGUGUCAUGUUAUUAUUUACACUUGUGUUAAACUAAGCCAAGUUGAAUUAUUAGAAAAUUAAAGUGUAAAUAAUAACAUGACACUUGGCGCAAUACUAUUGGUGACAUUGGGUUGGCAUAGAAAAUAUGUCACCGAGGAUCCCAAGUGGAUAGAUGCUGCCUAGAAGCAUAUCAGCCUAAAACAAGAAUUUGUAGUAACAAUGGGGAGCAAAGCAAAAGCAACGGGGUCUAGGCUGACUCCUCUUCUUACCACUGUUUUAGUGGUAUUUGUUGCCCUUGGCUUGCCCUUGGAAACUGCAGCUGAUUAUUACAAGUAUUCAUCUCCUCCUCCUCCUCCUUACCAGUAUUCCUCACCACCACCUCCAGUGUAUUCACCUCCACCAACCCCUGUUUAUAAGUUACCCCCACCAUCUCCUCUAGUUUACAAGUCCUCACCACCACCUUACCACUACUCACCACCUCCUGUGUAUUCACCUCCACCAUCACCAAUUUACAAGUCACUGCCACCACCCCCUCCAGUAUACAACUCCCCGCCUCCACCAGUGUACAAAUACAAGUCCCCACCACCACCUUCUCCAAUUUACAAAUCUCCACCGCCACCAGUUUACAAGUACAAGUCACCCCCACCACCUCCUCCGGUAUACAAGUCUCCUCCGCCACCUGUUUACGAGUACAAGUCUCCUCCACCACCUCCUCCAGUGUACAAGUCCCCACCACCUCCAGUUUACAAGUACAAGUCACCACCACCUCCUCCCCCGGUUUACCAAUCUCCUCCACCACCAGUUUACAAAUACAAGUCACCACCACCUCCUCCCCCAGUUUACCAGUCUCCACCUCCACCCUAUCAUCACUACUACGGUUCUCCUCCUCCUCACCACUACUAAGCAAGUGCAUCUAAGUUUUGAGGUAAUAAUACCGAUCCAAAACUUUAUCAACGCAAACUGCCAUGUAUAUCAUGCUAAGGACGUACACUUGAUCCAUGAAAAUGGCUAGUAGAAGAUUUUUUUUAAGAACCAGAGAAAUACAUUAUUUUUUCGCUCUGUUUUCAAGAAUUUGAGCAGUAUACAGAUUAAAGAGUGUUUUUUUUAAACUUGCUUAUCAACUUAGAAAUGCACAUAGCUGAAAGCCAACUGAAUAUUUGCAGGCAAAGGAGAAGGCAAUCGGUGUUUGAGACCUUCAUGAAGAUGUAGAAGAAUAAGAAUAAAAGCCCAAUGCGAGGAUGAUUUCAAGUUUCUACGUUACCAUUUCUACAUCUAAAUUGACUUUAGCUCCUGAGUUCCAUGUCUAUGGGGUUUGUACUGUUUUACGUACCAUGCAGUACAUGCUUGUAAGGUUUUCUGUCCUGUUGGCAAGCCGCAGGUCCAUAUAAUAAAUGAAUACUAUUUAUAUUACGACACUUUUCUCUCUUUCUCUUAUAUUUUGUCUUUAAUAUUGUUGAUCAUUUUUUUUUUUUAUCAAAAGUAUCAAAUGCUUAGGCAAUUUGGUCUAAUGCUAAUUGUUUUACAUUUAUUUUUCACCUACAUCCCUUUUCAACUCAAAGGAUGCUACAGUUUGUGAUCAUUGUUUAAGACCGAAGCAUGGUACUAAUAAAUAUCUCAUUGAAAGUCAAGGAAACUAACAUUAUGAAAAGUGUAAAUCUUGAUUUGUGAAACUAUUUAUUCGUGGAAUUUAGAGAUACAAAACUCAAAUUGUGACGGUGUUGUUGCUAAAUUAUUUUUUUUUUAUAAUAAAACACAGUUCAUUCAAGGAUUACUGGAAAUCGUCCAGCACAAUUGAGAUACAUUGUUGCCCAGGUGGCAGAUAAAUAUGCACUAAAAUUAUAGAUAUGCAAUUUAACAAAUACAUAAGAUUUGAGAAAUUAAGGACAAAUCUAAAAAGGACCAUAAAUUUGAAAAACAUUUCAUCCUAGAAUAAGUCGCUGCAACUCUCUUUGUGCAUGCUGUAAUCGUCAGAUCUACUAAUCAACAGUUGUAAGGUCCAGUAAAGAUGGUGAGAUCUGCCGAGAUUGAUCCAAAUCUGAAAUAUUCCCUCAGAUCUGCUAUCCAAUUGGUUCAAACUCAAUACUGAAAGUGAAAUCUGAUGAGAAGACUGAAAAAAUUGUAGAUCUAACAUAUAGAUCUAAAAAAACUCCAAGAUUUGAAAAAGUAAAGAAACAAAACUAAAUAAAACUCUCAUUAAGAUAGUUUAGGAGAGACUAAAACUCUCAAUAGGACACCCUAGGAGAGAAGAAAACUCUCACUAGGAUAACCUAUGAGAGACUUUAUUGAAUGAAAGGAAAAGCAAAGGACAAAGGAAGAAGAAGGGAGACCUUGGCUUAAGGCCAAGGUCUCCCUCCUAUGGAGGAGGAAGGGUAGAGGAGGAAGCCUAGAGAGAAGGAAGAGAAUCCCUCCGCUAGAGGGAAGGAAGAGCCUCUGAGAGGGUACCCGUGUUGUUGCUAAAUUAUUAAGGACAUUAUCACCAUUACUUUUCCCUUACUAGUUUCAACUGCAAUGAUCUCAAUCUUUUUGUGACUAAUUCUUUUCUUAAUAAUUUAUAAAUACAAAACUCACAAAGAAUAUGUGACUUAUUCUUUCCUUUCGUCUUCUAAAGAAAAUGCCAACUGUUAGUUUAUCAAGGGAAAAAGGAUCGACAUCAGUUGUUAUUGAAACUAGUAAGGAAUAAAUAAUGGUGAUAAUGUCCUUAAUAAUUUAACAACAGCACCAUCAGAAUUUGAGCUUUGUAUCUAUAAAUUCCACGAAUAAAUAGUUUCAUCAAAUCAAGAUUUACACUUUUCAUAAUGUUAAGUUUCCUUGACUUUCAAUGAGAUAUUUAUUAGUAUCAUGCUUCGGUCGUAAACAACGAUCACAAACGAUAGCAUCCUUUGAGUUGAAAAGGGUAGUGAAAAAGAGAAGUAAAAAAUACAAUUAGCAUUCCCUCAAAUUGUAGAAAGUUAGGUAGCAUUAUAGACAAGUUGAUAGCCGUAAUUAUACUAAAAAUCAGGCAAAAGCCAGCAAUUUUACAUUUCAAAAUUCACCUAUUCAAUAACUAAUUCGAUGGCUUGCUACAUGGUCAAAAUUCACCACAUAUCCCUUUCCUCAAUCAGGGGCUUCUACAAUUACCAGUUCCAAUUGUAUGGUAUAGUGUAAAUAUCAACAAAUUAGAUGUAGACACUAAUAUAAUAAAUAUGGAUGCUAAGGCAACAACAUACAAAAACAUAAUAAAUUUUGGCAUUCCUUAAAAAAUUACGUCCCCAAAUCAAUCUCAUACACCCAAUUUCUAAUUUAUUUAACUCAUUCCGUCUAUUAACUGCACCAUACAAUCCAACCUGCAAUUGCAUGAACCCCAAUCUCGCUUCCUAGUCCACCAUUUUUCUCUAGGUAAUAAUCUCCCUUCUAAUUUCUUCACAAAAUGCACCUUUCAUCACCUCCAAUAGCGUCGACAUGAUCUUUACCCUAGAAGACUAUUCACCGACUCCCAAUUGACGUCAGAAAAUCUAAGAGUAAUUCUACUUUACCCUAAGAUUGAUAUCAACUAGACAAUGACAAUUUAGAAUUAUUACACGCCUCUUCUUAAUAGGAAAAAGAAAUAGAGAAGAAAGUCAGGCCAGGUCUAAUUUCUUUUCGAAGGCAAUACAACAUUACGAAAUCAAGCAUUCAUUCAUACAAAUAUUUCAUAGUCACCGGUUUGCUGAGUAGAAAAGUUUAUACAAAAACUUAAUAUUAUAUUGUUUAAGAGUUAACAAUUUAGAGCUUAAUCUCCUUGUACUUUGGACUAAACUCGAACGUGAAAGGAAAUCCCAAAACCAUAUUGGGCAUGAAUUCACACUUAAAUAGACCCAAAAAAAGAUGGCGACUGGUGAAAGGCAGUGGAGACUGGUGGUGAGAUUUGAGGAAUAGAAGCAGACGGAAAAGCCACAAAUUUUUGCCGAAAGAGGGUCACUUUCAUGGUUAAUUUUGCUACUCUCUACUUGUACUUGACCAAUGACAGGUUGUCAGUCUGUGCAAUAAUAAAAACCUGUUCAAACUAAAAGUAAUUUCUGUAGAUAGUGGUAAGCAGGGUCGAAUCCACAGGGAUUAGGUGUAACUGUUUCUUUUCAAAUUCACAAUAACAAAGGGGGUGUUUUUAUGCAGAAUGUGACAAUCAAAGAAAUUCAAUUAAAAGUAAAAUAAUAAAAAUAAAAUAGCCAACUAGAAAUUAAAUAACAAUUUACUAAAAUCAAAUGAGUGAUAAUUAAGGAUCUAGCCAAGGAAUAACUUCAGCAGUGGUUCACCUAAUUGAUCAUUGGAACAAAGGCAAUUCCAAUUAUUUACUAAUAAAUAGGUUAUAACUGCCAAACAAGCGAUGACAGUCAAUCACUCCUUACUGUGUCGGUGAUUAAGGUACGCCCGUUAAUCACUGCCCUAAUUGAGAAAUAAUCUUAGGUACGCCCGUAAGAUUUAAUUUUCCAAUUGCCUUACAUAUUAGAGGAGUGUCAGGAACAAGGAAAUAGAAUGGGACGUCGUUUAAUGCAAAGGGUUGUGCGUUUAAGGCCUUAGAAGCAAUACUACGUCGUUCUAAUAACAUAGGCGGUGCUGGUGUGAUAGGCCAAGUUAGUUGAGGGUCAAUUACAUAAAUAGCCUUCUGUAACAGAUUUUUGGUUAUGUUUUUGAAUGAAAAGUAUCUCGCUGCUUUCUCUCUCUUGUCUGUUAUUUCCCUCCCUUUUCUUCUUUCUCUCUUCCCUCUUCUUAAUCUUGUUUCUUUCUUCUGAUUCUUCCCCCAAAUUCAAUACAAUUCCAGAAAUUAACCUGCAAGUCUGACAUUUGGUAUCAGAGCGGUCGAUUCUUGGCCGCGAAGGUAUCAGAAAUGGCUGAGAGCACGCGAUUCAGGACACUGGAGGAGCAACUCAAGAAGCAGGAGAAUCGGUUGCAAGAACUGGCGGAAUCCAUGGCUGCACUGCAGAGUACGAGUUCCGAGGAGUUGCGGCAUAAGCUACAGGCGGAAAUGGAGCAGAACAAUGCAAAAUUGGACGCGGUGGUGGGAAGUCUGGACCAGAAGUUCAAUAAAAUGGAACAGAGACUCAGUACAGUGUUGAAGCUGCUGAUGAAGGAGAAAGGUCUCCCUGAUGUCGAAGGAGGAAUUUCUGAUCCAAUCUUGCCGACUCCUCCAUCUCAUCUGAGGUUAGCAUCCUCAGUCGAAGGGAUUGGGCACCAACAAGAGUACAGAGGUAGGCAAUUCACUCCUAAUGUACCUCGAUUAGAACUGCCAAUGUUUAACUCUGGAAACCCUAGGGAAUGGACCAGGAAAUGCCAGAAAUAUUUUUUGAACUAUCAGAUAGCAGAGAGUCAAAAGGUAGAGGUAGCAGAGAUGUUUUUGGAAGGUAGAGCUGACAAUUGGUUUCAAGGAGUGAAAUUGGUGAGGCCAGGGUUGUCUUGGGGGGAAUUUAGUGAACUUUUGUGUGAAAGAUUUUCUGGAAGUAGUUCUCGUGACAUUGUGGAGGAAUUUAACAAGUUACAGCAGAAAGGAACUGUUGAGGAAUAUGAGGAGAAAUUUGAAGAACUAAAAGCUCUAAUGCUGAUGAAAACCCCCAGGUUGGAUGAACUUUACUUUGUUUCCAGUUUUAUUAGUGGCCUCAGGGAAGAAAUUAGACCUAUGGUGAAGAUGUUUAAGCCUCAAACACUGAUGAAGGCCUUUGAAGUUGCGGAGUUGCAGGAGUGUUCCCUGGAAAUCCAAUCGAAACAAAACAGAACUUCAAGGAGGACAGCAAUGGAACCCAAGUUUGGAAUGUAUAAGGGCACUACGAGUGAUUAGGGUCGCCAAAAUUCAUAUAAGUUGCCUGGAGUCACUCCUGUCUCCAGGAGGACUAAUGCAGUACACAAGGAAUUUAGUAAGAUAUCAGCGGAGGAAAUGCAGUAUAAGCGUAAGCACAGCCUGUGCUAUAGGUGUGGAGAGAAGUUUGGAAUAGGUCAUCAGUGUAAGAAAGGAAGUCUGAACUGUGUGAGCACUGAGGAAGAGGAGGACACUGAAUUUGAGGAUGCGGAAGGGGAACAGGAUGAGUUAACAGGAAGGGUCGGGGAACUUGCAGAAGUCUCUUUGAAUGCUUUAUCUGGUGCCAUAAGGAGGAAAUCCAUCCUGUUGAUAGGGAACUUAGGGGGGCUUCCAGUCAAAAUUUUGGUGGACACAGGCAGUUCUAACAGCUUCAUUCACCACAGGAUUGUCAACCUACUGCAUCUACCAUAUCAGGCAGUCAGUCCAUUUACUGUGACUCUAGCAGAUGGAACUGACAUUACCAGUGGAGCCAUCAGUCCCAGCGUGUCUUGGUUAAUUCAGGACUAUCAAUUCCAAUUUGACUUAAAAGUAAUGGAAUUAGGGGGAUGGGAUAUAAUUCUGGGGGUGGACUGGAUGUGCCAGUAUAGUCCCAUUACAUUUGAUUUCCACUCUCUUAGCAUUGCCCUUAGUGAUAGGGGUUCUUUACUACACCUCCAAGGACUUGUGAAGCAACCUACUAUGGAACUGGUGAGGGGCAGGGAUCUCAGCUCGUUUAUACAGGAGAAGCAAAGAAACUGUGCAGCCAUGCAUGCUGAUAGGGCCAGGGAAACAGGAGAGCAGCUUCCAAAAGCUAUAGAAAGGAUCCUGGAACAGCACUCUCAGGUUUUCUCCACCCCAACAGGAUUACCCCCAGAGAGGGAAUUGGACCAUCAGAUCAACCUCAAACCAGGAGCUGAACCCUUCAAGCUCAAACCUUACAGGUACCCCCACUCACAUAAAGCAGAAAUUGAAAAAAAAGUUGCUGAGAUGCUCACUAAUGGAAUUGUUAUACAUAGCACAAGCCCCUAUGCCUCCCCUGUAUUGUUAGUAAAGAAAAAGGAUAACUCCUGGAGAUUAUGCAUAGAUUACAGGAAGCUGAACGAGCUGACUAUAAAGGAUAAGUUCCCUAUUCCCAACAUAGAUGAACUAUUGGAUGAAUUACAUGGAACCAGAUACAUGUCCAAACUGGAUCUCAGAGCUGGUUACCAUCAGUUGAGGGUGAAAGCUGUUGAUACCCCUAAGACUGCCUUCCAGACACACCAUGGCCACUUUGAAUUCUUAGUGAUGCCUUUUGGACUCACAAACGCGCCAGCUACAUUUCAGUCCUUGAUGAACAGAAUAUUUCAGCCAUAUCUCAGAAAGUUUGUCCUAGUCUUCUUUGACUACAUAUUAGUGUACAGCCCCACACUAGAGAUGCAUGCACAGCAUCUACAGAUUGUGCUCAAUAUUUUAGAAGAAAAUCAGCUGUAUUACAAGAGGUCAAAGUGCUCUUUUGCCCAGUCCUCAAUUGAAUACUUGGGGCACGUGAUCUCAGAGGCAGGAGUGAGUAUGGAUGUGGCUAAGGUGGAGUGUAUCAAGUCCUGGUCUGUUCCUAGUACAGUCAAGGAGCUGAGAGGGUUUUUGGGAUUAAUUGGUUACUACAGGAGAUUCAUUAAAGGCUAUGGAGUGAUUAGCAAACCCUUGACUGUAUUGUUGAAAAAGGAAGGUUUUGCAUGGAACCAUGAAGCUCAAAUGGCCUUUGAAGAUUUGAAAAAGGUUAUGACCACAGCCCCAGUGCUGAGCAUGCCUAAUUUCGAACUUCCUUUUGUCAUAGAGACUGAUGCCUGUGGAAUAGGUAUUGGAGCAGUGUUGAUGCAGCAAGGACAUCCUAUUGCUUUCCUUAGCAAGGCAUUAUCAGUUCAGAAUUUGGGGUUAUCAGUCUAUGAAAAAGAGCUUUUUGCCUUAGUGCUAGCUGUAACUAAGUGGAGGCAUUACCUGGUGGGUCAUCACUUCAUUAUCAGGACAGAUCACCAAGCUCUCAAACAUUUGAUAGAGCAAAGGCUUACUCAUCCACUCCAGCACAAGUGGCUAACUAAGCUACUUGGUUUGGACUAUGAAAUACAGUAUAAAAAGGGUGCAGACAAUGGGGUGGCAGACGCCCUCUCCAGGAGAAGGAUUGAGGGAAACACUGUUGACUGUGGAGAGACUGGGCAUCAGACCUGCGCCAUAACCUCAGCUCAGCCUAGUUGGAUGCAGGAAAUGCUAGAAAGCUACAUUGGAGAUGCAGAGGCUCAACAGAAGUUAUCUGAGCUAUUGCUGGAUCCCAAUGCAGAUCCAGAUUAUCAGUUAAAGAAUGGGAUGCUCAAGUUUAAAGGGCGGCUGUACAUAGGAUCUGCUAACAACAUUAGGACCAAGGUGGUCAGAGCAUUGCAUGACUCAGCCCUUGGGGGGCACUCAGGUCCUGGAAUCCGUAAGGAUGUCCUUCAAUAUGUGAGAUCUUGUGAUGUGUGUCAAAGGAACAAACAUGAAAAUGUUCCUUAUCCUGGGUUGCUGCAACCAAUUCCUGUACCUCAGCAGGCUUGGUCACACCUCACCAUGGAUUUUAUUGAGCAACUACCCCCAUCCCAUGGAUUUGAUACCAUUUUGGUGGUGGUGGAUAGGUUAACCAAGUUCAGCCACUUCAUUCGACUCACUCACCCUUUUUCUGCACAGCAGGUAGCACAGCUUUUCCUUGACAACAUAUACAAGCUGCAUGGACUUCCUGAGACCAUUAUAACUGACAGGGACAUAAUCUUUCUUAGUAAGUUUUGGCAAGAGUUAUUUGGUAUGGUAGGGGUAAAGCUGCACUACAGUUCAUCGUAUCACCCUCAAUCAGAUGGUCAAAGUGAAAGGGUCAAUCAGUGUUUGGAAAACUAUCUCAGGUGUAUGUGCAGUGAGCAUCCUUCUCACUGGAGCAGUUGGCUUCCUACAGCUGAGUUAUGGUACAACACUAACUUCCAUACUAGCUUGCAGGUGACACCAUUCGAAGCACUAUACGGGUAUAAACCAAAUCACCUUCCCUUAGGACCUUUUCAUGAUAGCCUGGUACCUGCUGCUGGUAACAUGGUGCAGACUAGGCUCCAAAUUCUAUCCCUCAUCAAAGAGAAUCUAGCCACCGCCCAGAAUCGAAUGAAAAUGUUUACUGAUAAGCACAGGACUGAACGUGUCUUCCAAGUGGGGGAUUGGGUAUUUCUCAAGCUGCAACCUUACAGGCAACAAUCAGUGGCCUUACGGAAGAAUUUGAAGUUGGCUGCCAAAUACUUUGGACCUUUCCAGAUCCUUGCGAGAGUAGGGGAAGUCGCCUACAGACUUAAGUUGCCAGAGGGAGCUCGAGUUCAUUCCGUGUUCCAUGUGUCCUUACUUAAAAGGAAAGUGGGAGUUACACAGCAGGUAAAGCCCAGCUUGCCAGAAGUAGACGCAUCAGACCAAUGUUUGCUGAAGCCAGAGAAGAUUCUCCAGAGGCGUGUUAUCAUACGAGCUGCCAAACCAAUCAUCCAGUACCUGGUGAAGUGGAACAACUUACCAGAAUCCGAAGCAUCAUGGGAGGAUAAAAGCUUCAUUGACAGACAAUUUCCGGAAUUUCAAGCUUGAGGACAAGCUUUGCUUAAGGGGAAGAGAUUGUCAGGAACAAGGAAAUAGAAUGGGACGUCGUUUAAUGCAAAGGGUUGUGCGUUUAAGGCCUUAGAAGCAAUACUACGUCAUUCUAAUAACAUAGGCGGUGCUGGUGUGAUAGGCCAAGUUAGUUGAGGGUCAAUUACAUAAAUAGCCUUCUGUAACAGAUUUUUGGUUAUGUUUUUGAAUGAAAAGUAUCUCGCUGCUUUCUCUCUCUUGUCUGUUAUUUCCCUCCCUUUUCUUCUUUCUCUCUUCCCUCUUCUUAAUCUUGUUUCUUUCUUCUGAUUCUUCCCCCAAAUUCAAUACAAUUCCAGAAAUUAACCUGCAGAUCUGACAAGGAGCCCUAUUCUAACCAAAUAACACACUACCAGGGUUAUUUUAGGUUAGCCCGCGUAUUCCCCUGACAUGAAUCCAAUCAUGCCAGUUAUCACUAUUUUGAAACAAUUAAACAAUUACGGAUUUAACGUCCCAAUUGACAAUAGAUUAUCAAAUUAACUAAUUAUCCGGAUCCAAAACAAUCAAUUAAUUAAAUAAUCAUAAGCACUGUAAUCAGGGAAUAUUUGAAUACCAAUAAAUAAAAAGAAAGGACAAAAUUAAAUCGAUUUCACAAUUUUUAAACGAACCACAACCUCAGUUGUUCCUCGGCUAGAUUGAGAAAAUUAGCUCAUGUUCGAUGCGAAAAAUCCACAAGAAAUUGUUAAGAGAGCCGCGGCCAUUGUCCCUUGAAAUUGGGGAAAUUCAAUUCGGUUGAACUACGAAAGAAAAGUAAGCUACAGAGAGUUGCCGAUUGGGUUUUGCUUGUCCCUAACAUGCGAGGGAGCAAAGCCACGAAAGGACGACAAAGGUCAAAAAGAAAGGCUACAGAGCAUGUUCCAGGUCUUUUUGUGCUCUCCACAUCCGAGCCAACGAAAAGAAAUAAAAAACUACCAGGAGCUAAAGGAAAACCGCAAGAAAAGUCAAAGGCUAAAAAAACUUCCUAGUGCUUGUUCUCUGCUUAUCUCUUUAUCUAAUUCUAAGUCCCCGAUUUUUUGCUCCGUGCGGCGGCUCCCCCGGAGAGAAAGGAUUGCAUCCGCUGCCCUCUUCCACCAAUUACCAAAAUGGGCACACCGCUUCUUUUUCAAAAAUGCUCCUGGAUAAACUCUAUCAUCUGGACUUUUUUUCUGUCAAAUUGACAUUUAUUAUUAUAUUUUCGUUCUACUCCCUGAAAUAAAUGUAAAAUAUUAAAAAUGAGUAGAAUCCGACAAUUAAUUCACAUCAGGUCAGAUAAUAAAGAAAAUUAAUAAUAAAAUAAAUAAAUAAAUUGCAACCUAUCAACCAAAUACAACAAUUUCAUGGAGUUUGAUACACAAGCCCAAAUACACGAGAGUGUGUAACCUGAAUUGUUACUUAUACAUUAGUGUGUAAUAGAACGGCAAGCAUUAUGGUGGUCAUUGAGCAACUUGUAGGAGAAAUAGUCCUAUAAGCUGUUCAAUGACCAAUCACAACUUGCUAAUUGGAUGACUAAUAUAGCUCUAGCUGUAAUGUUUUAAUUAAAUUCCAUCACUAACGUUGGGAUGACUUUUUAAUCAAAAAAAAAAAAGCCUUAGUUCAAGCUUUUCCCCUUAUUGUGCAUUUUUUAAAACAUUUGAUAGGCACUGCAAAUCUGUCAUUUUGGACAUUUUAUUAUUAACUAACAAUGAAAGCCGUGGACAUCAACCCAUAUCCAACAAAAUAUUAAAUUAAUAUUAGAAAAAAUUAUUAAGUAAUUGGAAAAAAAAAGAAGAGGCUAAUUUUCAUUGAAACCCACCGACAAACUAUACGCUGCUUUCAAUCAGUUUUAACACGGGAAAAAGAAAAGGCAUGAAAAGCAAAAUUUGUGGGGAUAAUUUCGGAAACCUCCCAUGAAGUUUUUGACUAUUUUACUGGCCUCCCUUCAGAUUUUAAAAAUUGGACUAAUCUUCCUUAAAGUUAAUUAUCUUGUAACAUUUAGAUCCGAUCAAUAAUUUAAAAAAUAAUAUUAUGAGAGAGAAAAUAAUAUGAUUUUAUUAUUGCCCCCAUCUCACCACAUUAUUUAAUUAAUUUAAUAGCAACCCACACAUUAAAGAAAAUGACAGGUCGUCAACCUGUGCAAUAAUAAAAUUAAACCUAAUUGCCAGUUAAAAUGACCAAAACCCAAUUCCAAGUACUGGAGCAGGGACUCUAGGUGUGCAAUGGGUUACUUGAUUCACCCUGUUCCCGAAGAGUUUGCUUGAUCCGAUAUACCCGAAUGGAAUGGUUAUUCCUUUUCACAAAUGAUUAGGAAUUUGUAGACAGGGCAAGUAGGGUCGUAUCCACAGAGACUGGGUAUAUUUGUUUCUUAAGAAAUCCAAAGUAACACAGGGGGUGAUUUUGUAGGAACGACGAUAAUUAAAUAAAUUCAAAUGAGAAAGUAAAAAUAAAUAAUUAACUAGAAAUUAAACCACAAUUUACUGAACUCAGGAUAACAAUAGUUAAAGGCCUCAAUUAAUUAAAAUAAGGAAACAAUCAAAAAUAAAAUAAAGUAGGUAAUUAAAAGUCAAAUGGCAAUCCACUACAAUCAAGGAAAUAUUAACUAAAGAUCUAGCCAAGAAAUAACUUCAGCAAUGGUUCACCUAAUCGAUCAUUGAUGCAAAGCAAUCCCAAUUAUUUACUAAUAAAUAGGUUAUAACUACCAAACAAGCGAUGGCAGUCAACCCCUCCUUACUGUGUCGGUGAUCAAGGUACGCCCGUUAAUCACUGCUCUAAUUGAGAAAUAAUCCUAGGUACGCCCGUAGAAUUUAAUUCCCCAACUGCCUUACGUAUUAGAGGAGCCCUAUUCUACCCAAAUAACACACUACCAGGGUUAUUUUAGAUUAGCCCGCGUAUCCCCCUGACACGAAUCUAAUCGUGCCAGUUGUCACUAAUUUGAGGUAAUUAAACAAUUACGGAUUCAAUACCCCAAUUGACAAUAGAUUAUCAAACCAAUGAAUUAUCCGGAUCCAAGACAAUCAACUAAUUAAAUAAUCAUAAGCACUGCAACCAAGGAAUAUGCGAAUACCAAUAAAUAAAGGAAAAGAUAAAAUUAAAUCGAUCUCACAAUUUACAGGUGACCCAAAGCAUCAGUCGUUUCUUGACUAGAACGAGGGGGUUAGCUCAUAUUGGAUGAACUAAGCCCGCGGGAAAUUCCAGCAAAAGUCACGGCCGUUGUAUGCAUUUCAAGAGCCGCAAUUCGUCAAACACUUGGAAAGCGAAUGUAAGGCACGGGUAACAAUUGAAACUUUCUAAUUGUUCCUAGCAUUCGUAAAGCAAAUUCACUCCAGAAGUACAGUGAGGAAAAGUCAAAGAAAGUGGGCUUCAAUUCCUUGCUCCUGACAUGCGUGGAGACAAGCCAAUGCAAGACUACAAUAAACUAACAAGGAAAAGUCAAGAAUUGGAGCUAAGCUCCCCUGCCAUGCGCAGGAAUCCCAAAAGUAAAAAGUAAAGCUUCAAAGAAAAGUCAACAAUUCUUCCUAAGCUACAGACGGAAGAUCCAGCACAAAAGCCAGCUCCCUUUUUGAUCCCUUUUUCCCCCUUCUUAUUGCGGCGGCUCACCAGGAGAGGAGAGCCCUCCGUCCGUCCUUUCUUCCGGAAAUUACCAAAAUGGGCAUGACAUCUUCUCUUCCAAAAGUGCCCCUGGGACAAGCUUUCUCAUCUGAAUUCUUUUUUUUUCCAAUUUGGCACCUGUUAUCAUAUUUAUAUUCUACUCCCUGAAAUAAACGUCAAAUACUAAAAGUGAGUAGAAUCCAGCAAAUAAAUCCACAUCAAGUCAGGUAAUAGGAGGAAUUAAUAAUAAAAUAAAUGAAUAAAUUGCACCCUAUCAAUUCCCUCCACACCUAAACCAUGCUUGUCCUCAAGCAUAAGAAAAGUAAACGAACACCAAAAUUCGACGAUAGCCAUUGCCCAAUCUCCUAUAUUGCCAAGACAUUCAAGAGAAAAACACAUAUCGAGCAUUGGUGAUUAGAAUCCCAGAAGCAUCCCCCCGGUUAGCCUCUAACCCCCAGAUUCCUUCAAUUUCCAACUUAACUACUCUAAGAAAGAGGAAUGGCACACAACAUUUAUCAGCUAGUGGUCCGAAUAUUCACACAAGUCUUCAUAUCCAAUCCAUAAACCGGCAAGCUUCCCUAUUAUUUAGUCUCUCUUUUUUUCCGUUUUUUUUCAUUUUCAUUCUUCCCCUCUUUUUUUUUUUUUUUUAAAGCAGUAGCAAUCAACACAAAAGACUUAGUCGUUAGCCGUCAGGGCCUUUUGAUGCGAACUCCAACAUUUUUAGAAGGAGGAGCCCGGUUACUCAGCUCCUACCGCUAUACGACCACGCACUCAUAUAAAAUACCACCUUUUGACGCGAGAAUCGACACUUUUAGGUGCCGAUCCCCGGUUACUCAGUAGUAACUUAAUAGCGGAGCACAGUCAAGCUUAUUCUCAGCCAAACAAUGCACAAACGCAAAAUAACAGCACUAACAAUCAAACAUAGGAGCAGCUCGCCUCAUUAUUGUCAAACAUGGAGAACUGGAGUCAAUAUUGGACCAGUUCACAUUAAAAGGCCAUAUUCAUUCCCUACGCCUAGAAAAGUUAACAAAGAAAUCGAAAGAGUCAAACAGUUAAAUAUUCACCAAGGGGAUAUUCAGGACCCAACCACACUAACCCGAUACAUUUUGUAUUUUAAAAACUUGGCAAAAGUAGAUUUGGAGUCAAUGAGUCCACAUCUCAAUUUUAGCCUUCACAUGAAAGGCAAUCACCAAGAAGAAAGAACGGAAAAAUAAGCAACUAGAAAUGAGACUACGAAAAACUACUAAAACUAAAAACUCACUUUUUUUCUUUUUCUCUUUUUUUUUCUUUUUGAAUUUUUUUUUCAUUUUUAUUUUUUUUUAUUUUUUUUAUUUUUUAAACAUUAACUAUAAACAUUAACUACUAAAAACUAAAAACUAAAACUACUAAAAACUAAAAACACUAAAAACUGCUAAAAUGAAAAGCUGAAAACUGAAAACUACUAAAAACGGAGCACACUAGCAUAACUUUAGAUCCCCCCCACACCUAUAGGACACAUUGUCCUCAAUGUGACAAAUAAGAACCAAAAGUGAAGCACAAGUGAGAGGGGAAUCAGCCAAACUUCCCUGAAAUCGGGUCACAGCGGAGGGCGAGGUGGAAAUGGAGGUGCAAAGCCUGUAUGCAUCAGGAACUGUGCCAAAUUCUGUGCUAUGCCGGCGACAUUGGCGUCGACGUUGGUCAUCCGGGCCUGCAAAUCCUGAACCAGCUCCCUGAGAUGCUGCCAAUCAUCGGUCCCAGGUGGUGGAGGUGGCGCAGAAGUAGAGGUAGACGGCCCAGCAGUGUCCGCGGCCGACCCAGGGAAUGAAGAUGGCCCUGCCCGGGCCGAAUGGUGUGCACCCGGGGCUCGAGGUGGUCCCGGACGGGUAAACUGGUGAAAACCAUCUGGCAGACGCUCGACGACCCCCAUUUUCUCUAAGCAAACUACGUCCAAGUGCUCCAUCUCAAAUGCCAAAUGGAGGUCGUGGUCAUCCAGGUUAAGAACUCCCAACUGGGUCGCCAAGUGAGUGAUGUAGGACCCAAGGAUCAGUGGUUUGUUCUUCUUGGUCAAGACCGUCUUGAACUGUGCGGCCAACCAACAUCCCAAGUUCACCUUGAUAUUGUUCUUCAUACUCCAGAGAAAGAAGAAUUCGGGCCGAGAGAGUAUACCGGAGCUGUCCUUGCGCCCCGAGUAGCUAUAAGCUAAGAAUCGCUGAACAUAGCGGGCGCUAGGGUCCUUAAGAAAGGAGCUCCUGGACCGGGAAGGAUCGUAGCGUUGCCUAUCGACGGACAUGUCCUCCCAUACAUCAUGGUAGUGGGAGAGGAAAGGCUCUACGUAGUCACAGGCACUCUCCGCAUACUCCCUAGUCUCAGCAUACUCUCUAGUGAUAAACCCAAAUGCCAGAUUGAAUUGAGUAAUGGAGAAAUUGAAUUCUCGACCCAUGAGCCGGAAAUGAAUGACAUUCGGUGUUUCACCCGUGUAUCUCGUAGGUAAUUCGAACUCAAAGGUGGAGUAAAACUCCCGGAUCAGCUCAACAAAAGCGGGACAAGAAAUAUGGAAAUAUGGGCGCCACCCAAUGGCUGUGAACAUUUGCUCAACCUCCUCCCGUAUACCCAGGGCAGUUAGAGAGAGUCUAUGACAAGACUUACAGGAUAUUAUACGCCUCUCGCAGACCUUAGCGUACCUCUGCCGAUCGGCGGGUCUGGUAAAUGUUAAGUGCCCCCCAAAAUGAACAGGUGCAUCUACCUGAGCACCCCUAUCCCUACCCAAACGGGUUCGAACACUAGAAGAGGAGGGUAGGUUGGUAGGUGAGUUGACAGGAAUAGAGGCUUGUGGAGGGGGUUGAGACUGAGAGGUCCUAGACCUAGAGGAGGAUUUCGGUCUCACCAUUCCCCCCAAAGUAAGUUCAAGGCAACAGAAAAUCCGACAAGUAUAGAAACCAGCAAUUGACAAAGCAAAAAUCUCCCAGUAGUAACCCAGCCAAUAGCAAACAAAAGAGUUCCAGCAAGUAAUCAACAAGCAAUUCAGAAAUAUCUCAACUAAAAUCUCAAGAGAAACCCCAGCGAGUUAUCCAGCAAUUCAAGCAAUAUCCCCAAGCAAUGUGGUGGUCAAAAUGUCAUCUCCAAAUUGAACAAAUAAUCAGAGCAUUGCAACACAUUGAAAAUCUCAAUAAACGGCUCCAGUUGGCCAAGAAAAAUUGCUAACUCAUACUCAGCAAUAGUAGUGCAGCAAAGGGACAGUAACCACGCAAUAAAAACACUUAGCUUGCACUCAAAUGGUCACCCCAAAUAACAACCCAGUAUGAAACCCGCAGGCAGAGUAUUCCUCAAACCGUUAGCCUAAACCCAGUCAACAACCACGGCCAGAAAUAACCCCAUAAAUAGUGCAAUGAGUAAUCCCCAGCAACAUAAUCAGGUGUAAUCAACUGGAGCAAGCAAUUUACAUGGCAUAGAAACCUCCCAAUCAAACAAGUGCAUUAUUCUAGCGCACCCCAAAAUUCCAAGAAAUGGCUCCAGUUGGCCAAUUAAUUUCACAAUGUCACCCAACUCAGGAGAAAUAGCAAUUCCACACAAAAAUAGUCAAACCAGUACCACUGGCGAAAAAUCUUUCAAAUAUGCACAAUUUGCUACCAAAUAUCACCGGCUAACACUGAAAAAUUGAGGGCAAGUGUCAAAUACCUCCACAGGGACUACCCCAGGCGGCAGACAGAGAAGCGGCGUUGAAGCUGGUGGUCGAGCGGGGCGGCGCUCGCGUCGGCGUGCGCAGCGGCGACGGCGCGCGAGGAUGGAGUUUCGGGAGGUUGCGUGCGGGCUUGGCUGAAGACGCGGCGCGCGCUAGGGCUUCGCUGCGGCAGGCGUGCAGCAGGGGAGAAGAAAGAAAAGAGAAAGAAAGAAAGAAAAAGAAAGGAAAGAAAGAACAGAAAAGAAGGAAAAGAAAAAGGAAUUUUUCUUUUUUUUCUUUUUCUUUAGGCUACGGUUUAGAGGACAAAUUUUUCUUCUUCUUGUUUUCUACUUUUUUAUUUUUUUAUUUUUUAGUUUUUAAUUUAUUACUAUUAUUAUCAUAUUUAAUUGAGGAAAAAAAAUGUUUUUUUUUAAAUCCCUACCUUUCCCACGAACGUGACGCGGGCACGUCAAGAGGGCAAGAGAGCUCCCAGAAGUUUCAGAAUUUUCUGAUCGUAAGCGUCCUGCACAUCACCACGCGGGCACGUCAUGAGGACAGGAGAGCUCCCAGAAGUUCAGAAUUUUCUGAUCGUGAGCGCCCUGCACGUCACCACGCGGGCACGUCAUGAGGCCAGGAGAGCUCCCAGAAGUUUGAAGUUUCUGAUUCCUGCCCGUCAUCACGCGGGCGCGUCAUGACUGAAGGUCACCUACAAAUCAGCAAAAACGAAAACUAACACCCAAAAUCAGUCAAAUUCAGGGAAAGCAGAUUUAAACUAUGCUACAAAACCAACAAACAAUUAAAAGAAAUAAUUAGGUUGCCUCCCAAUGAGCGCCUUUCUUUAAUGUCUUUGGCUAGACAUGGUAAAGUGUCACUGAUUAGGACACGGUGGUGCGUCAAGCCUUAUUGUCUCCACCUCUCUACCUGAAAAUCCUUCGUAAUAAUAUUUGAGACGGUGUCCAUUCACCACAAAUUUGUUGUCUGUCUUAGCACUCUGGAUCUCAACUGCACCAUAGGGAAAAACAUGAGUAACAAUGAAAGGUCCAAUCCAACGGGAACGUAGCUUACCUGGGAAUAGCUUGAGCCUGGAUUGGUACAGGAGGACCUUCUGACCAACUUCAAAUGUUUUUCUUGAAAUUUGUUGGUCAUGAAAUGCCCGGCUUUUCUCCUUAUAUAUCAAGGCGUUUUCGUAUGCUUCGUUCCGGAUCUCCUCCAAUUCUUGCAAAUCCAACUUCCGUUGAGCACCGGCCUCCUCUAAAUUCAUAUUGCAGUGCUUUAUCGCCCAAAAAGCCUUGUGCUCGAACUCCACUGGAAGGUGACACGGCUUCCCAAAUACCAACCUGUACGGUGACAUCCCAAUAGGAGUCUUGUACGCCGUCCGAUAGGCCCAGAGUGCGUCUUCCAACCUUUGGCUCCAGUCUUUUCUAUCAGGGCGCACCAUUUUCUCUAAAAUGGACUUAAUCUCCCGAUUCGACACCUCCGCUUGACCAUUGGUCUGAGGGUGGUAUGACGUUGAGACCCUGUGGAGUACACCAUACUUGCGAAACAACGCAGCUAUGGUUUUGUUGCAAAAGUACGUUCCCCUAUCACUGACAAUAGCUCUAGGCAUUCCAAACCGCACAAAGAUAUUAGACCUGAUAAAAUCUGCAACUACUCUCGAAUCAUUAGUUCGAGUGGCCUUAGCCUCCACCCAUUUAGACACAUAAUCAACUGCCAGCAAAAUAUAUAAAAAACCAAAUGAAGUAGGAAAAGGCCCCAUGAAAUCUAUACCCCAGACAUCAAAAAUUUCAACAAAAAUCAACGGGACCUGGGGCAUUUGAUCUCUACGGGCUAUAUUACCUACCAUUUGACAGCGAUCACAUGACUUACAAAACACAUAGGCAUCUCUAAACAAUGAAGGCCAAUAAAAUCCACUUUCUAAAACCUUAUGAGCAGUUCUCUUAGGUCCAAAAUGACCUCCACAGGCAAAAGUAUGACAAAAAGCUAAAAUUGAUUGAAAUUCCAUUUCACUUACACAUCUCCUCAUCACUUGAUCGGCACACCUCUUCCAUAGGUACGGGUCAUCCCAGAUAAAAUACUUGGCAUCGCUCUUCAAUUUAUCCCUCUUCGAUUUCGGCCAACCUGCAGGAAAAUUACCAGUUACCAAAUAAUUGACCAAAUCAGCAUACCAAGGCAACUGAGAAUUUAAGAAAAAUAGGUAUUCUUCGGGGAAUGCAUCCUUCAAUGGCUCGCUAUCCUCUUCAACUAGUAUGCGACUCAAAUGGUCCGCUACUAGAUUUUCUGAGCCUUUUUUGUCCCUUAUCUCCAAGUCAAAUUCCUGUAGGAGCAGUAUCCACCGUAUGAGCCUCGGUUUUGCAUCUUUCUUGGUCAUCAGGUACCUCAAUGCUGCAUGAUCAGAAAAUACAAUCACUUUAGCACCUAACAAGUAUGACCUAAAUUUUUCCAAAGCAAAAAUAACUGCCAGAAGCUCCUUCUCAGUGGUGGAAUAAUUCAACUGGGCUCCAUUCAAGGCCCGGGAUGCGUAAUAGAUGACAUGAGCCGCCUUGCCUAUUCUUUGCCCCAGUACAGCCCCAACAGCGUGAUCACUGGCAUCGCACAUGAUCUCAAAUGGCAAAUUCCAAUCGGGGGGUUGGAUGAUUGGGGGUGAAGUCAGCAAUUCCUUCAGCUUGUUAAAGGCUCUCUCACACUUAUCAUCAAAUUCGAAGGCUACAUCUUUUUGUAGGAGUUGGAACAACGGGGCUCCAAUCUUUGAAAAAUCCUUGAUGAACCUUCGAUAAAAACCUGCAUGUCCAAGAAAAGAGCGCACCUCCCGCACACUCGCGGGGUAAGGUAAUGCAGAAAUAAUGUCUAUUUUAGCCUUGUCAACUUCUAUGCCCUUAGACGAUACAAUAUGACCCAGGACUAUUCCGUGCUCAACCAUAAAAUGACAUUUUUCCCAAUUAAGCACAAGAUUAGUCUCUAUACACCUGAUCAGGAUUAAUUUCAGGUUAUCUAGACAAGUAUCAAAACUAUCACCAUACACACUGAAAUCAUCCAUGAAAACUUCUAUUAUUUUCUCAACAUACUCGGAAAAGAUGCUUACCAUACAUCUUUGGAAAGUCGCAGGUGCAUUGCACAACCCAAAUGGCAUUCGUCUGUAGGCAAAGGUCCCGAACGGGCACGUGAAGGUUGUCUUCUCUUGAUCCUCCGGGGCAAUUGCUAUCUGAAAGUAUCCUGAAAAUCCAUCCAAAAAGCAAUAAUAAGCCCUACCAGCUAAACGUUCAACCAUUUGGUCAAUGAAAGGGAGAGGGAAAUGGUCCUUUUUGGUGACGGCGUUUAGCCUACGGUAAUCUAUACAUUGCCUCCAUCCAGUGGGUUUGCGCACUGGCACGAGCUCACCAGUUUGGUUGGCCUCUACCGUCACUCCUGCAUUCUUUGGGACUACCUGGACCGGACUCACCCAAGGGCUAUCAGAUAUUGCAAAAAUGAUGCCCACAUCUAGCAAUUUUAGAAUCUCUUUCUUUACGACUUCCAUCAUGAGGGGAUUGAGCCUUCUUUGAGCCUGCCUAACAGGUUUGGCAUCGUCUUCCAGCCUAAUCCGGUGCAUACAAAUGGCCGGGCUGAUCCCCUUAAUGUCUGCGAUUGUCCAGCCUAUUGCCUCUUUAUGCUCCCGAAGGACCCGGAUCAAUUUCUCUUCCUGGGUCUUUGACAGUGCCGAUGAGAUAAUCACUGGGAGUGUCUCAUUAUCACCUAGGUAUGCGUAUUUCAGGUGCUCUGGUAGAGGUUUCAACUCCAGUACAGGUGCCUGCACCACAGAUGGCAAUACCCUCUGGUGAGCCUUGGGAGUAAAAAUAGGUAAGACUUCAUACCUUUUCGUGGUGGUCUGCAACGAGUGUAAUGCACCUAUUGUGCAUUUUAAAUCCUCGCUCCACUCCACCUCAGGAGUUGUCUCCAACUCGAGGUGCUUGGUUAAAGCCACCUCCAGCUCAUCCCUGCCAUCAGUUUCAAACACUUCCUGCACUACAGGGUCAAUAGCACUCACAGAAAAAACUGAGCUAAAGUUGGAGUUAGAGGGGUACUUCAUAGUAUCAAAAAUAUUAAAAUGCACAAUUUACCCAUCAAACUCCAUGGACAAGGUACCCUUAUUAACAUCAAUUUUCGUCUGCGCAGUGCUCAUAAAAGGUCUACCCAAUAACAAAGGUGAGGGAUCAGGGGAGUGAUCAUCAUCCAUAUCUAGUACAUAAAAAUCAGCUGGAAACACCAAAUCAUUAACCUUUACCAACACAUCUUCAAUCAACCCAUCAGGAUAUGCAUUAGUUCGGUCAGCUAAUUGAAUAAUUAUUCCAGUUUCUUUUAAUGGACCUAGUUUCAAAGAAGCAUAGAUAGAUUUAGGCAUGACAUUAAUUGAUGCUCCCAGAUCCAGCAUGGCCCUUCUGAUCACAGUAUUACCUAUCUUACAGGGAAUAGUAAACAUACCUGGGUCCCCGCACUUUGGUGGGAGCUUUCUCUGCAGGACCGCAGACACAUUUUCUCCAACUAUGACCCGUUCAUCUCCCCUCAACCGCCUUCGGUUGACACACAAGUCCCUUAGGAACUUGGCAUAUUUUGGUACUUGUUUGAUGGCGUCUAAGAGGGGGAUAUUUAUCUCAACCUUGCGAAAAACCUCCAAGAUCUCCUUCUCCUUAUCCUGCUUCUUCGAUUUUUCCAACCUGCUAGGAAAAGGAGGCGGGUUAGUUUUAACUGUAAUUAUUGGGUCAGGAAGUACCUCUGGAUCUGCACCAUUGCUGUCCUCCCUUUCGAGCUCAUUUUCGAUCUUCUCUUCAUCCUUGUCCUUGGGAAUCACAGGUUCAGGCCCCUGAAUUUCUUUCCCACUCCUUAGGAUCAUUGCGCUCACGUUCUUCGGAUUCAACUCCGGUUGAGAUGGCAGCUUCCCUUGGUUCUGGGACUCCCAACGGUUCAUUCUGGUGGCCAAUUGACCUAUCUGAUUCCUUAUGUCCUGCAUUUCGGAGUCCGUCUUUUGCUGAUUUUGCAUAAUAGCUGCCUCCGUCCUUUGCUGAUUCUGCGCCAUGGUUGUCAUCAUUUGUUUCAGCAUCUCAUCCGUAGAUGAACCAGAUUGAGGGAGCGGAGGUGGUCGGGGUUGGUAUUGCUGCUGGUACCCUGGUGGCUUAUUUGGCACAAAGUUAGACUGCCUGUUUGGCGUGAAGUUGGAUUGCCUAUUUCCACCAUAACUGAGGUUGGGAUGAUCUCUCCACCCGGGGUUGUAGGUGCUUGAGUAAGGGUCGUACUGCUUCCUUGGCGCGGGCGCGUGGUCAGCCAUGUUCACCUGUUCCGCAGUUUCUUCCUGAAUCAUUGGGCACAUGUCUGCAGAGUGACCUAUACCAGUGCAAAUCCCGCAUACCCUGGCUUGUGAUGCAUUUCUCACAGCCUAUUGCCUAACGAACGCAGUCAACUCAUUUAGCUGCUGCUGCACAGAGGGUGUCUCUAUCUCAUUCACCCUACGUAUUGGGACAUCCUAUCUUGUACUGAAUUGCUGUGAAUUCUCUGCCAUCCCCUCUAUUAACUCCCGUGCUUCCUGAGGGGUUUUGUUCACCAGUGCCCCUCCACUUGCAGCAUCAAUGAUGCUCCUGUCUCUAAAAAUGAGCCCCUCAUAGAAAUAUUGUAUGAUCAACUGCUCACUUAUUUGGUGAUGGGGGCACCUGCGCAACAAGCUCUUAUACCGUUCCCAAUACUCGUAAAGUGACUCCUCGGGAUGCUGCUUGAUCCCACAAAUUUCUUUCCUUAGACUCGCAGCCCUGGACGCAGGAAAAUAUUUAUCCAGAAAUUUUUUCUUCAAUUGGUCCCACGUGGUGAUGCUACCUGGUGACAGGUAGUACAGCCAGUCCUUCGCAGAAUCUUUCAAGGAGAAGGGGAAUGCCCUCAUUUUUAUCUGCUCUUCUGUGAUUCCCGGGGGUUUCAUACUGUUGCAAACGACAUCAAACUCCUGCAGAUGCUUAUACGGCUCUUCACCUGGUAAACCAUGAAAAGAGAGUAAAAGCUGAAUCAGACCAGAUUUUAGUUCAAAUGGAAUGUUGUCAUUUAAAGCUGGGAAAGUAAUGCAUAACGGCUGCUGAGUUAAAUCAGGAGCAGCCAACUCCCUUAAUGUUUAUGCAUUAGCCAUGGUGCCUUCCUGCUGGUCAGAGUCACUCGAAGUGUUACCAAACGAAUCUGUUGGUUCAACUUCUGACUCGGGUCUUUGAGAUGUAGCACUAGAGUGCUCUUCUCUGAGCUGUCUGGUUUCCUUUCUCGUUCUACGCGCGGUCUUCUCUACCUCAGGAUCAAAAACCAAAUCACCUGUGCGACAAGAUCGAGGCAUACACUAGAAGAAAACCAGAAAAUUAGGACAAAAUUGAAUUUAAGAAGAAACAAAUAAUAACGCCAGUCCCCGGCAACGGCGCCAAAAAUUGACAGGUCGUCAACCUGUGCAAUAAUAAAAUUAAACCUAAUUGCCAGUUAAAAUGACCAAAACCCAAUUCCAAGUACUGGAGCAGGGACUCUAGGUGUGCAAUGGGUUACUUGAUUCACCCUGUUCCCGAAGAGUUUGCUUGAUCCGAUAUACCCGAAUGGAAUGGUUAUUCCUUUUCACAAAUGAUUAGGAAUUUGUAGACAGGGCAAGUAGGGUCGUAUCCACAGAGACUGGGUAUAUUUGUUUCUUAAGAAAUCCAAAGUAACACAGGGGGUGAUUUUGUAGGAACGACGAUAAUUAAAUAAAUUCAAAUGAGAAAGUAAAAAUAAAUAAUUAACUAGAAAUUAAACCACAAUUUACUGAACUCAGGAUAACAAUAGUUAAAGGCCUCAAUUAAUUAAAAUAAGGAAACAAUCAAAAAUAAAAUAAAGUAGGUAAUUAAAAGUCAAAUGGCAAUCCACUACAAUCAAGGAAAUAUUAACUAAAGAUCUAGCCAAGAAAUAACUUCAGCAAUGGUUCACCUAAUCGAUCAUUGAUGCAAAGCAAUCCCAAUUAUUUACUAAUAAAUAGGUUAUAACUACCAAACAAGCGAUGGCAGUCAACCCCUCCUUACUGUGUCGGUGAUCAAGGUACGCCCGUUAAUCACUGCUCUAAUUGAGAAAUAAUCCUAGGUACGCCCGUAGAAUUUAAUUCCCCAACUGCCUUACGUAUUAGAGGAGCCCUAUUCUACCCAAAUAACACACUACCAGGGUUAUUUUAGAUUAGCCCGCGUAUCCCCCUGACACGAAUCUAAUCGUGCCAGUUGUCACUAAUUUGAGGUAAUUAAACAAUUACGGAUUCAAUACCCCAAUUGACAAUAGAUUAUCAAACCAAUGAAUUAUCCGGAUCCAAGACAAUCAACUAAUUAAAUAAUCAUAAGCACUGCAACCAAGGAAUAUGCGAAUACCAAUAAAUAAAGGAAAAGAUAAAAUUAAAUCGAUCUCACAAUUUACAGGUGAUCCAAAGCAUCAGUCGUUUCUUGACUAGAACGAGGGGGUUAGCUCAUAUUGGAUGAACUAAGCCCGCGGGAAAUUCCAGCAAAAGUCACGGCCGUUGUAUGCAUUUCAAGAGCCGCAAUUCGUCAAACACUUGGAAAGCGAAUGUAAGGCACGGGUAACAAUUGAAGCUUUCUAAUUGUUCCUAGCAUUCGUAAAGCAAAUUCACUCCAGAAGUACAGUGAGGAAAAGUCAAAGAAAGUGGGCUUCAAUUCCUUGCUCCUGACAUGCGUGGAGACAAGCCAAUGCAAGACUACAAUAAACUAACAAGGAAAAGUCAAGAAUUGGAGCUAAGCUCCCCUGCCAUGCGCAGGAAUCCGAAAAGUAAAAAGUAAAGCUUCAAAGAAAAGUCAACAAUUCUUCCUAAGCUACAGACGGAAGAUCCAGCACAAAAGCCAGCUCCCUUUUUUAUCCCUUUUUCCCCCUUCUUAUUGCGGCGGCUCACCAGGAGAGGAGAGCCCUCCGUCCGUCCUUUCUUCCGAAAAUUACCAAAAUGGGCAUGACAUCUUCUCUUCCAAAAGUGCCCCUGGGACAAGCUUUCUCAUCUGAAUUCUUUUUUUUUCCAAUUUGGCACCUGUUAUCAUAUUUAUAUUCUACUCCCUGAAAUAAACGUCAAAUACUAAAAGUGAGUAGAAUCCAGCAAAUAAAUCCACAUCAAGUCAGGUAAUAGGAGGAAUUAAUAAUAAAAUAAAUGAAUAAAUUGCACCCUAUCAGAAAAAUGCAAAAAUUUGUUAUUUAUCAUUAAGGAUCAUAUCGCAUAUAACAUCAAAAAAUAGUAUAUUAUUUAUAUCUUUCACUUAAUAUAAUAUCCAAAUUACUCUUUUCAGUUACAUACCCAUUGUUAGACAAAAUCAACAACAAAUAACCAAAAAAUUUGCAACCAAAAUAUUACCAAAAAAAUAAACUUUAACAUCAUAAAUAUUUUUAUCAACAUAUUAAAGUUAGUUAUUGAAAUUUUUAUGGUGUUAAACUUCACUCUUAGCAAUAUUUUGGUUACAGAUUUUUUUGAUUAUUUAUUGUUGAUCGUGUUUGACAAUGGAUUUGUAACUGAAAAGAAUAAUUUGAAUCUUACAUUAAGUGAAAUAUAUAAAAUAUUAUACUAUUUUUUAUGGCAUAUGUGAUUCUUUUUUUUUUUUUUAUCAGAACGGCAACAUUGUAUUAAUAGUAAACCAAUUACAGUAUAGGUGGGCAACCGCCCUCACAAUCUGCCUGGACUUGUUCCAGCAGCCAAACUGGGAAGUUUUCCUUCCAUUCAGUAUUUUGUUCCAAAGUAAUAGCUACUUUAGCUAGUUUAUGGCUAACAAAGUUGUUCACCCUAUUUGCAAAGGUAAAACAACAUUCAUCAAAUUUUAUUCAUGUACAAUUGUUGCUAUCACCACGUCCUCCUCCUCCUCCUCACUGCACACUACUUGACUACCACCCUUCGCCAACCUUGCUGUUGCAUGUGCAACUAUCAUGGCCUCUCUUAGCGCCUUUGCUUCUUCGACCUUUGGACUGGCACAGCUAAAAUUUGGAACAGCCCAGGCCCACCCGCAAUCUUCCCAACCAAUCCCUGGCCACCCUUUUCCCACCCAGCUUCUAUGGCAUGUGUGAUUCAAUCCUUCUUGAUAGGAUUGGUAAUAGAGGCAGAGGGGGGAGCCGGCUGCAUCCGGUCUACUUUUCAUAGAUAGUACAAUAUUGCGAAAUCGAUCGCAUUCACACAAGAAUAUUUCGAAGUCAUUGCAUCGCUAAGUUGCAAAAAAGUACAAACACUUGUUAUUAUAUAGCUUAAGAUUCAAAACUUUAGAGCACAACCCUCCACCUAACACAAUUGAAUAAUGAAUAUUCACGAUUGUCAAAUCUGUCAAAGCACAGUUUGAGGACAACCCAUUCCAACCUGCAAAAGAUUUUUGACUUUUUUAAAGUUGUUGAGAGCUGUAAAAAGACUUACCAUGCUUACAUCUUCCGAGCCUUGGGAGUUAAAAAUGAAGGCACUGAGUGCUAUAAAAAGGGGGCUAGAGGCUGCCUAGAAGCAUAUCAGCCUAAAACAAGAAUUUGUAGUUAUGAUGGGAAGCAAAGCAAAAGCAAUGGGGUCUGGGCUGACUCCUCUUCUUACCACUGUUUUAGUGGUAUUUGUUGCUCUUGGCUUGCCCUCAGAAACUGCAGCUGAUGAUCACUACAAGUAUUCAUCUCCUCCUCCUCCUUACCACUAUCCCUCACCACCACCUCCAGUGCAUUUACCUCCACCAGUGUACAAAUACAAGUCCCCACCACCACCUCAUCAUGUUUACAAGUACAAAUCUCCACCACCCCCACCACCACACCCAGUUUACAAGUAUAAGUCGCCACCACCACCUCCUCAUCCGGUAUACAAGUACAAGUCUCCUCCGCCACCUCCUCAUCCGGUACCACACCCAGUUUACAAGUAUAAGUCACCACCACCACCUCCUCAUCCGGUACCACACCCAGUUUACAAGUAUAAGUCUCCUCCGCCACCAGUUUACAAAUAUAAGUCUCCUCCACCACCACCUCCAGUGUACAAAUACAAGUCUCCACCACCACCAGUUUACCACUACAAGUCUCCACCACCUCCUCCCCCAGUUUACAAAUACAAGUCUCCACCACCACCACCACCAGUUUACCACUACAAGUCACCACCACCUCCUCCCCCAGUUUACAAAUACAAGUCUCCACCACCUCCUCACCACUACUAAGCAAUUGCUUCUGAGGUAAUAACACUUGUUCAAUAUACCCACUUCUGCAUGAUAAAGCAUAUCUCUAUCAACACAAACUGUCAUGUCUAUCAUGCUAAGUGCCUUCACUUCAUCCACCAAAAUGACUGCUAGAAAAUUUUUUUUAUGUUACCAAAGAAAGGCAUCAUUUUUUCCCUCUGUUAUCAAGAACUUGUACAGUAUAUAGAUUAAAGAGUAUUUUUUUAACUAGCUUAUCAACUGAGAAAUGCAUAUAGCUGAUAGCCAGCUGAAUAUUUGCAGGCAAAGGAGAAGGAAACCAGUGUUUGAGACCUUCUUGAAGAUGUAGAAGCAUAAGAAUUAAAGCCCAAUGUGAAGAUGAUGAUUUCAAGUUUUUCUACGUUACCAUUUCUUUAUCUAAAUUGGUUGUAGCGCCUUAGUUCCUUUGUUUAUGGGAUUUGUAUCGUUUUACGUACCAUGCAGUACAUGUCAUGUUUGUAAGGUUUUCUAUCCUGCCGGCAAACCGCAGGUUCCAUGUAAUAAAUCAAUACUAUUUAUAUUACGACACUUUUCUCUGUUUCUCUUAUAUUUUGUCGUCUUUAAUAUUCUUAAUCAUAUUUUUAACAAAAAUAUUCAAACACUUAGGCAAUCUGGUCUAAUGCUAAUUGUAUGUUUUACUUUUCUUUUUCACCUGCUCCCCUUUUCAACUCAAAAGGAUGCAAUAGUUUGUGAUCACUGUUGAAGACGGAAGCAUGAUACUAAUGAAUAUAUCAUUGAAACUCAAGGAAACUAACAUUAUGAAAAGUGUAAAUCUUGAUUUGAUGCAACUAUUUAUUCGUGGAAUCUAUAGUUACAAAACUCAAACUCUGACUGCGCCAUUGAUAAAUUAUUAAUGACGCUAUCAUCAUUAUUUAUCCCCAACUAGUUUCGACUACAACUGAACCCAAUAUUUUCCCCAUGAUAAAAGUUUUUUACUAUUUUACUGGCCUCUCUUCAAAUUUUAAAAAUUACACUAAUCUUCAUUGAGAUUAAUUAUCUUGUAGCAUUUAAGUCCAAUUAAUAAUUAAAAAAUAAUAUUAUGAGAGAGAAAAUAAUAUAAUUUUAUCAUUGCCCCCCAUCUUGCUAUAUUAUUUAAUUAAUUUAAUAGCAACCCACACAUUAAAGAAAAAUACUAAAAUUUGCUGCUUUUCAUUAAAGAUCAAAUUGCAUAUGCCAUAAAACAUAGUAUAUCAUUCUAUAUGUUUCACUUAAUGUAAGAUCCCAAUUGUUCUUUUCAAUUACAAACCCAUUGUCAAACAUGAUCAAUAACAAAUAACCAAAAAAUUUGCAACCAAAAUAUUACAAAAAAAAACUUUAACAUCAUAAAUAUUCUUACCACCUCUAGUGCAUUCACCCUCAUAAAAUAAUUCAAGACCCUACUGUCAUAAAAUGACUGAUCAACUCCUGUAAACCUAAUUUGACAACAUUUAAAUGGAGAACUUUAGCUAAAAGAAUUAUGGUCAAGCUAAAGAAAAAACCAGUUAUUUUCCAACAUAUGCAAUCAUUGAUCAGGGAAAAAAAAAAGAAGCAAAAAGACAUCUUCAAUCAUUUAAUAGCUUACAGGGCAAAUUAACCCCUAAGCGAAAACUGGUUGCUCUAGAAUCAAAAUUUUACUUUAGUUACCCAGGCAACUUUUUUUGUUGCCUUUUCUUUUUCUUUUUUGGGUAUAUAUAUAGCUCCAGUUUUGCCCCCUCUGUCAAGCUUAUAUAAUUAUUAAGAUAAUAAAAGUGCCUUUAAUAGUAUUAAUAUAUCCAUUGACUUGAGCUGUCAUCGAUCGGUUUGGGCUACUUCGAUUCCAUGAGAACAAAUGGUAAUAAAAGUACUCAGAAAAUGGGGAGUCAUGAAACCCUUUUGUUCUAUUCAUUGCUAAGAUGCUUUUCUCUAUAAAGACACUUCCUAACGAAAAUACUUUGUAGAUUUCUUUACUCCAAGUGGUGCAUGGAAAAUUAAUAUUUUCAAUUAUCAAAUAAAAUUCCCUUUUUUCGGUGUAGAUUUCAUCCAUUCAGCUGUUAACACUCCGAAUUGACUAAUCUUUUCGUUUCCAUUUUCCAACUUGCGAAUACGGCAUCUUACAUAUUGUCUGCUGAAUAUGAAUACAUAUCCCUUUUCUGAGCAGGUGCAGAGUCAUUAUCAUUUUUAUUCCCACCUAACAAAUUAGUUAAUAAUCUUUUAAAGAACAUGUUAAAUUAAUUUAUUGGUAUGAAUAGUAGUCAAAGAAGUAUGUUAAAGUUAGUAAUCUUUAAAAUAAUAUGUUAAAAUUAUUCGUACAAAUUAGCCAGAGAAGUAGCAUAAACACCGCGAUGCAAUUAAUACUUUCAAUCUCAAGGUCUCUAUUAUGGAAAUUUGCAUCGGUCAACAUACACAAAGCAUUAUUGUAUGCACGUCUCUCUAUUAUGGAAAUUUGCAUAGGUCAAUAUACACUUGGCAUAGUUGCAUGCACGUCCAAUUUUUUUUUAUUUUUAUUUUUGGUAUUUUACUUCCUGCCUUAAGUUGCCUGCAGAUGUUUGUAUUACAAAUAUAUGGUAUACUAAAUAUAUAGUAUGCACAUUAAUUUCUUUGGGUUGCUUAAGGGUAUAUUGUUAAUAAUAGGGGGUUUAACCAUAAAUUAUAACAAUGAUGAAGUAAUAUAUAUUAGAAAAUUAACACAAUUAUGAUUUUUUUUUUUGUAAAAUUCAAAUUUUAUUAAUAAGAAAUGAAAUAGGCAGUAAGCAUUUACAAACCGAAAACAAAAUCCUACAACAACUCUAGGACUCUACACCUUAUUAAAAAAAAACAUUUUGAUAGCGUUUUUCCAAAAGCAGAAGAUGGAAAAUUGCCCAUUUGUACUGGGGAGUUCGUGAUCUUUUCCUCAUUCUAGUCUACUUACAAUUCUUGGAAAAAGGAAUACUCACAUCUCAAACAACAGCCUGUUCAUCUGCAGUGUCCUGCCGAAUUCUAGAAAGUUUGGUGGCAAUGUUAAUUACAUUUCAAAAUUGACUGCUGCGAUAACUAAUUCGAUGGCUUACUACAUGGUCAACGUUUGGAUCUCUUCCUGUCCUUUUUGGAUGCACAUUUUUUUUCUCUAGGUAAUAUAUAAUCUCCCAACUCAUUUCUUUACAAAUGCACCUUUAAUCACCACCAAAAGGUGUGGACAUGAUCUUUACCCUAGAAAACUAUUCACCGACAGGCAAAUUGACGUCAGAAAUACUAAGAGGAAUUCUAGUUUCCUUCGGGUUAAUGCCAUUUUGUACCCUUCAACUGUAACUCAAUUUCUAAGCUGUAAUUUGUGACAUUAUAGUCCUUAAACUAUGAAACCCUUUCUUAUUUAAUUACAAUGGUUAAUACAAUGCCCGUGACUAGACAAGUAUGAAGCAACCAUAACAAAAAAAAAAUCCAAAAUUAGAGAAAAGAAAGAAGUUGCGACCAAAGUAUGUAUCAAGGCAUAGUAUAGAAAUAAAAGUGUCAAAAUUAAGAGUUUAGGGAUAAAAAAGAAUCAAAAUAUAGUUUAGGAAUUGAUUUGUCUCAAUUAGAGUUUAGAUGUCAACUAAGAAGAGAGAUAUAGUUGAAGGGUAGAAUAUAGAUAUAACAGUUCAAUGAUUGAUAUCAACGAGACAAUGACAACUUUGGAUUAUUACCAACCUCUUCUUGAUGGAAAAGGAAAUAGAGAAGAAAGUCGGGCCUGGUCUAAGCCUGUUUCGGAGGCAAAACAACAUUAUGAAAUCACCGGCAUUCACACAAAUAUGUCAAAGUCACCGGCAUGCUAAGUUGCAAAAUUUAUACAAACACUGAAUAUUAUAUUCUUCUCAAAAUUUUUGUUUAAGAUUUAACAAUUAGAGCACGGUACACGAAUUAGCAAUAUUAAAUAAUGAAUGUUCACGAUUGAUAAAGUUAUCAAAGUACAGUUUGAGGACAACCCAUUCCAACGUGUACAAGAUGUUUAGCCUUUGAAAAGUUAAUUAGAGAAGGUGACGAGAUUUUACUAGGCUUACAACUUCUAGGCCUUGGGAGUAAAAAGUGAAGACACUGAGUGCUAUAAAAAGGGGGCUAGAUGUUGCCUAGAAGCAUAUCAGCCUCGGACCACAUUUUGUAGCAAUGGGGAGCAAAGCAAAAGCAAUGGGGUCUAGGCUGACUCCUCUUUUUACCACCGUUUUAGUGGUAUUUGUUGCACUUGGCUUGCCUUCAGAAACUGCAGCUGAUUACGACAAGUAUUCACCUCCUCCUCCUCCUUACCAUUAUUACUCACCACCACCUCUUGUGCAUUCACCUCCACCACCGCCAGUUUAUAAGUCACCCCCACCACCUUAUCACUACUUCUCACCACCACCUCCAGUGUAUCCAUCUCCACCACCAUCUGUUUACAAGUCACCUCCACCACCUUCGCCAGUAUACAAGUCCCCACCACCACCUUAUCAAUAUUCCUCACCACCACCUCCAGUGCAUUCACCUCCACCACCACCGAUUUAUAAGUCACCUCCACCACCUCCUCCAGUUUACAAGUCCCCGCCACCACCUUACCAUUAUUCCGCACCAUCACCUCCAGUGCAUUCACCUCCACCACCACCGAUUUACAAGUCACCUCCACCACCUCCUCCAGUUUACAAGUCUCCAUCACCACCUUACCAUUAUUCCUCACCACCACCUCCAGUGCAUUCACCCCUACCACCACCGGUUUACAAGUCUCUGCCACCACCUUACCAUUAUUCCUCACCACCACCUCCUAUGCAUGCACCUCCACCACCAAUAUACAAGUCACCUCCACCACCUCCUCCAGUUUACAAGUCUCCACCACCACCUUACCAUUAUUCCUCACCACCACCUCCAGUGCAUUCACCCCUACCACCACCAGUUUACAAGUCUCCGCCACCACCUUACCAUUAUUCCUCACCACCACCUCCUGUGCAUGCACUGCCACCACCAAUUUACAAGUCACCUCCACCACCUCCUCCAGUUUACAAGUCCCCACCACCACCUUACCAUUAUUCCUCACCACUACCUCCAGUGCAUUCACCUCCACCACCACCGAUUUACAAGUCACCUUCACCACCUCCUCCAGUUUACAAGUCUUCACCACCACCUUACCAUUAUUCCUCACCACCACCACUCUUCAAUUUGGAUGUAAUUCAAUUUUCCUUGUAAUCGGUGGCCCUCCUUCGGAAUCCAAAUAGUCAUUGAGUGCAGCCUUCUUUCUUUAUUUUUUACUCAUUUUCACCUCAUAAAUUGCUUUCAUCCCCUAAAACUUGUUCGCUGGAAUUUUGAAUUUACCCAUACAACUAAACUCAGAAAAUUCUUACACAAAGGGAUUAGUAGCAUGAAUAGCAAACACAGAAUAAGAGAUAACAGUAUGUUUUAUUGUAUUAAAAAUAUUAAAGUGGAUUAUUUCUCCAUCGAAUUCCAUUGUGAGAGUAUCGUUACUAACAUCAAUCUUAGUUUGAGCAGUACUCAAGAAUGACCUUCCUAAUAUAAUGGGUGAUGGAUUUGGGACACUUUCAUCAUCCAUAUAAAACACAUAAAAAUCAACAGAAAAAAUUAAUCCAUCUACUUGAACUAAAAACAUCCUCAACUACCCCAUUUAGAUAAGCAAAUAUACGAUCAGCCAAUUGAAUUAUUAUCCCUAUUUCUUUUAAAUGUUCUAAAUUUAGGGAAUCAUAAAUUGAUUUAGACAUCACAUUAAUAGAAAUCUUUAAAUCUAUCAUGGCAUUUUUUAUAUUAGAAUGUCCAAUCUUACAUGAGAUAGUAAACAUACCUAGAUUCUCGCAUUUAGGUGGUAGUUUCCUUUGUAAAAUUGCUGAAACGUUCUCAUCUACCACAAUAUGCUUGUCCUCCUCAAUUUCUUCUUGUUGACACACAAGUUUUUCAAGCAUUUAACGUAUUUUGGAACUUAUUUGAUUUGCGUCCAACAAAGGGAUAUUGAUUGCCACCUUGCGAAAAUCUCUAAAAUCUCCUUUUCUUUAUCUUGUUUCUUUGAUUUCUCUAACCUGCUUGGAAAAGGUGGUGAGUUAGUUCCAACUCUAAUUAUAGAAUCAACAAUUACCUUUGGAUUCACAUUUCUCAUUCCUUCCUCCUCAAGCUCUUUGUCGAUUCGAUCUUCAUUUUUAUCCUUUGGAAUCACAACUUCGGAUCCCUGAAUUUUCUUCUCGCUCCUUAAGGUCAUUACACUUACAUUCUUCAGGUUCAGUUCAGGUUGAGACGACAAUUUUUCAUAGAUUUGGGAUUCCAGGCGGUUGAUUGCUAUUACCAUCUGACUCAUCUGACUCUGCAGUGCUUGCACCUGUCCCAAUUGAUUCCUCAUACUUUGCAAGUCAAAAUCCAUCUUUUGUUGAUUAGCAAUUAAUUGCUUCAUUAUCUCUUCUAUAGAUGGACUUGAGUUUGAAAGAGGUGGUGGCGGGCGAGACUGAUACUGUUAUUGAUACCCUUGCUAUCUAUUUGGUGCAAAAUCUGGCUACCUAUUUCCUCCAUAGCUGAGGUUGGGAUGAUCUCUCCAACCAAUAUUGUACGUAUUCGUGUACGAGUCGUAUGGUUUUCUUGGCACGGCGCGUGACCAGCCAUGUUCACUUGCUCCGUACUUUUCUCUUGAAUCAUUGAGCACAUCUCUGUAGAAUGACCCAUAGCAGUGCAGAUCCCACACAUCUUGACUCGUGAUGCAUUUCCUAUAGCUAAUUGCCUAACAAAGGAUGUUAAUUCGGUCAACUGCUGUUGGAUAGAAUAUGUUUCUACCUCAUUUACUUUGCGUGUUGGGGCAUCCUCCCUCGUACCAAACUGUUGCGAAUUUUCCGCCAUUCCUUCAACUAGCUCCCACGCUUCUCGAGAAGUCUUGUUCACCAAUGCCCUUCUACUUGCAGCAUCAAUUAUACUCCUGUCUCUAAAACGCAGCCCCUCGCAAAAAUAUUGGAUGAGCAAUUGCUCACUUAUUUGGUGUUGAGGGAACUUGAUGCAUAACUUCUUGAAUCGCUCCCAAUAAUCAUAAAGCGACUCUCCUGGAUGCUACUUGAUACCGUAUAUCUCCUUCCUUAGACUUGCAGCUCGAGAUGCAAGAAAAUAUUUGUCCAAGAACUUUUUCUUCAGCUGAUCCCACGUGGUGAUGCUACCUGGUGGUAGAUAGCACAGCCAGUCUUUUGCGGAGUCCUUCAAGGAGAAGGGAAAUGCCCUCAUUUUUAUCUAUUUUUCUGUAAUUCUCGGAGGUUUUAUGCUGUUGCAAACGACAUCAAACUCUUGCAAGUGCUUAUACGGUUCCUCACCUGGUAAACCAUAGAAAGAUGGCAAGAGAUGAAUUAGACCAGAUUUUAACUCAAAUGAAGUGUUAUCAUUUAAAAAUAGAAAAGUAACUGAGAUGCAGCACUGGAAUGUUCUUCUCGAAAUUGUCUGGUCUCUUUCUUUGUUCUACGCGUAGUCUUCUCUACCUUAGGAUCAAAAAUUAAUUUACCUGUACGAGAAGAACGAGGCAUACACUAGAAAAACACUAGAAAAUUAGAACAAAAAUGAACAUAAAAAGAAACAAAUAAACCAACGUCAGUCCCCAGCAACGGCGCUAAAAAUUGACAAGUUGUCGAUGCCUGUGCAAUAAUAAAAAUAAACCUAGUUACCAAUUAAAAUAAUCAGAGCCUAAUUCUGAGUACUAGAGCAGGGACUAUAGGUGUGCAAUGGGUUACUUGAUUCACCCUAUUCCUGAAGUUUGCUUAACCCGAUAUACCAGAAUGAGAUUGCUUAUUCAAAAGGAAUUAUUGAUUUGUAAACAGGGCAAGUAGGGUCGUAUCAUCAGGGAUUGAAAAAAUUUGUUUCUUUUCAAAUCCACAGUAACAAGGGGAUGUUUUUGUAUAAAUGAUAACAAUCUAAGGAGUGCAAAUAGAAAUAAAUAGAUAACUAGAAAUUAAAUGACAAUUCACUAAAAUUAGAGUAAUAAUAAUUAAAGGUCUAGCUAAGAAAUAACUUCAGCAAUGGUUCACCUAAUUGAUCAUCGACGCAAAGGCAAUUCCAAUUAUUUACUAAUAAAUAGGUUAUAACUGCAAAACAAGCAAUGACAGUCAACCCCUCCUUACUGUCGGUCGGUGAUUAAGGUACGCCCAAUCACUGCUCUAGUUGAGAAAUAAUUUUAGGGACGCUCGUAAGAUUUAAUUUUCCAAUUGCCUUACGUAUUAGAGGAGCCAUAAUCUAACCAAAUAACGCUACCAGGAUUAUUUUAAAUUAACCCGUGUAUUCCCUUGAUACAAAUUCAAUCAUGUCAGUUGUCACUAUUUCAAGGUAAUGAAACAAUUACGGAUUUAAUAUCCUAAUUGACAAUAGGUUACUAAAUCAAUUCACUAUUUCGAUCCAAGAUAAUCAAUCAAUUUAACAACUAAUAGCACUGCAAUCGGAGAAUAUGUAAAUACCAAUAAAUAAGAGGAAAAGAUAAAAUUAAAUCGAUCUCACAAUUUUUAAACAAAUCAAAGUAUCCGUUGUUUCUUGACUAGAAAAGAAAAUUUAGUUCAUUCCUAAUGUGAAAGACCCACGUGAGAAUUCAAAAAUAAUAUUCACGGAUAUUGUCUUGAUUCAAUAGAUUCAAUUGCGUUGGAAUAAGGAUAAAAAGCCAAACUAUAGAGAGUGAUUCAAUGUUUUGUUUCGUUUGCAUUUUUUCUACACAUAUGGAAGAAGAAAAACAACUAAAGGACGAAAAAAAAAAGUCAAAGAAAGGCACCCAAAGUAGUGCUUGGUCUCUACCAUCCUAUUUCCUAUCUAAUUACUACUUCCCUUCUGCGGCUGCCUAGAGGAAGAAAGAGAAAGCAGACUUCAGGUCUUGUUCCAUCUCCUCCCUUUUCGGCAAUUCCCCAAAAGUAGAAAAGUUCCUCCGUUUACCAAAAUGCCCCUGGAAUGAGGACUGCUACUUGAACUCAUUUUCUUGAUAACUGUCAAAUUAGCACUUGUUAUGGUAUUUGCGUCUACUUCCUGUAAUAAAUGUAAAUUGCCAAAAGUGAGUAAACUGAUAAUUAAUUUACAUCAGGUCAGGUAAUAGGAAAAAUUAAUUAUAAAAUAAAUGAUAAAAUUGCAACCUAUCACUUAGAAUAACCAGAAAUAAAACAAAACAAGAAAUGAAAGAAAUAAGAGGGUAGCAUAGACAUUUUGGAUUUUUCUGUUAAUUUGGAUGAUUUCCACCUACGGUCUAAUUUAAUCCAAAACACAAAUGGAUUAUGUGGAGAUUUUUAAACAAUGAGGGAGUAUCGUGACCGAAUCCCAAACCACAAAGGGGAUUUACUAUAUUUUACUCUUAAAUUUUGGUUUCAUCUCAUAGCAUACAAGAGUACUAUUUCACUGUCUGUCGACCAGGGAGGAGGGUUGGGUUGGGUGGUACGGGGGAGGGAGUCUAAGUAAGAGGUCUCAGGUUCGAAUCCUCCUGUUUAUACUAAAAAAAAAAAUUUACUAUCUGUCGACAAAGAUUUUCUAUGGUUGAUGUACCAUAGGAAAAAUCUGCCUAUACAAUUAUUUGGAAAAAUUAUCCAUCCAAACAUAGUCACGAUAGCAUUUUUUCAAAAACACUAGAUGCAAAAUUGUCCCCUUAAACGUGGAAAUUCAUGAUCUUUCCUCGACUAGUCUACUUGUCAAUUUUUGAAAAAAGAAUACUCACGCCAAAAACACGGCCUCUUCAUCUGCAGAAUUCUAAAAAGUUACGUAAACUCUAUAAACAAGUUGAUAGGUACAAUCGUACCCAAGAUCAAGUACAGAUAGUUGUACAUUCACUGCUGCAAUAACUAAUCUGAUGACUUACAAACACAUCAUGGUCAAUCGUUGAAUGGUAAUGAGUCUUUUGUUAUGCAUUAGUAUUAGUGUGUACACUCUAAUAGAUUGAUACUUAUACUCUUUAAAUUAUCAUAAUAAUACCCUUAAUUAACUUUAACCCUUAAAAAGAAUACGUGUUAAUACACGAGAGUGUGUAACCUGAAUUGUUACUUAUACAUUAGUGUGUAAUAGAACGGCAAGCAUUAUGGUGGUCAUUGAGCAACUUAUAGGAGAAAUAGUCCUAUAAGCUGUUCAAUGACCAAUCACAACUUGCUAAUUGGAUGACUAAUAUAGCUCUAGCUGUAAUGUUUUAAUUAAAUUCCACACUAACGUUGGGAUGACUUUUUAAUCAAAAAAAAAAAAGCCUUAGUUCAAGCUUUUCCCCUUAUUGUGCAUUUUUUAAAACAUUUGAUAGGCACUGCAAAUCUGUCAUUUUGGACAUUUUAUUAUUAACUAACAAUGAAAGCCGUGGACAUCAACCCAUAUCCAACAAAAUAUUAAAUUAAUAUUAGAAAAAUUAUUAAGUAAUUGGAAAAAAAAAAGAAGAGGCUAAUUUUCAUUGAAACCCACCGACAAACUAUCCGUGUCCAUAGCUUUUGAAUAGUGCAUUCAACGUUUAAUUGUAUGGUCCAGUUCAUUGCCGAUUACAUGGAGUAAAGAUUGUGCUCUUUCCUUUUUCACCCCUUUUGGAAUCGAUACUGUGGAGAAUUGGGUUUUUCCCUCCUUUUUUUCUUUUCUUUCCUUCUGUGCUUUGCAAAACAUACGUAAAAAUAUGAAAUCCGAAGCAUUCUUUAAUUGGGAUUAAGUAUUGUUGUUGAAAUUAAAAAGAAGAAAGAAAGAACAACAAAAAUCCCAAUCUGGGUUGAUUGUUGAGCUCUAGAUUGGCUGCAUCGUGCUUCCAUAGAAGUUCUCUUAGUGUGAUACGCUGCUUUCAAUCAGUUUUAAUAUUUAAGUAGAGUGCAAAAUAACUUUACUAUUUAAUGGGUUAUAAUGCACCAUUUGGUACCUCUCACCCACCUAUGAUUUGAUUUACUACUGGCAUGGUAAUGGACAGAGUUGGGGGAGCAGGAGGAGGGAGAUGGCGGUACCAGUCCGUCAACCACAGCACACCCUCCCUCGGACUUUGCGUGGUAGCGAAGUGGAGGCAGAUCGAGCACACAUGCACUAACGCCUUAAGUAUGUACAAUAUAUGUAUGCCAAAAGCAUAGCCAAGCCUACCAGCGCAUUUCAAUAAUAUAACCCGGAAAUUAAGGGCAUUGAAUUAAGUACGAUGAAUCAUAUUGGUGCACAAUUACAGUUUGAAGCUACCGAUUCGAGUAAAUUUAAGCGUAAGCACAAUCAAUCGCCAGUCAAAUGCUGAAAUAUGCAUAUGCAUGGAUGAAUGUAUGGGUUUCUUAGUUCCAGACCAAAGGCCAACAAUAAGGGAAGGAAGGACAGUUCUCAUUUUUAGCACGGACAAGGAGAUGAAGAAAAGUGUAUGUAGCUUGAGACAGAACAAUGGCAUGUGACCGCUCCUGAGACCACAUAACGUGGGGUGGGGAUGGGACGGCCAAGAAUGAAGAUGCCUGUCGGUCUCUCCGUGCUGCUACCAUAUGAAUCCCCCGUUAACCAAUUCAAGAUAAGCCUGAAGUUCUUUUCAUCCCCAAACCCUGUCCCAUCUGUGUAAAUCCAACAUCAUCAUUUACGACCUGCAACUCAGGUUAAGCAUGUUCUAUUGAGAUUCAGACACCACCCUUCAAAAGAUAUACUACUGUGAAACCAGCAGCUUAAUAUCAUUGUAUAAAAAAAAAAAAAAAAGAAAGAAGAAAAGACAUGAAAAGCAAAUUUUGUGGGGAUAAUUUCAAAAUCUCUCCUAAAGUUUUUUACUAUUUUACUGGCCUCCUUUCAAAUUUUAAAAAUUACACCAGUCUUCCUUGAGAUUAUUUAUCUUGUAACAUUGAGGUCCAAUCAAUAAUUAAAAAAUGAUAUUAUGAGAGAGAAAAAAAAUAAACUUUAACAUCAUAAAUAUUCUUAUCAACAUAUUAAAGUUAGUUACUGAAAUUUUUAUGGUGUUAAACUUCACUCUUUGUAAUAUUUUAGUUACAGAUUUUUUGAUUACUUGUUGUUGAUUUUUUUUUUUUUAGUGUAAACAGGAGGACUCGAACCUAAGACCUCUCACUUACACUCCCUCCCCCCGUACCACCCCAACCCAACCCAACCCUCCCCUCGUUGUUGAUCAUGUUUGACAAUGGAUUUGUAAUUGAAAAGAACAAUUUGGAUCUUACAUUGAGUGAAAUAUAUAGAAUGAUAUACUAUUUUUUAUGGCAUAUGUGAUUCAAUCCUUGAUGAUAAAAGCAAAUUCAAGUGUUUUCUUUAAUGUUUGUGCUGAUAUUAGAUUAAUUAAAUAAUUUAGUAGAUGAAGGAAAAUGGUGAAAUCAUAUUAUCUUCUCUUUCCUAAUAUCACUAUUUAAUUAUUGAUUGAACUUAGAUAUUACAAAUAAUAAAUCUCAAGGGAGAUUAGUAUAAUUUUCAAAUUUUGGAGAGAAGCUAAUGAAAUAGUCAAAAACCUUAAGGGAGGUUUACAAAAUUAUCCCAAAUUUGUGGGAAUUAGAAUAAUUGUACUGGACGGCACUGCCGCAACAGAGGGAAAGAGGAGGAGGUGCAGUUAACUUUUUGUUGUUUGAAAUCCUUGGUGAAAUAUUACAGAAAGACAGAUAAAACAGUUAGUACAUAGAUGUAUAUGACAGGGAAAAUGGUACGUCUGUUAAUCACAUUUGAAACACUUUCAUUGGUGAAUGACGAAAACUAUCAGGCUUGCCCAAUAGUUGAUCAUUGACCAAGACAAAUCUUGCCAUGCUAGAGGUACCAUCUUUUCGUACCUCUUUAGUGCACAGGACAUUCCUUUGUUUCAUCUAGCUAAUAAUCUACCAACUCAUUUCUUUGCAAAUGCACCUUUUAUGGUCACGUCUACGAAAGCUUUACAGGAUCUUUACCCAAAAAAUCAAUUCACCGACUCGCAUUUGAUGUCAAAAUUUCUUUACUUUACUCCAAGAUUGACUGUUAAUAAUAAUGCCACUUUGAAUUAUCACACCAUCCUUCUUGAUAGGAUUUGUGCUAGAGGUAGGGAGGGAGUCGCUGCAGCCGGUCUUCUCUUCAUAGACAGUACAAUAUUGCGAAAUCGAUCGCAUUCACGCAAUAUUAUAUUUCCAAGUCGUUGCAUGGGUAAGCUGCCAAAAAGUACGAACACAUGUUAUUAUAUAGCUUAAGAUUCAAAACUUUCGAGCAUAACCCUCCACCUAACACAAUUGAAUAAUGGAUAUUCACGAUUGUCAAAUCUGUCAAAGUACAGUUUGAGGACAACCCAUUCCAACCUGCAAAAGGUUUUUUUACUUUUCUAAAGUUGUUGAGAGCUGUUAAAAGAUUUACCAUGCUUACAUCUUCCGAGCCUUGGGAGUUAAAAAUGAAGGCACUGAGUGCUAUAAAAAGGGAAUAGAGGCUGCCUAGAAGCAUACCAGCCUAAAACAAGGAUUUGUAGUUAUGAUGGGAAGCAAAGCAAAAGCAAUGGGGUCUGGGCUGACUCCUCUUCUUGCCACUGUUUUAGUGGUGUUUGUUGCUCUUGGCUUGCCCUCAGAAACUGCAGCUGAUGAUCACUACAAGUAUUCAUCUCCUCCUCCUCCUUACACUAUCCCUCACCACCACCUCCAGUGCAUAUACCUCCACCUCAUCCUGUUUACAAGUACAAAUCUCCACCACCCCCACCACCACACCCAGUUUACAAGUAUAAGUCACCACCACCACCUCCUCAUCCGGUACCACACCCAGUUCCUCAUCCGGUGCCACACCCAGUUCCUCAUCCGGUGCCACACCCAGUUUACAAGUAUAAGUCACCACCACCACCUCCUCAUCCGGUACCACACCCAGUUCCUCAUCCGGUACCCACACCCAGUUUACAAGUAUAAGUCACACCACCACCUCCUCAUCCGGUACCACACCCAGUUUACAAGUAUAAGUCACCACCACCACCUCCUCAUCCGGUAUACAAGUAUAAGUCUCUCCGCCACCAACACCCAGUUUACAAGUAUAAGUCACCACCACCACCUCCUCAUCCGGUGCCACACCCAGUUUACCACUACAAGUCACCACCACCACCUCCUCAUCCGGUACCACACCAGUUUACCAUACAAGUCACCACCAAUCCUCACCCAGUUUACAAAUACGAGUCUCCACCACCUCCAGUUUAUAAGUACAAGUCACCACCACCUCCUCCACCAGUUUACAAGUAUAAAUCUCCUCCACCACCACCACCAGUUUACCACUACAAGUCUCCACCACCUCCUCCCCCAGUUUACAAAUACAAGUCUCCACCACCUCCUCACCACUACUAAGCAAUUGCUUCUGAGGUAAUAACACUUGUUCAAUAUACCCACUUCUGCAUGAUAAAGCAUAUCUCUAUCAACACAAACUGUCAUGUCUAUCAUGCUAAGUGCCUUCACUUCAUCCACCAAAAUGACUGCUAGAAAAUUUUUUUUAUGUUACCAAAGAAAGGCAUCAUUUUUUCCCUCUGUUAUCAAGAACUUGUACAGUAUAUAGAUUAAAGAGUUUUUAUUUUAACUAGCUUAUCAACUUAGAAAUGCAUAUAGCUGAUAACCAGCUGAAUAUUUGCAGGCAAAGGAGAAGGAAACCAUGUUUGAGACCUUCUUGAAGAUGUAGAAGCAUAAGAAUAAAAGCCCAAUGUGAAGAUGAUGAUUUCAAGUUUUUCUACGUUACCAUUUCUUUAUCUAAAUUGGUUGUAGCGCCCAAGUUCCUUUGUUUAUGGGAUUUGUAUCGUUUUACGUACCAUGCAGUACAUGUCAUGUUUGUAAGGUUUUCUAUCCUGCCGGCAAACCGCAGGUUCCAUGUGAUAAAUGAAUACUAUUUAUGUUACGACA
rnacentral:lncRNA from 1 species